rnacentral:lncRNA from 1 species
GAGCCGUGCCGGAUGGCUCCCUCGCCACGACGCCCAAGGUGACGAUGCUGUCGGCCACGCUGUGCUACACGGGGGAGACAUGCAAAUACAUUGGCUGCCUCACUCCUGCUUGCUCCUGCAACUAUAGUGAUCGUCUAUGCUACAUCAUAUUUACUCCUGUUGCUUGAGGCCAUUCCGCGAAGCCACAACUCUUACAAUAUGCAUGCGCCGGCCGACGACGACGCGCGCUGCCUCUCGUGAGCUUCUGUUCAAGUGAUGCAUGUUUCAAGGCAUCCAUGGAUGCUUUACGUAUAUGCGUAUUAAUUAGCCGUGUCAGGGAACCGGACAGAAGGGGGUGUUGUUUUAUAUUUACGUCUUCUGGUGAUCAAAUAAAGGGGAAAUAUAUGUUGGAUGUGUGCAAUGCAUAGAAUUUUAUUGCUCGCUCUGCAUGCGAGGGUUGCUCUCUCUCUCUCUCUCUCUCUCUCUCUCUCUCUCUCUCUCUAUAUAUAUAUAUAUAUAUAUAUAUAUAUAUAUAUAUAUAUAUAUGAGUAAGGGAGUGUUUGGUUUCUAGGGACUAAUGUUUAGUCCCUAGAUUUUAUUCUAUUUUAGUUCCAAAAUUAUAAAUAUAGAAAAUAAAACUUUAUUUUAGUUUCUAUAUUUAGUAAUUUAUACACUAAAAAGGAAUAAAAUAAAGGGACUAAACAUUAGUCCCUAUAAACCAAAUACCCCCUAACAAAAGUCAUCAUGCAAAAAAAAACCAAGAUCUUAUGCCUGGAUUUUAUUCAAACGAAAGCGACACCGAAAUAUAUUAUAUAUUAGCCAACGAGAUGACCAAUAUAUGAAUAAUUUGACCGCUUUGAGAGAGCGCAACCUCACCUAUUUCUAUUGUUUUGCUAAUGCAGUAAUGCGUGACAUAUGGAUCGUCUUACAUGUACUGCAAAAAUUAAAAAGAAAUGAAAACACAUGUUUGGAGACUAAAUGCAGGGGCGAAACCAGGAUCCAAAAUUAGGGGGGUCAAAUUAGAUUAGGGGGCUGUUAGAAGCAUUUUUACAUUAUUUACAUGAGAAUUAGCUUAAAAAACUAACAUCUCCUAUAGAAUUAGGGAGCAUUAGGGGGGACAUUGCCCCUCUGUGCCCCCUGCCGUCGCCCCUGACUAAAUGCUUGUAAGAAGUAAAAGUAUCCCCAUUCUACUCUUAUACCUAAGCUAGGUAUAUACCCGUGCGUUGCUACAGAAUUAAUAUGAUAAAAUAUAUUGAUAUAUAAAAACACUAAUUGUUAUUCUAUAUUUUUAUUAGCAUCAUUAAGUGGAUGCUUACAUACCUUAUUAAAAGAUAUAUAGUCUCACACCUUGAGGAGACUAAACUAAAAAAAAUACUGAUCAGGCCACGACAAAUUAAUCUUAGCAUGCUUGAUGCGCCUUUUACAGAGGAAGAAAUAAGAGAAAAUUCCUGGUAUGCCAUCAGAUUUUAUACUCAUCCCUUGUGUGCCACUGAGUGACAUAUAGGUAUAUUUUUUGGUGUCUAUGACAUGUGGGGCUAGUGGCAUACAAGGAAUGAGUAUAUUUUCCAGUGGCAUACAGGGAAUUGGCCCAAGAAAUAAAGACCGUGAUUCAACAUUUGCCGGGAUCAGACGGUUUCACGGGAGCGUGCUUUACAAAAUGCUGGGAGAUUAUCAAAGCUAAUGUACUUAAGGCAGCCAAUGUGUUCCACCUUUUGAGAACUUCAAACCUAUCCAUUCGAAAUUCAGCUAACAUUGUUCUAGUAUCAAAAAAGGAAAGUGCAGAUUUAGUGGGUGACUACCUGUUGGUGUAUUAUGAACAAGUUGAAGGGUCUAUUUGUAAAGUGGUAAAGUAUAAUGGAAAAGAGAGUGGUGCUGUGGGAGAUUAACACACACCAAAAUUCAACAUGGUAUACAGAGCUAGGGUUUACGGGCGCCGCCGCUCUGCCUGCAUUCGUCGUGCAGCCGUCCGCCGCACGCUGCGCCGCUGCUCCUGGUAGCCAGCGCGGGCGCGACCCAGCGGCGCGCACGGGCGCGACUUCGGCCGCGCGCGGCCAUAGCGCGGCCCAGGCGUGGAGGCGCGCGUCUCCCCGGCGACGGCGCGCGGGCAGGCGGCCCAGGGCGCAUGCGCGUGGGGGCACGGGGGAGCGCGGGCGUGACGGCCCGGCGGUGCUGAGCCCUGACGGCGCUCGCGGGUGCUUGGCGCGUGGCGCGGCGGCUGACGGCGCAGAGCACCAACUGCUGCGCGGUGAAGAGAGACGCGGCAGGUGUGUACACGGAGGUUGAAAUAGGGAGGAAGGAGGCUGAAAUAGGGAGGAAGGAGUCGAGAACCGGGGUGCUUACUCUCUGCUGUUUGCCAUCGGAGUUGGAGUUGGCUGCAUCUGCUGUUUAUCCAUUGGAGAGACAUUACCAGCUGGGUCUAGAGAGGAGUCUGAAGAGAGAUAUGGGACUAGAGCUUCAACACAUCCAGGUUGUGGUUGCUCCCCCUGCUUCUUCGUCCGCUUUCGAUAGUAUACUAUAGGUUGCUCCCCUGUUUGUCAUUCACCUUUGCCCCAAUGGAACAAUCAUGUUGCUCCCCCUGUUUCUCAUUCAACUUCCCUGCCAUAGGACAUGGGAUUGACCCAACAAUCACUGCCUCAUCAUCCUCUGUCUCCUCCUGAAUAUCAAUAGUUGGAUCUGCCUCAUCAUCCUCUGUCUCUUCCUAAAUAUCAAUAGUUGGAUCACCAUGAUCCCCACUACUUUCAUCAUCACUCAAUAUCUGCGUAGUUAUCCCUUUCUCCACUUCUGGUGGAAUCAUACCUCCAGCAAUCACCCCUCCUGAAGCUCCACUAGCCUCAUCACCACUAGCCUCAUCACUACCUCGACCACUGUCAUCCUCCCCCUCUCUACGGUCUCAUCCAUUGACCGGAGAGAAGUCCUCCAGAAUUUGAUAUGGAUCAACUUUCUUUUUGUAGUAUGGGUCUUCCUCACGAAAUGUUACAUCCAUACUUACUAACAAUCUCUUACCAAUAGGGUCCCAACACUUGUAUCCUUUCUGAGUAGAUGAAUAACCCACAAAAAUGCACUUGACUGCUUGAGGAUCCAACUUACUCACCAUAGGUCGAUGAUCUUUGACAAAACAGACACAACCAAAGACCUUGGGUGGAACACGAAAGUCACACUUUCCCAAUAGGAGUUCUACAGGUGAUUUCAUAUUAAGUAUUCUUGAGGGCAUCCGGUCGAUGAGGUAUGUGGCCGUCAUUACUGCCUCACUCCACAGAUACUUAGGCACAUUCAUCUGAAACAUGAGAGAUCUUGCUACUUCCAACAAAUGACGAUUUUUUCUCUCUGCUACACCAUUCUGAGGUGGAGUUCCAGGACAAGUUGUUUGGUGAAUGAUUCCUUGACCUGACAGAUAUGAUCUAAAUUCAUUAUUCACAUACUCUGUUCCAUUGUCAGUCCUGAUAACCCGAAUUCUUGCACCAAACUGAUUUGCAACCAGUUUAUGAAAAUCUUGAAAACACUUUAACACCUCGUUUUUGUGCUUAAGUAUAUAGAUCCAAGUCAUACGAGUGUAACAAUCAAUAAAAGUGAUGUACCACUUUGCACCAUUCACAGAAGUGACUGAACAAGGACCCCAAACAUCUGAAUGUAUUAGAAUAAACGGUUCACAACUACGAAGACCAAUACUAGGAUAGGUAGAUCUAGUAUGUUUGCCAAGUUCACAUGCAUCACAUACAAGUCUACUUUUGUCCACUCCCUUAAACAUCAUGGGAUACAAUCGACUUAAGUUCUCAAAAGAUAUAUGUCCUAACCGACGAUGAUGUAGUAGAAUCUCCUUGCCAUCCCCCUCAACAGUUGUUUUCAAUGCUGACUCCUCAUGACUGAUGAACCACAACCCAUUACGCCUGACUCCAGUCCCAAUCUUUCUCCCAGUACUCUUCUCCUGAAAGACACAAGAAUUUUCAUCAAAUAUUACUGUGCACUUGAAUUGGUCAAUGAUUGAACUUACAGAGAGGAGAUUGACUGGAAAAGAUGGAACAUGCAGAACUGAUGACAAGCUAAGAGAUGGUGUACACUCAACAGAUCCUAUACCACGGAUUUGUUGAGAUGUACCAUCAACAAUUUGGACUGACUCAGAAUGUGUAUAAGGAAUGUAUGUUUUGAAAGGGGUGGACAUGCCAGUCACAUGCUUUGAUGCUCCUGAAUCUAUGACCUAAUCUAUGUGAUGCCUACAUGAGGAUGCAAAAGCUUGUGCCUGAGUACCUUCGCCCAUGUGGGCGUAGUUGGAAAAGUUACCGAAGGAGUUGGUGGCUUGCCCAUCAGGUGAAGUGAGGCACUCGGAAGACUUGCCCUUCUGCCACUGCUCCCAUUGCUUAGCUUGUUCCCCAGAAAGAGUAACAGAGAGACUCUCUUCAGUGGUAGCUAUGUUGGCCCUGGAACCACCACGACCUCUACCACGGCCUCCAAUCCAUAUUUCUCCCAUUCCUGAACAUGUAGAAUUACCUCUUGCGCAAAGAAAAGUUCCUAGAGUAAAUGCUGGGAAACCUCCUUCUCGUUAUUGUUAUGAACAUGACAUUGCUAAGUAUGUCUCAUACUCUAGUGUCUCUUCUGCAUAUAGAACUUCCAUUGCAUCUCUACAAACAAUAUCUAUUCCGAAGGAUUGGAGGUGUGCCAAACAGGAUCAAAAGUGGAAGGAUGCCAUGAAGGAAGAGCUGCUUGCCCUGCAGAAGAACAAGACAUGGGAACUUGUUCACCUUCCAGAAGGAAAUAAGGCAGUGGGGUGCAAGUGUGUCUUCACAGUGAAGCAGACUCCUGAAGGAAAGAUUGAUAGGUACAAAGCAAGACUGGUGGCGAAGGGAUAUAGUCAGACAUAUGGGAUCGACUAUGAUGAGACCUUUGCACCUGUGGCAAAAAUGGGCACGGUGAGGACCUUAAUCUCAUGCGCGGCCAACUUUGGUUGGCCUCUUCAUCAGCUGGAUGUGAAGAAUUCAUUUCUUCAUGGUGAUCUGAAGGAAGAGGUCUAUAUGGAAAUCCCACCUGGAUUUGCAAAUAAACAAACUAUUGGAAAAGUGUGUAGACUUAAGAAGUCGCUCUAUGGCCUAAAGCAGUCACCACGUGCGUGGUUUGAUAGAUUCAGGCGAGUUGUGUGUGAUAUGGGUUAUCAUCAAUGCAAUGGAGAUCACACAGUCUUCUACAAACAUCAGGGCUCGUGUAUCACUAUUCUAGCGAUUUAUGUUGAUGAUAUAGUGAUCACUAGAGAUGAUGCGAAGGAGAUCAAGAAACUGAAGGAAAGGCUAAGUAGAGCCUUGAGGUAAAGGACCUUGGACCACUCCGAUACUUCCUUGGGAUUGAGAUAGCUAUAUCAUCUCUGGGAAUUAUUCUCUCCCAAAGAAAGUAUAUCCUCGACCUUUUGUCAGAGACAGGAAUGCUUGGGUGUCGCCCAUGUGGCUCACCCAUUGAUAGGAAUCACCAAACUUGUGUUGAGUCAGGUAACCCUAUAGAUCGGGAAAGUUAUCAGAGGGUAGUUGGCCGUUUGAUAUAUCUUUGCCAUACAAGACCGGACAUUGCUUAUGCAGUAAGUGUGGUGAGUAGGUAUAUGCAUGAUCCUAGAACUGGGCAUAUGAAGAUAGUUUAUCAAAUCCUGAGAUACCUGAAGGGAACCCCUGGCAAGGGAUUGUGGUUUAGACCAAACCAACAUAUGAAUUUGGAUGGGUAUUGUGAUGCGGACUGGGCGAGCAGUAGGGAUGAUCGGAGAUCCACUUCUGGAUAUUGUGUAUUUGUGGGAGGUAAUCUGGUUUCAUGGAGAAGCAAGAAGCAAGCUGUGGUAUCUCGAUCCACUGCAGAGGCUGAACAUAGAGCAAUGACUCUAGCAGUUUGUGAAAUGAUAUGGUUGAAGGGUCUCUUGAAGGAGCUUCAAGUGUUGAAGAAUGAGACAAUGUUGCUCCAUUGUGACAAUGUGGCAGCAAUCAACAUAGCAAAUAAUCCAGUUCAGUUUGAUCGUAUGAAGCAUGUGGAGAUUGAUAAGUUCUUUAUCAAAGAGAAGAUUGAUAGUGGGGCUUUGAAGUUGAAGUAUGUCAAAUCUCGUAAUCAGGUAGCGGAUAGUCUCACAAAAGGUUUAGGUCCUAAGGAUAAUGAGUUGGCAUGUAACAAGAUGGGAAUGUUAAAUAUAUUUAUCCCAUCUUGAGGGGGAGUGUUGGUGUAUUAUGAACAAGUUGAAGGGUCUAUUUGUAAAGUGGUAAAGUAUAAUGGAAAAGAGAGUGGUGCUGUGGGAGAUUAACACACACCAAAAUUCAACACUACCGCUCGAUUAGCCUGAUCCACUCUUGCGCUAAAAUCAUAUCCAUAGUUUUAGUGAUGCGGCUUGCACCCCUCAUGGACCGUAUGGUCUCCCCAUCGCAGAGUGCGUUCAUAAAAAGACGAAACAUCCAUGAUCAUGGGUGGAUCUAGAAUUUUCAUAUGACCCAGACCGAACCAACUAAAUUUCCUUCUCUUCUUUUUAUCUUAACCAUUUUAUACUAGAUAAAUAGAUACUUAUAUAGAGUUGCAUGGAUCAAACCCUGGGCCAUGGACCGGGUGGCCCGGGGAGUAGAUCCGGCCCUGUCCAUGAGAGCUUCCUAUCAGUGUGCAACACCAUCAAACACCUUCAUAGGAACAAAGUCCCGACCCUCUUCUUCAAGCUUGAUAUUACAAAAGCUUUUGACUCUGUACGAUGGGAGUAUCUCCUAGAUCUUAUGAAAAGAUUAGGCUUCCCAUCAAGAUGGUGUAAUUGGAUUGCGGUUCUGUUAUCCACAGACUCCUCCCGUGUGCUCAUCAAUGGCGUCCCAAGUGCACCUAUCAUUCAUGGCAGAGGAUUGUGGCAGGGUGACCUGCUAUCACCGCUCCUCUUCAUGAUUUCCAUUGAUCCCCUACAAAAGCUCCUAGACUCGGCGACAAACUUCGGUUACUUAGCGAAACGCGUGGUAGGGUACCCACCUUGUGAGUCUCAAUGUAUGCAGAUGCUGCUGCAAUCUUCAUGAAUCCUUCCAGAAGAGAUGUAUCGACACUAAUGAGUCUCUUGGUCAAUUUUGAGGAUGCCUCAGGACUCAUGACCAACGCCCAAAAGUCAAUAGUGGUUCCCAUUCAUUAUUGCAGGGGCUAGACUUGGGAGAUAUCUUGACAAAUUUCAAUGCAACAAGAUCAUAGUUUCUAGUUAAAUACCAAGGCCUUCCAUUGUCAAAUAGACGACUGAGGCGAGUGGAUUUUCAGCCUCUUGAUGACAAGGUAGCAAAGAAGUUGACUGCUUGGAAUGGCAGACAUAUAAGCUUAGUUGUCCGAUCCGACUAACCCUAGCAAAAUCUGUGCUAACCUCCCAGGCAGUCUACUACAUCACCUCCCUUAGAGUUCCAAAAUCGACUUUAGACUAUCUUUAGCGGUUUCCCCUAAAUUUCCUCCCCUAUAUCUUACUUUCCCUCCACAUCAGCAUUCUCUCUCCCCCUAUUUCUUCACGUACUGCAGCGGUUUCCUCUAAAUCAUCCCUCUAUACUCCACCACACCUAUAUAAUAUCAUUUCCAUUUCAACCAACAUAACUACCUCUAUUUUAUUUCCUCUUUUUUCUUGCAAAUGUAAAAACCGAAACAUGUACUUACCACAUCUGCGAUAUUAAUUAAUUAAAUUUGAAAAUUAAUUAGAAUCAAAAUUAUCUUGCACGAACAGGAAAGCAUGUUUUUUUAAAAAACUUACGAAUUCAAACAUGUUUCUUUAACAGUUCAUGAAGUGUUACUGUGGUUUUACACUAACAAUCCGAUGACACAGGAAAUAAAUGUCCAACUAGUUUAUUAUUACAACUUCAUAACAAAGAAAAUUCAGUGAUGCUCAAAUUAGCAAACGAGAGUAUACAAGGAAUAGAAACAAUAAGUUCUUUGGUAGAAAAAAUAUAUAUAUUGUUGCAUGGCAACCAAACCUAAAACCAGUUUUCGUAGUCACAAGUUGUGUUGUGAUCUGAAAUAGAUUUAUCAAAGAACCACGUCAGAGAAAAAGAAUAGCUGCCAUCCCACAAAAUGGAGAACAAAAGUGUCUGAAUCCGGCAGGACUUGGCGCCAAGUCAAGUGCAGGCAGCGGAGCCAGGCAGCGGGAGUUGGCGCGAAGACGAGUAGAGGCGGUCGCGGCUGAGUGUAGCAUGCCCCUGUAUUGAGGGGGAGAGAGAAGGUCCCUCUAGUGCAGGGGGACGAAUAGAGGGUACCGAUGCAGUGGAUAGCGGUCUACAAUUGCCUUAAAUGGAGGGAAGGGAAAGCAAACCAUAACCGUUGCAGACAGACUUAAAGGAAAUCGAUACCAAAAGAAAGUUCCUUUGGUCAGGCUACGAAGUCUCGAUAGGGGCAAAAUGCAAAGUCAACUGGCCGCACAUGACAAGACUAGUGGAGCUUGUGGGUUGGGCGUCCUCGAUUUCAGUAAGUUUGCAAGGGCAUCACUGCACUUGCGAUGGCUCUAGCGAGAAUGGAACAGUGGGACGAACUUACAAAUUGGCACAAAAAUACCAUGCGAUAAAAAGGAUAAAUUUCUCUUCAUAGGGGCAACUUCCAUAUCGAUAGGAAAUGGGAAAAAGGUAUCAUUUUGCCACAGUGCCUCGCUCCAAGGGUUGUGGUCGUGUGACUUGGCCCCCAGACUAUAUGUGAUCUCAAAAAAAAGCAAAGAUCAUUAAAGUGGGCUCCAGAAAAUAAAAGGUGGAUAAAGACUUAGACCUUCGACACAGAGAAUUCUUGGUGACACACUUCCUCGAAUAUGUCCAUCUAUGGAGAUCGAUUCAAAAUCUAGAGCUGAACCCAAAUAAUGAAGAUGUUAUUACUUGGAAGUUCAACCUAAAGGGAGAGUAUUCAACCAGCACAGCAUACAAAAUACACUUUCUCGACUUAGUACACACAAACCUUAGGCACUUGAUAGGGAAAACUUAUGCACCAUUGAAAUGUAAAGUUUUCAGCUGGUUAGCAAUUUAGAAUCGCAUUUGGACAUCUGAUAGGCUCCAAGCACAUGUUUGGGACAACGCAGGCCAGUGUCCCCUUUGCCAUCGAUCGCGAGAAACCGACAUCCACCUAUUCGCGGAAUGUGGAUUCACUAGACGAAUAUGGAAAGAGCUUUCAUCCUGGACGGCAACUCAAGGACUAGAUCCAAGAAAUUAGGAACUAAGUGACAACCUGCACCAAUGGUGGACAAACAUCGAUGCCGCUCCAUCUACUUCAAAAAAGGGUCUUCGAACGCUCAUCUGGUAUGCUGGGAGAUUUGGCUAGAGAGGAAUAAUCACAUUUUUAAUCAAAUAGAAGCUCCAACUGACGUAGUUUCUCAAAAAAUCAAAGAUGAGGUGCAUCUCUGGACUGCUGCAGGAGCAAAAGGACUAGCGUCCCUGUGCGAGAUUAGGUCGAGUCCAAGCUCAUAGAGUUUUUACUUUUAUUUUGGUUGUACAUUUGAAAAUCUUUUUGUAUCUUUCGCCCCUCUUUCAAGGUUUCACUUCUUAUUAAUAUAAUUGGUAGCUCUCAUGUCGGUUCAUUUCAAGAUAAAGAAGCUUGUCUAAGAUACUACAAAACAAGGUAGGAAAGAACAAGAAGUACAAACAUAGCCUGUAGAGGAAAAUAAGAGCUUAUUAAAUACAUAUCAAUCGCAUAAGUGUUUAAAAUGUUAGUUGUAAGUAGGACGAAGCAAAUGAAGUCAAAGAUUUCAUUUUUUGCAGAUAAGAUUAAAAUGAGUAACAAAGAUGGCCUCAGAUCCUGCAAUAUAGUUUGGAUAGAUUAAAAUGAGUCUCUUAUAAUGAUGAAAAUAAAUGUUUUUACACACUACUAAAGGAGAUUCAAGAUCUAACAACUAACUCAAUUCACGAUAGCAUCGAAGUUGAGUAUGAAGAUAACCCACAUCGGGUUUAGAUGCGUUGGCACCGAUAUGAGGCCAAACACUAGAACGAACCCCUGACGGUUCUCUCAGCGGGAGUGCACGCGGACGAUCCACAGCUCAGGGCGAGACAAUCCGUGACCUCGCCACAACGGCUCCUCCCUACGUACUUCUAGUUAGUCCACGCCUAGUGUCGUGGUUUUGGAAACCUGUUUCUAUUGUUUUGGCAAUGCUUAACAUCGAUCAUCUUAGGCAAUAAUGUUCUAAAAAAUAGUUCUUGGGUUCCAAACACCUCUAGGCCCUGGCUAAUACCACAACUAAUUGUUAGCUACCUCACAGCUAACAAUUAGUUCAUUAGCUGGCUGAACCCAGCUAAUAAUUUAUUACCUGGCUAACUUUUAGUUCUAGAGGUUCUAAACAUGGCCUUACAUAUAUUGCAAAAACUAAAAAAACACACAACCUGAUGACCUGUUUAUAUAGUGUUUUGGCAAUGUUUAACAUCAUAUAUUGCAAAAACUAAGGUGUCGUUUGAUUCACAAAAUGUAACGUAAAUGGUAAUGGUAAUGAUUCACAUCUAAGUACCAAUGGUAACAAAUUUGAAUAGGUCGGUAUUAGUUUCUAGUGCGGUAUCUGAUUACGGUUGGUACUAAACAAACAAGUAUGAUCUAACGUUAUCAGUUAUCCAUUACCUUACAAAUAUGUGAACCAAACAGCACCUAAAAAGAAUGGAAACACAUGUUUGGAGACUACUAAAAAUGCUUGCUUGCUUGUAAAGAGUAAAAUAUUGCCACUCUACUACUCUCAUACCUGAAUUGAGCGCGCUUCUAUCACCGCUCCGCGUACAUAGUAUUAACCUCUAUAUAUGAAAUGUUGCGUAAGUUGAAUACUCCUGUCUCUAACAACAAUCUUGAAUGAAAAAUGGUUUGGUGCCCCAUGGGAUGCCUCUGCUAAACCAAUUGGAUCAAAUCUGUUGGAAUGUGAUUUUGGGCUAAUUCUUGUUAGAAAUAAUAGCAAUUUAGAGAUGAACAAAUUGAUUUUGAUAAUAAUAAUACAAGAAACAACAGCAUGCUUUGUAUAUGUAUAACUCACUAGCAGUUAAUAUACUAGUGCUAGUGAUAGAAUAAAUAUACGCAUAAACAUCCUUACAGUGGGGUUGUCGGGGAUAGGAUAACGCAAGAGUAGAUGUAGCAGACUGACGAGGACGACGACAUCGGCGUAGAGGAAGCAGACCAACAACGAGUAGUCGUGACGACGCUUUUGAAAAACAUGAUACGGCCCCUACCCCAUGCAAGGACAUGAGGGGACAUAGACUUCGGAGAUACUGCUCUCCCAACCCCGAUGGCACGUCGGCGACGGGAUGGAGAAGACGAGGGCAGCACAGCGCUCUGGUGUAUGGAGGAGAAAGUUUGUACUGAGGGACGACGUCUCGCCCUCAAUAUAUACACACGACGGCCAAAACAGACAAAUAAUCAGCCGCAUAAUCACAACACUAACAUAACAAUCAAUUACAAUUAAUGCGAGAAUAAUUGCUCACCAAAAUAGGCCAGCGCAAUUUUCUCCAUGCAUGCAAAAAUAUCAAGUAUCAAAAGGAAGCCCACACCCAAAAUGUCGAAAGCGAGAAAUCGUCGGACCAUUCACGCGCAUGUCGUGUGCCCACGCCCAUUACCCCACCUCGCCCGUCCCAACCCGGCAAGGGAAGCGAGCGCGCGCGUGGGUUCUCCCUUUUACUCUGCUCAAUGGCUUCAACCAGGUGGAGACAACUCAACUUUUUAAGUUGGCCUCACUCCACCUAGAGUAGCUUAAAAGUUCCCACCAUACCAUGCAUGUGUGAGUGGGUCUUUGGGAUUUACAGGAAUUAUUAUUUGGGCAAAGCCCAAAUUCUCUAAGAAUCCCCACCAGAUCCUAGAGGCACAUUUCAUCCUCCCUGUACCAAAGUACUGUUAAUAUACCAUCUUUUCGGUGGAGACCGGUUAAGUUUGAGCAUCCACCUAGAAUGACUAGCUAGGCUCAUCCACAACUGCACAAUAGACUAAUCCUUGAAUUGGCAGUUUGGUGUGAACGAGUUUCGCUUGACGUCUGGACUGAUAAUAGGCUACCAAUUGCCUGCCCUACGAGUGGAGCGUAUAAGUCAUACUCUUGUCUCUCUUCAUCAGCUUCUUAAGGAAUUCCCAAAUUCUAUGAACUGCGACCAACAGUUGAGCUCACAUAGGUGUGUUCUUACAAGAAUACUUUGUAGGACAGUAUCUUGCUAUAAAGCCUCAGAACACAUUAAGAUCAAGUCAACCUACCUUACAAAAAUGAGAAAACUUCAUCUCCAAUAGAGUGGGUUAGAAGUGAGGUGUACUCUCUUGUUAACCAACAACUUGUUCUUCCCAUAUCCUAAUUCAUGGGGUCUCCGAUCAUAUAGAUUGGGUUACCACUAAGGUUAACUCACAUGGGUCUCAAUCCCAUCUCCUUUGAUGCAUUAUCAAUCACAGUACACGAAGUCCCUUAGUGAAGGGACCUGCCAGGUUCUUAGCUGUUUGGAUAUAAUCUACAACUAUUACUCGGAGCUUCUCAGUUUCCCGACAAACUUCAGUCUACGUUUUACAUGUUUGUUGGAGUUCAUAUUAUCCUAACUAUUCUUCAGAUUCGUGAUCAUCGUCUGAUUAUCACAAUUUAUGAGAAUGGAAGGAAUUGGUUUCUCAACCACAGGAAAGUCUAUCAACAGUUCUCUUAACCACUCAGCUUCUGCAGAGGUUGUGUCCAGAGCCGCGAGCUCUGCCUCCAUGGUAGAUUUUGUUAGUAUUGUCUGCUUACAUGAUCUCCAGGAGACAACGCCACCACCCAAUGUGAAUAUAUAUCCACUAGUGGCCUUCAUCUCAUCAGCAUUUGUAAUCCAAUUCGAAUCAAUAUUUCCUUCAAGUACGCUUGGGUACUCUGAAUAGUGAAUUCCAUGACUCAUAUUUAUUUUAGGAGAGUAAUUUUUAUGGUAAGAAAUAUAUUAUGUAUAAACCUUUGAAGAACACUCCAAAAUCUCAAGUUUAGAAUUUUAGGUGUUAUAAAGCAGAGAACCAAUCAAGUGGAUGGUAAAGCUAACCAGUUCACGGGACUUGCAAAUGAUGAUGGGCACAUGGAGGUUGUCGGAGAGGGAAUUCUCCGGCCGGGUGGCGGAAUGCACCCGCCCUAAAUCCUAAGAUGAGGAAGGGGCUUAAACGUUUUGCCUGUCUUGCUAAGCGAUCACAGAACACAUGAACACGCAAGGAUUUAGAAUGGUUCAGGCCGCCGGAGCGUAAUACCCUACUCCACUGUGUGUUGGAUUGCUGUGGAAGCUUGAGAGAUGAGAGUCUCAGUUGGGUCUAAGUUUGGUCUCCUCGAGCCUGUGUUGUAACGUUGCACGCCUCCCCUUUUAUAGCUAAGGGGGGCAUGCACAAGGGUACUGACCCCGACAUGUGGGCCCAGGAGCAUAACGGAUGUAGUACUUGGAGCUACUAAUGUUCGCCACCUCGAGCAAUCUUCUUGCACCCUGACAUCCGAGAUCUGCAUAGUAUCGGCGUGCAGGGGAAGCUUCUCGUAUAAGGGAUGAUGGACACAGUGCACCGCGCAGCACGGGCGCACUGUUUCACAGUGGACUGGAUAGGCGCGCCGUCUGUAGGAUGGCCCUGGCGCCACCUGCCAGCGGAGUGGACAGGACACAUUAAAUGCUGAGGGGGCACAUCGCAUGUCAGCAGGGUGGACAGGCGGCGCAUCCUCUCCGCAAUAAACGCAGAGACCGCGCGGCCUAGAGGCCUUACGUCAGGCUCCGCCCGCUGGCUUAUGUCACGGGCAACAAGCUAUGUGGCAGCAUCGGGUCUCCGCCUGAGCGGGGAGCGCAAGCGCACAGGAUAAGGCCUGACACAUGUCAGUACUGGACCCUUGCUUAUGCCAGGGUAUCCCCUGUCCCGGGACCUCGUUGUGGCCCGGACCUUACUCGGAGGGAUCUGGACCCCAUCCAAGGGACCCGGCAUGCUUACUUGGGAGUCCCGGACCGUAAUCAGGGGUUCGGGUUGCACGUACAGGGGUCCGGUGCUUCCUCGCGGAGGUCCGAUCCAACUGAUACAUCCUGGGAUGUAUCUUUUCUCGCCACGUGGUGCCCCUUGAGUCGUCCACGUGGUGGGGUCGGGUGUUGUUCUCCGUGCGGCUAGAGAUCGUCGUAUGAGCACCGUGUCUUCAUACUAUAGUAAGGGGUACCCCUGAUUCAGGGUACCGACAGUGGCCCCCGGGCCCGCCUCAGGGGAGGAUACGAGCCUGCAGGUGGGGCCAAAGUUUGACUGAUUGGCUUGCUGCUUCUGAGCGCCCGUUCGGUGCAAUUACUACCGGUCCGCCCUUGGUCACGCUGACUACCAAGCCUGUCCCCACGGCUGACUGACCCAUGACCUCCACACUUAAUGGCUUUGUUGGGCCAUGCGUGGGGUGCCUUGAGUCACUGCAUUGGUUUUAACUUCUCCGUCUUCUGCGGCGGCCCCGAGGAGGCGCGGUACUGGCGCGAGCGGCGAUGUGACUCCUCUGCACACAGAAACCGGCACGCCAGGUGCACGACAUGUGGGCCUAGGCCCGUGUGGCAGAGGUUGGACCGCUGGUUGUGACGAAGGCGAGAGGGCACACGACCGCGGGGCGGUUGCACGCUCCUUGUGCGGCGGUUCGCCUUCUUGACCGUUGGUUGCGGCGAAGAUGAAGGGGCGCACUACCGCGGGGCAGUGGCAUGCUCCUUGUGCGACGAUUCACCUUCUUCGCGCUUCGGGCCAGCUUGUAUGACAUGUGAGGCCUGGCCCCCGUGUCAUAGGAUGGGAACCCUGGUGCGCAUUGGGGGAGACCUUGCCCGUGACGCUUAGGGGCGCGAGCGGGGAAAUCUGCCUUUAAAAAGGGGUUCAUCCCUCGAGUAGCAGCCAUGCCUUGCUUCUCUCCCACUCGCGGUGCCCUUUCGCCUUCGAGCUCUCUGCGCCCUUUUGCCUUCAAGGUUUCUGCUUUGCGUCGCCAUAGUUUACCAUGGCCUUGUAAGUUCAUCUCGACCAGGCAAAUGCCAACGUGUUCGCAUGGGAGCGAUCGCAGAUGCCUGGGAUUCCCCGGGAGGUGAUUGAGCACCACGUGAAGAUCAACCCCGACGCCAGGCCGGUGAGUCAGAAGCCUCGCAGACAGUCUGUUGAGCGGCAGGACUUCAUCCGAAAGGAGGUCCGAAAGCUGCUAGACGCUGGCUUCAUCGAAGAGGUUCAUCACCCAAUAUGGCUGGCCAACCCAGUCAUCGUCCCCAAGGUGAAUGGGAAGCUUCAGAUGUGCAUCGACUACACCAGCAUGAAUAAGGCUUGUCCCAAGGACCCGUAUCCACUGCCACGUAUAGACCAAAUCGUGGAUUCUACCUCUGGGUGCGACCUAUUGUCAUUCUUAGACACUUACUCUGGUUUCCAUCAAAUCCAGAUGUCUAGGGAAGAUAGGAAGCAUAUCGCUUUUGUAACAGUGGAUGGGCUUUACUGCUAUGUUGUUAUGCCUUAUGGUCUGAAAAAUGCCUUGCCUACAUUUGUGCGGGCGAUGAGCAAGACUUUUUGGAACCUGAUUAGGGACAAAGUGGAAGUCUACGUCGAUGACAUCAUGGUCAAGACUAAGAGAGGGUCGACCCUAGUGGAAGACUUAACCCUAGUGUCUUCGACAAGCUGCGGGCAACCCGCAUAAAACUGAACCCGGACAAAUGCGUUUUUGGCGUUUCCGCUGGGAAGUUACUGGGAUUCCUGGUUUCGUACCGGGGCAUUGAAGCAAACCCGGAGAAGAUCAAAGCGAUCGAGGCAAUAAGGCCCCCGGCCCGAGUCAAGGACGUCUAGAAGCUUACGGGAUCAUUAGCCGCCCUUAGCCGCUUCAUUUCGAGGCUGGCUAAGAGAGCGCUGCCCUUCUUCAAGCUGCUGCGGAAGUCCGGGCCCUUCUCCUGGACCGAAGAGGCGGAGCAAGCCUUCCAGGAGUUGAAGCAGCACUUGGUAUCCCUACCAAUAUUGGUAGCUCCGGAACCAGAGGAGCCGCUAUAUUUAUACAUCGCGGCGGUCAUGGAAGCAGUGAGCAUGGUGCUGGUCGUCGAGAGACCGGCACCAGAAAGCCAGGAACCUGAGGACUCGGGACCGGCUGCAGGGGUCCGAACCAUCGAAAGGUCGGUCUACUACGUCAGCGAGGUCCUUCAUGAGGCAAAAACCAGGUACCUUGAGACGCACAAACUCCUCUAUGCUGUGCUUGUUGCGUCCAGGAAGCUGCGCCAUUAUUUCCAAGGGCACAGGAUUGUGGUGGUGACCUCCUUCCCAUUAAGGGCCAUCCUCCACAACUCUAAUGCCACAGGCAACAUCGCCAAAUGGGCCGCUCAGCUCGCUGAGUUCCAGCUAGACUUCCGACCUCGCCACGCCAUCAAGAGUCAGGUCCUGGCUGACUUCAUCGUAGAAUGGACGCCCCCCCAAAUGUUCCUGGGGGUCCGGGUCCUGAUUCGGACCCCACACCUGUGGAGCCUAGGGGUCCGGCCUUCAUCGAGCCCCACUAGACGCUCUACUUCGACAGAUCUGCCUGCCAACAAGUUGGCGGGGCCGGGGUGAUCCUCAUUGAUCCAAGCGGAGAUCAAGUGAAGUACAUGGUGCACCUUGAGUUCAAGGCCACCAACAACAUGGCAGAGUACGAGGUGCUGAUCUUCGGCUUAUCGGCAGCCCUAUGCCUGGGAAUCCGCCAGCUCCUGGUGAAGGGAGACUCCCAGCUAAUCAUCAAGCAAGUCCGUGGGGAGUGUAGCUACAAUGAGCCCAGGCUCGUAGCCUACCUUCUUCACAUGAGAAAACUGGAGAAAGACUUCACAGCCCUGGAACUACAACAUGUUCCUCGGGCUGACAACUCAGCGUAGAUGACCUCUCCGUGAAGGCAUCAACUUGGGCACCCGUGCCUGAGGGCGUCUUCGAAAGAUGGCUGCUGAGACCCACCGCCCAGCCUGCCGAACUGGGCGAAGGGGGCGAGACUAGCACCUCGAAGCUAGCAGUCCUGGUGGCGUCCUAGAACCCUCCAAAGACUAUGUGUGCUACAGGGGGCCUGCCAGCCCCUUUGCACCGCAGCCAAUAUCUCAGAGUGGUCCCGAUUCAUGGAUCUCCGAGAUCCGGGACUACCUGAAGGAGAAUAUCCUUCCUAAAGACCAUGUGUCCGCAGAACGCAUAGUGCGGUUGACUAAGCGCUACGCGGUGGUGGAAGGGGAUCUCUACCGCCGCGGCGCCAACGGCAUUCACAUGCAAUGCAUUACCCAGGAGGAGGGCUGUGAGUUGCUCACAGAGAUCCAUGGAGGAGAGUGCAGAAGUCAUUCAUCAUCCCGCACACUGGUCGGUAAGGCCUUCCGGCAUGGCUUCUACUGUCCAACCGCUCUCCAGGAUGCAGCUGAGAUGGUAAAAUCCUACAAGGCGUGUCAAUUCCACGCAAAAUAGAUACACACACCAGCUUAGACCCUGCAGAUGAUUCCGCCCUCUUGGCCAUUCGCCGUAUGGGGGGUGGAUAUCCUGGGACCAUUUCCCAGGGCCGUUGGCGGGUACAGGUACCUCUUCGUCGCCAUCGACAAGUUCACCAAGUGGCUAGAGACCACUCCUGUGGUCAACAUCACCCAGGGUGCCGCUGUCGCCUUCCUCAAGUCCAUCGUCUGUAGAUUUGGGGUCCCAAACCGUAUCAUUACGGACAACGGAACCCAGUUUACAAGUCAGAUCUUCCAGGAAUAUUGCGAGGGCAUCGGCACCCAGCUCUGCUUCGCAUUCGUGGCCCACCCCAAGAGCAAUGGUUAAGCGGAAAGGGCAAAUACAGAGAUCCUCAGGGGACUCAAGAUGCGCACCUACGAUUACUUGAAGAAGCAUGGUGCGAUUUGGGUCAGUGAACUCCCAUCUGUGCUAUGGGGGAACCGGACAACACCCAGCCGAGCCACCAGGGAGACCCCGUUCUUCCUGGUCUACGGGGCCGAAGCCUGUCUUCCCCCGAAAAUCAUCAUGGGCUCUUCUCGGGUCCAGGCUUUUGAGGAAUCUAUGCAGGGACAGUUGCGAUGUUAAGACAUGGACUUCAUCGCCGAGCGUAGAAGGCAAGCAGCCAUCCGAAAUGCACGGUACAACCAAGCGCUCAGGCGCUACCACCAACGGUUCGUGCAUAGUAGGGAGCUCAGGGUCGGGGACCUAGUCCUAAGGCGAGUACUGAACCGAGUAGGGCUCCAUAAACUCUCCCCCAGCUGAGAAGGACCCUUCAAGGUGACGGAAGUAUGCCGACCCGGGUGUGUUCGCCUCGCCACAACUGAAGGAGAGCCUCUGCCCAAUCCCUGGAACAUAGAGCACCUCCGUAAGUUCUUCCCAUAAAAACAAAGCUGGGGAAUGCAGUUUUCUUCCUUUGUAACUAGGUAGCACAUAUAUGUACACCAACCCGGUAAGGUUUGCCCUUAUAAACCCGGUUUGUUGGUUUACGCUCAUGAACAUCAAGUUAUGAAGAGAAGAUUCACCCCCCAGAUUUGCUUUAUGGUGGUUUUAUUCUGCUUAAGCUUGCAACCAUUAUUUUUAUCUCACCCACACAUACGGAUUCCCUCCAUUGCUGGUAUAUUGACAUCCAGAUUUGAGUAGCCAGGCCGUGUAGCCUGGGGGCCAGUCCAAGAGAACGGAUAAUCGUCCCUGGGGAGGUCCGGAGCCGUGCGGCCGCUUAGCUUGGUCCAGUACCCUAAGCCCACACGCUCCACCACUCUAUGGCGGGUGUCCUGGUACCCGAAACUAUAGUCCUGUGGGUCCAGAAACCCGAGGUCCAGCUCUAAAGAAAGGACACACGUCUCAUGGGGAGGUCCGGAGCUGUGGCUCCUUCUCCUCCAGUUUCUUCUCCUUCUCCUCCGUCUCGAGCUUGUGCUCGGCCAGCAACUUUUCCCACCUUUCCCGCAUCUCCUCCCUCCAGGCGAGGUCCUUCUCCUACCGGACGAGAUCCGUCGCCCGCUCCUCCAUUGAGGCAUCCUUCGCCUUGAGGUUUUCCUCGGCGAGAGAGAUGUUGCUAGCCCUAUCAUCAAGCUCCUGCCGCAGCUUUUGCAGAGCCGCCUUAGUCGCGGUCUGCUCAUCUUGCUGCUUCUCCAGCAUCACAUUAUAGGCUUUCAACUUCUCAUGGAAUUCCGUGAUGACCGCCUCCCUUUGGUCCAAGUGCUCUUUCUUCUUGACCAGCCUCUUCUCCUCCCGGGUCACCUCCCUCUCCCGGUCGAACACCUUCUCCAGGUCCUCCUUGAGGUCCUCGCGCUCCUGCUCAAGCUCGGACCGCUCCGAAGCAAAUUGGCAGGAUGCGGCCUUGGCACGCUCCUCCAACUGGAUGCGCCAAUCACCAAGGCGCUGGUGCUUAGUCUCGAGUGCCUCCCACUCCCGCAGGAUCGCCGCCUCGGUCUCCCGGAGAGCCUGAUGAGUGCGGGACAGCACCCGAGGGAGGGGAGGCGGCGCCGUUUCUGGCCCAGCGCCGGUCUGGAGCCGUCGCCCAAGAAUAACCUCCGGCUCCUCCGGAAUGGGCGGCGGGAUGGAGCUGGGCGCGCCCCUCGCGUCUUCCGUCGUUGCCGACGGUAUAUUCAACGACAUCGCCGCCGCCGUUGGGUCUACAGUAGCCGUUGGCGGUGCUGCUGCUACUGGACCCCGGCUGGAGCCUGGGGGCCUGACGGUGCUGCCUCGACAGUGGCAGCUGGAACCUGGGGGCCCGACGGCGCUACCGCGGCAGUAGCAGUCGGAACCUGGGGGCCUAACGGCGCCGCCUCAACGGUGGCAGGCGGAACCUGGGGGCCUGAUGGCGCCGCCUCGGCAGUGGUAGGCGGAGGCAGGUUGCCGGCAUCAAGGCCAGCAGACACCUACUGCUGGGAGCCGAAUUCACCAGUGGGGACGGCUUUGGAAACAGAGGGAGAAGAGGCCCUGACAAGCAAAGGACGGGUUAAUACCCGUCAACAUGGUAACUAGACCAAUGGGGAAAAUAAAAGGGGUACACUUACUUGUGACCCUGGAAGCGAGACGUCCGCUGCCCCUGCUACUGUUGAUGAUGCUGCCCCUGCGGCGGUGGCGAGCCAGAUGAUGGUGGCAGCGGCGGCGGGACUGAUGGUGGUGCUGGUGGAGGACUGACGCGCCUCUGCGAGCCCUGGGCCAGGGAGCCAGCCUCCUCAACCCCCCCAGCUAUCCUCUGGCGCUUCUGGGGGAGGUCUGAAUCAAGGGGCGGAUCCGUGAUGAAAGACCUGUCGGCGCGACGCAGUCGGUGCCGCCUCUCUCCCUCCGACCUCCCGGAACCACCCGGGGCGGAACAACCGCUCGCAGUCCCCUUGCCCUUGUCCGAGGGGCUGAGGGCCGCGGGGGGAGCUCUAGAGCCGGCAUCGGCAGGCCGGGAACCUCUGGCCGGUACACCGGGGAUCUGAAUCCCGCGGUGCAGGUCCCGGCCAUCGGUCUGGCGAACUGCUACGCCGCUCUCAUCAAGGGUCGGUAGCCAAUCCAAGAUCGUUGCCCUCAACCCUUGGUCGUCGCAGAGCGGAGGAAUGCCCUCGGGAUGGAUUAAGGUCUCAACAAUGAAAGACUCAUCAGCAAUCCCCUUCACCAGGAGCUCUAACUCCUCCCAGGAUAGGUCGAUGCCUGGCCCGUGAUGGACCCGGCCGAGGUCGUUCGGGCAAGUGAACCAGCAGCUCAGGCAUGCCCUCGCCUGCAGCAGCGCGAUCCGGCGCUUCAAGAAGUCGCCGACCACAAGCAUCGACGUCAGACCGCCGGUCGCCAGGGACUUGAUCCUGCCCAAUACGGGCUCGAACUCUGGUGUCAACGGCGGCUUGGCCCUCCAUUGCUUCUUGUCGAGCCUCGGCCCGUCACUCAGUAGUACGAGGCGGUCGCUGGCCUUGGUACUGGCGAUCACCCAUUCGGUCUGCCAGUUUUCCCACCUCGCGCCGCUGAGGGAGGAGAUAUAGGCGCCGACCGAAUCCGCCCUCGUCUGGAAGUAGUACGCACCGAGAUAGUCCUUGGCCUUCCCGGACUUCACCAACACGAAAAAAAUGGCGGAAGAGAGGUGCACGGCACCACCCCACGAACAUCUCGCACAGAUGAGCGAAGAUGGCCACCUGAAGGAUGGAGUGGGGUGUGUGGUGCUAGAGCUGGAGACCGAGAUCCUCCAAUAGUAACAUGAAGAAGGGUGAGAUCGGCAACACCAACCCACACGAAAGGUAGGAGACAAAGAGCACAAACUCCUCGGCGGCGAGAUCACCGAGGGGGUAGCGCCGGCCCGGAUCCUCCAGGCGUGCGACGACGCACUCCAUCCGAGCAGGCGGCACACCGUGCCGAGCGUCCUCUCGGUCUGGUAACGCUCGGGAUGAACCAGCGAAGCCAUGGCGACUACAGCGGCGAAAAGCAGAAAAAUGUGAGUGCAACACAGGCGUAGAGGACUCGGAGGAGAAAGGACGCAGCAGUUGAAGAAAGUGCGAAAGUGUAACUGCUGGCCGCGGGAUGAAUCCCCUUCUCAAAGAAGGCUCUCCCGCUCGCGUCCCAACCCCAUCCGACGCGCACCUAGUGCUCGCAGUGACCCUGUCCUCGACAUGGGGGCCUAGGUCCACAUGUCACGCACAUGGAGAACUGACCUCCGAGUGCGUAGAAGACGGACCGUCCUCCCGGAAGCAAACCGUCACGCACAACCGCACGUCGCCUAGGAGCCACUGAAGGAUAUUUUUAACUAAGGCGGCGACAAUGAGACGCCCCGUGCACGACCCGACAAAACCGCCGGGCGUGGGGGCCACGUACCUGCCAGCUGCGGGGACAGACGUGGCAGGCGGCAUGACCGAAGGCGGGUUGGCGAUGGCUACGUCAGCAAGUGCCCGAAAAUGGCACGCCUAUCAGGCUUUGGCCCCACCUGCAGGCUUGUAACCUCCCCUGAGGUGGGCAUGGGGGCCACUGUCAGUACCCUGGAACAGGGGUACCCCUUACUAUGGUAAAGGCGCGGUACCCACGCGUCUAUCUCUAGACGCGCGGUAAACAGCGCUCGACCCCACCACGUGGGCGACUCCGAGGCCGCCAAGUGACCAAAGAAGGUAACAUAUACCGUGAUAUUGUCAGUGGAUCCGGACCCCCGUGGGAAAGUGCCGGACCCCAGCAUACAUGACCCGGACCUCCGGGUACGACCCAGGACCUCCACGUUCCCCUGGAUGGGACCUGGACCCCUAUAAGUGAGGUCUGGGCCACCCACGGCAAGAUCCCGGGACGAAGAAUACCCUGGCCUAAGUCAAGGACGUACAGGGGUCCGACGCAGACAUUUGUCAGGGUCUUGCCCAGUGUGCUUCCGCUCCCCGCUUAGGCGGGGACCCGAUGCUGCCACGUGGCCUAUUGCCCGUGACAUAAGCCGGCGGGCAGAGCCUGACGUAAGGCCUCUAGGCCACGCGAUCUCUGCAUUUAUUGCGGAAAAGACGCGCCGCCUGUCCGCCCUGCUGACAGGCGAUGUGUCGUCUCGGCAUUUAAUGUGCCUCGUCCACUCUGAUGGCAGGCAACGACUAGACCACCCUAUAGGCGGCGUGCCUGUCCAAUCAGACAGCGGGCAGUACGCCCAUACCGCUGCGCGCGUGCGAUGGUCAUCAUGACUUGUAUGAUGCCGGGGAACCUUCUGUUGCACGCUAAUACUACUCAAGUGGUGGAUAUCGGGGCACAGAGAGAUUGCACAAGGUGACUGACAUUAGUUGCUCCGGGUAUUCCAUCCGUUAUGUCCCUGGGCCCACAUGUCGGGGUUCAGUGUCUUUGUACGUGCCCCAUUGAGCUAUAAAAGGGAGGGCACACGACAUAGAUAGACUCAGACUCUCAGCUCUCAAGCUUCCACAGCAAUCCAACACACAUUGGAGUAGGGUAUUACGCUCCAGCAGCCCGAACCACUCUAAAUCCUCGCGUGUUCACGUGCUCGGUGAUCGCUUAGCAAGACAGGCAAAACGCUUAAGCCCCUUCCUCAUCUUAGGAUUUAGGGCGGGUGCAUUCCGCCACCCGGCCGGAGAAUUCCCUCUCCGACAGACACAGUGCGCCGCGCAGCACGUGCGCACUGUUUGACAGUGGACUGGACAGGCAUGCCGUCUGUAGGAUGGCCCUGGCGGCACCUGCCAGCGGAGUGGACAGGACGCAUUAAAUGCUGAGGGGGCACAUCGCCUAUCAGCAGGGUGGACAGGUAGCGCGUCCUCUCUGCAAUAAAUGCAGAGACCAUGCGGCCUAGAGGCCUUACGUCUGGCUCCGCCCGCUGGCUUAUGUCAUGGGCAACAAGCCACGCGGCAGCAGCGGGUCUCCACCUGAGCGAGGAGCGCAAGCGCACAGGAUAAGGCCUGACACGUGUCAGUACCGGACCCUUGCUUAUGCUAGGGUAUCCCCUGUCCUGGGACCUCGUUGUGGCUCGAACCUUACUCGGAGGGAUCUGGACCCCAUCCAAGGGACCCGACAUGCUUACUUGGGAGUCCCGGACUGUAAUCGGGGUCCGGGUUGCGCGUACAGGGGUCCAGUGCUUCCUCGCGGAGGUCCGAUCCAACUGAUACAUCCUGGGAUGUAUCAUCUUUUCUCGCCACGUGGUGCCCCUUGAGCCGUCCAUGUUGUGGGGUCGGGUGUUGUUCUCAGUGCGGCUAGAGAUUGCCGUACGGGCACCGUGUCUUCAUACUGUAGUAAGGGGGUACCCCUGAUUCAGGUUACCGACAGUGGCCCCCGGGCUCGCCUCAGGGGAAGAUACGAGCCUGCAGGUGGGGCCAAAGUUUGACUGAUUGGCUUGCUGCUUCUGCGCGCCCGUUCGAUGCAAUUACUGCCGGUCCGCCCUUGGUCACGCUGAAUGCCAUGCCUGUCCCCGCGGCUGACUAACCUGUGACCUCCGCACUUAAUGGCUUUGUUGGGCCAUGCGUGGGGUGCCUCGAGUCGCUACAUUGGUUUUAACUUCUCCGCCUUCUGCGGCGGCCCCGAGGAGGCGCGGUACUGGCGCGAGCGGCGGUGCGACUCUUCUGCACACAGAAACCGCGGCGCCAGGUGCACAACAUGUGGGCCUAGGCCCUUGUGUCAGAGGUUGGACCGCUGGUUGCGGCGAAGCCGAGGGGGCGCACGACCGCGGGGCGGUUGCAUGCUCCUUGUGCGGCGGUUCGCCUUCUUGACCGUUGGUUGCGGCGAAGAUGAAGGGGCGCACUACCGCGGGGCGGUGGCAUGCUCCUUGUGCGACGAUUCACCUUCUUCGCGCUUCGGGCCAGCUUGUAUGACAUGUGAGGCCUGGCCCCGUGUCAUAGGAUGGGAACCCUGGUGCGCAUCGGGGGAGACCUUGCCCGUGACGCUUAGGGGCGCGAGUGGGGAAGUCUGCCUUUAAAAAGGGGUUCAUCCCUCGAGUAGCAGCCAUGCCUUGCUUCUCUCCCACUCGCGGUGCCCUUUCGCCUUCAAGCUCUCUGUGCCCUUUUGCCUUCAAGGUUUCUGCUUUGUGUCGCCAUAGUUUACCAUGGCCUUGUAAGUUCAUCUCGAGCAUGCCCAGACUGAAUGGGUGCUCGACAUGGUGUGCCACCUACUUGGAUGGGAUGCGCCGGCGUUCGGCGGGAGGAUUUGCGCCGGCGCCAUCCUCCCCAGCGAACUUGCCGCCAGAGAGUUCGUGCCUUUUGUCCUCCCCAGCAGGGUGGCUCUGUCGAUCCUAUCUUUCUUCGUGCAGCUGCUGGAGGGGCUUGGCCUCCAGCCUCUACCCGUGGCGUCCUGCUUCAUCCUUCAGUCGGCCAUCAUCGCCUACCUCCCCGGGAUAUCCGCGGAGGCGACGCUCCUUCCCGCUUCUUCCUCCAGCAUCCGGGGGAGGAUGAUCACCAGCCUCGUGAAGGUGGACAGCGGGCUGAGCCACGACUCCAUCCCUCACGCCCUCCAACUCUUUGGGGGUAGGAAGCGAGCCGUGCUGUGGCUCCAUCUCUUUGGCUUUGAUGGCUUUGGGGCCGCCUCCAACGCUGCCUCCCGCCGCCAAGCGGGGCAUGGAUAUCCGUCCACAGCACGGGCGAUGGUCAUGUCGUGCAGGUCCGUCGUAUCCGUAGCGUCCCCUGCGCCGCCGGCCACACUGCUCUGACGCUGCCCGGGGGGACGUACAAGACGUCAUACGCCGUGGAGGUGGUGACCGAGUUCUUGGAUGGUCUUGUCCACCCCCAUAGGAGGACGAGGGCGAGGACCUCUUCGCACGUGCUGAGGUGGUCGCCGUCGCUGGCAAGCCACUAGUGCAAAGGCGGCCUCCGCUGCUGGCGAGCCGUCGGUGUAGAGGUGGCCGCCUCUACUGGCGAGCCGCUCGGAGUAGAGGUGGUCGCCACCGCUGGUGAGGCUGCCCAAAGCUAGCUUCCAACGUGACCCUGCUGGUGCAGAGUAGUCCAUUCCUGCAGAGUAGAGGUGGAGCUAGGACUCCGCUUGAAAGUGGAUGUAAUACUUUUGCUUUUUGUAAGGUACUUUUGAGUACUAUUUAUCAAGCAAUAUUAGCACUUAUCUGUGUACCACUUGUCCCUGUUGUGUGUGGUGUAACCGAUUCCUCCUUGGUACCUGGCCCCCCUGGGAUGUAGGCUCAAUUUGUUGAGGCUGUAGACCAGCAUACCUAAGAAAGAGUUGGCAAUGGCCCCCAGGAGGUAGCCUCGACUGUGACCUGGGCCUGCACACAAUUUUGGCUAGGGAGCAUUAGUAGUACACCCACAGGACCUACCAUCUGACACUAGCCACCCUUUGAUACAUGCUCGGGACCUGCAUGGUCUAGUCUGGGAAGCCAAGUUGUGCGUCCGGACCCCCUGGAAGGUGGUUCUAGGUACUAGGACACCAGUCACAGAGUGGUGGAGCGUGCAGGCCCACGGUACGGAACCAGGCUGAGCGGCUACACGGCUCCGGACCACCCUAGGAGACAAGUGUCCAUUCUCUAGUUCCGGACUCCAGGUUGCCGGACCCACAGGACUUAUAGCUCCAAAUACUAGGGUACCCAUCACGGAGUGGUGGAGUGUGCAGGCUUUCGGGUACGGAACCAGGCUAAGCGGCCACAUAGGCUCCGGACCACCCCAUGGAACGGGCUCCCGCUCUUUAGAGUCGGCCCCCAGGCUGUCGGGCCCUCCUACUUUCGCAGAGAGGUCCUAAACUGCAAUCCUGGCUGUUCAAUUCUGAUGUCAUUAUGUAUGAUGGAAUGGGAACUGUUUGGGUGGGUUAGAUAAAACAACAUCCGGAAAACUGCAAGGUAAGACCAUGGAGCAGUAGGAUAAAACUAUCGUAGAGGCACAUCUGAGGGGGUAAAUCUUUUCUUUAUAACUUAUCAUGCAUGGGUGCAGACUAACAGGCCGGGCUUAUGAGGGCAGACCUCACCGGGUUGGCGUACACGUAUGCGUUACCUAGUUACAAAAGGGAGAAAAAUUCGACCCCUCAAAUUUGCUCCUAUGGAUAGAACUUACAGAGAUGCUCCGGUGGUCAGGAAGAGGUACUCCUUCAGUCAUAGCAAGAUAGUCACCCCCGGGUCGGCGUAUUCCCGUCACCUUGAAGGGUCCUUCCCAGCUGGGGGAGAGUUGUGGAGCCCAUCUUAGCUUGGUACUUGUCGUAGGACUAGGUCCCGACUCUGGGUUCCCAUUUGCGUUUGAUGAGGGAGCCCUCGUCCUCGUGCUAUACCCAUUCCUGCAUGGACUUGUCAGAGGCCUGGACCCGUGGGGAGUCCAGAAGGGUUUCCGGGGGAAGGCAGGCUUCGGCCUAGACUGGGGAGUACGGGAUCCCUCUGGGGGUCCAUCUAGUUGUCGCCACCGGAGUAGGAAUCUCCGGCGAAGACAUCCUUCAGGUCCCCCUCGGGUGACUGAUACCCGAGGUCCCAUUCAGCCGCGGCCACCUCGCCGUCGUCGACCUUUUCUUUGCCAGGUCGACGACGAGGUGGGGAGCCGUCCUUGGAAGACUGCUCGCGCCGCUUGCUGACCCAUUUCGCGAGGUCAAUGAUCUCACGACACUCCGCGGCGCUGUGGCGACCAUUGGGGUGCAUAGGGCAUGGGCCGCUGUUACCCCUCUACGACCGUGGGCGUUUGUUGCGGUCGCCCCGGCAGACGGUCGCGGCUGCAACGACUAGAGCGGUGGACCACGGCUUCUGGUGGUCGCGGUCCUUCUUCUUUUUCUUCUUACCGUCCUGGGGGACGGCACCUGAGCCACCCGACUGGGCAGCCUCAGUCUGUGGGGCCAAAUGCCAUGCACGGCCCUCGGCGGCUCUGGCGCAUUUGUCGGCCAGAGUGAAGAGUGUGGGGACAGUCUCCACGUCAUGCGUGGCCAACUUCUCCAACAUUUUCUCAUCACGUACUAAUGGCGGAAGGCCGUGAUGAUGGAAGCAUCGGAAAUGCGAGGUAUAGUACCUCACACCUUGGUGAAGCGGGAGAUGAACGUCCGGAGAGUCUCCCCGAGCUCCUGCCUUACCACGUGGAGGUGGGCCUCCACACCGUGCUGCUGGUAAGCGCUGGCGAAGUUUGCAACGAACCACGCGUAGAGCUCUUCCCAGGAGUAGAUUGACCCUGGGGCGAGGUUCAUGAGCCAAGUCCGGGCAGGUCCAGACAAGGCGACAUGAAAAUAUGUCGCCAUCACAGCGGUGUUUCCACCUGCUGCUGUGAUAGCGGUGACGUACACCUGCAGGAAUUCUGACGGGUUUGAUGUACCGUCGUACUUUUCCGACAGGUGUGGCCGAAACUUGGAUGGCCAAGACGUCGCGUAGAGAUGAUCCGCGAGAGCGGCGCAGCCUACGCCGGCCAAGGGGACACUCGCUUGGGACCGGGUGCCCAUUAGGGUCUACGGUGCUACCGCAGCGAAGUCUUGAUCGAGGUUGCGACCCUCGAUGUUUUGGUGGCGCUCGCGCGCCCUCUCUAAAGAGACCCGGGCGUCCUCUCCCGCACACCUGCGGUUGAGUUCGCCCGGAGGUCGUUGGUCUGUGCGCCCCUCACUGAGGGUGAGCGCACAGACGCCAACGCCUCAUGUUGGCGCCGGGAUGACCGUGGCCUCGACCUGGUCGAGGUAGAAUGUGCCAUGCCGAGCAGUCGGUCGACGUUGUCCCGCCACUGCUUCAUGGCCCCUGGUGAGGCCGUGGAGCUUGGAGGGUGACACAACAACUCCCUGGCUGCUGACAAUGCUCCUGAAGCCGUCCUCGACGGAGUCCGGGAUGUCUGCGCUGUUGUAUGCUGCCGUGUGGCGUGCACAGCAGCCGUGCCCGGCACUGGGCGGUUGGAAACCUAUGGCGUGGAAGAAACAACUUCUUCCUCCACCAGGAAAUCCAUUGAAGUCUCGGCGCGGUGCUCCACGAUUUGCACCAUCAUGCUGAGCGAGGAAACAAGCAAAAACCUAAUGCCUAGCCCCCUACCUGGCGCGCCAAAUGUCAGAGAGGGAAUUCUCCGGCCGGGUGGCGGAAUGCACCCGCCCUAAAUCCUAAGAUGAGGAAGGGGCUUAAGUGUUUUGCCUGUCUUGCUAAGCGAUCACCGAGCACAUGAACACACGAGGAUUUAGAGUGGUUCGGGCCGCCGGAGCGUAAUACCCUACUCCACUGUGUGUUGGAUUGCUGUGGAAGCUUGAGAGCUGAGAGUCUAAGUUGGGUUCGUCCGAGUGUGGCCUCCCAGAGCCUGUGUUGUAACGUUGCAUGCCUCCCCUUUUAUAGCUAAGGGGGCAUGCACAAGGGUACUGAGCCCCGACAUAUGGGCCCAGGAGCAUAACGGAUGUAGUACUUGGAUCUACUAAUGUUCGCCGCUCGAGCAAUCUUCUUGCGCCCUGACAUCCGAGAUCUGCGUAGUAUCGGCGUGCAGGGGAAGCUUCUCGUAUAAGGGAUGAUGGACAUAGUGCGCCGUGCAGCACGGGCGCACUGUUUGACAGUGGACUGGACAGGCGUGCCGUCUGUAGGAUGGCCCUGGCGCCACCUGCGAGCGGAGUGGACAGGAUGCAUUAAAUGCUGAGGGGGCACAUUGCCUGUCAGCAGGGUGGACAGGCGGCGCGUCCUGUCCGCAAUAAAUGCAGAGACCGUGCGGCCUAGAGGCCUUACGUCAGGCUCCGCCCGCUGGCUUAUGUCACGGGCAACAAGCCACGCGGCAGCAGCGGGUCUCCACCUGAGCGGGGAGCGCAAGCGCACAGGAUAAGGCCUGACACGUGUCCGUACCGGACCCUUGCUUAUGCCAGGGUAUCCCCUGUCCCGGGACCUCGUUGUGGCCCGGACCUUACUCGGAGGGAUCUGGACCCGAUCCAAGGGACCCGACAUGCUUACUUGGGAGUCCCGGACCGUAAUCGGGGGUCCGGGUUGCGCGUACAGGGGUCCGGUGCUUCCUCGCGGAGGUCCGAUCCAACUGAUACAUCCUGGGAUGUAUCAUCUUUUCUCGCCACGUGGUGCCCCUUGAGCCGUCCACGUGGUGGGGUCAGGUGUUGUUCUCCGUGCGGCUAGAGAUCGUCGUACGGGCACCGUGUCUUCAUACUGUAGUAAGGAGUACCCCUGAUUUAGGGUACCGACAAGUACACCCUAUCCCAUAACUAGAACCCCACACUAGAGCAACAUUUAGGUACCUGUUUGGCAAAACAGACCACUCAGUACUAAUGACUGAACUCGAGAAGACCAGUCGGUAUGCACCUCAUAAAGGGUAACCACAUCGAUCUCUGAACUUUGAAUCACUCGGAGUUCACUAAGCUAUUUCGAAAUCACACUCAUAGGUUUAGGGACUACACCAGGGUUCACAAUUUCGUUUAGGAUGAUCUGAAUUUUGUUUGGUUGACUAAAAUUUGACUUUUGUAUUUUUUCAUUUUGAAUCGAAAUCUAUUUAAAACUGGACCGAAAUUCGUUUUUCUGUUAGUAGCGAAAACGAGAAAAAUUAUCGAAAUUCAAUGUUCUCGCACCGAGAAACACGCAUUAGACGCACCUAUCACGCCUAGGGACCUAAAGAACACAAAAGAAACUACUACUACUCCCGUCCACCCUAUUCUUUGAAUCGCACAGAGGCUUGGGGCCACACGUAGUAGGUGCCCCGUCCAUCCACUUAGGGUGCGUUUGGUUGUAAUGAUAGGACGGGACGGGAUGGAACCAUCCCUCAAAUAAAGGUUGUUUGGUUCAGUGUCAAGGGUUGGGACAGGACUAUCUCAAUGUUGUCCUCAGUUGUUCUUCAAAAUUGGAGGGACAAGAGAGGACGCCUGGGGACGUCCCUGUCCUAGUUGUCCCACGACCAUCUGAGGUUUCACAAAUUAAAGCGCUGAGUGGUGGAACUAGUCUAGUGUAAGACAAAGCGAGAGUGCGGUCAAGAUGAAUAUGAUUCAUGGGAGUACAAUUCUCAUUGUUUCCUCUUCUCUUAGGUUGUCUCCAACAGCCUUUUCUAAUUCACAUCUCAUAUUUCAACGACGUACACACCGUUCGAUUGCCUUUUCUGCAGGUUGCUGCUUCUUUGUUUAUUAUUCUACACAGAUGCCGCAGCCGUUUGAUGUAAGGGCAGCCGAACGGCUACAGUCUACAAUGCAUAAUAAUGUUUUGCACUGUCGUAUACACGAUUUGCUUCUGGUUCAUAUCAAAGGUUCUAAUGGUUAGUCCAUAAAUUGAUUACCAGUGGCUUGAUUGAACACACCAAUUAUAACAACACAUGAGUCGGCGUCUCCUCUGCAUGCCCUGACACGUACAUGUGCCUUGUGUGUGGUUAUAACUCGACUACGAAGGCAAGUUAUCAACUGUUUCGAGAGAUGUCCAUUCUAUUAUUGUAGAUUUCUGGCCCGAUAUAUUUUUCUAGCUACAGAAAGAGCAUAUCUUUAUGAUGGAUAUCUCGAUGAGAGAGACUCGCUGCCUACUAUAUAUAUAUUUAUACUUAUACAAACAAGUAAACAACCACCAUAUCAAAGAGACAUCAAGAUGGAUUUUUUUUUCUCUGGAGUGACAAGCUGAAGAAGUGGCAUCUUCUUGUUCAAGUUUCGUAAUGUGUAAAGAAAAUGACAGCAUUUAAAUAUGAUAACACAAUAAUUAACGAUCGGGUGUUGUUUUCCUUGAACAGUGUUGCGCUAUUUAUAGAAUUGCUGGAUCCGCGUCUAUGAGACGGCAGCGGAUAUAUAGCAGUAGAAAGAGAUGAUUGGGCGACAGUCAUCAACUCCAGUGGGUUCCAUUGCUGCAUGCACAUUUAUUUAUACCACGACCACACAACGUGAACCUCGUGCAGUUUAUUAGCCAACUGUGAUCCAUCUUCCACAGUUACUAUUGUAUAGUCCCACAUGUUUCACAACCGGAAUCUGGCUCUUUGCUGAGUGCUCGACGCUUUGUCGAGUGCUUUUUCUCGAGCACUCGAUAAAGAAGUCUUUAUCGAGUGCUGUCGGGGACCAUAAUUAGGGUACCCUCAAGGCUCCUAAAUCUCAGCUGGUAACCCCAUCAGCACAAAGUUGCAAAGACCUGAUGGGUGCGAUUAAGUCAAAGAUCGGUCCAUUUGAGGGAUGCGAUCAUGCCUCGCCCGAGCCCAGCCUCGGGCAAGGGCAGCCGACCCCGGAGGAUCUACGUCUCGCCCGAGGACCCCCUCCAGCAACGGACACACCUUCGGCUCGCCCGAGGCCCAGUCUUCACCAAGAAGCAACCUUGGCCAUAUCGCCACGCCAACCGACCAAAUCGCAGGGGCAUUUAAUGCAAAGGUGGGUUGACACCUUUAUCCUGACGCACGCCCUCCAGUCGACAGAGCCGAAGUGACUGCAGUCACUUCACCGCUCCACUAACCGGUCUGACAAGAGGACAGCGCCGCCUGCGCCGCUCCGACUGCUGAGCUACUCGACAGAGUGAGGCUGACAGUAGCCAAGUCCGGCCUCAGACGUCAUAGGAAACUCCGCUUCGCCCGACCCCAUGGCUCGAACACGGGCUCAGCCCCGGAAGACGACAAACUCCGCUUCGCCCGACCCCAUGGCUCGGACACGGGCUCAGCCCCGAAAGACGACGAACUCCGCUUCGCCCGACCCCAGGGCUCGGACUCGGGCUCAGCCCCGGAAGACGACAAACUCUGCUCCGCCCGACCCCAGGGCUCGGACUCGGGCUCAGCCCCGGAAGACGACGAAUUCCGCUCCGCCCGACCCCAGGGCUCGGACUCGGGCUCAGCCCCGGAAGACGACGAACUCCGCUCCGCCCGACCCCAGGGCUCGGACUCGGGCUCAGCCCCGGAAGACGACGAACUCCGCUUCGCCCGACCCCAGGGCUCGGACACGGGCUCAGCCCCGGAAGACGACGAACUCCGCUUCGCCCGACCCCAGGGCUCGGACACGGGCUCAGCCCCGGAAGACGACGAACUCCACUUCGCCCGACCCCAGGGCUCGGACUCAGCUCCGGCCUCAGCCGACGGUCUCUGCCUUGUCCGUCCCGGGGGCCCGGACUCGACCUCGACCUUGGAAGACAGACUCGACCUCGACCUCGGAAGAGCCUCCACCUCGCCCAAUCUAGGGCACGGACCGACCACGUCGACAGGAGGCGCCAUCAUUACCCUACCCCGAGCUGACUCAGGCUACGGGGAAUAAGACCGGCGUCCCAUCUGGCUCGCUCCACCAUACGAGUAAUGAUGGCGCCCCGCAUGCCCUGUGACGACGGCGGCUCUCAGUCCCCUUACGGAAGCAAGAGGACGUCAGCAAGGACUCGACAGCCCCGACAGCUGUCCUUCCGCCAGGCUCCAGCGCUCCUCCGACGGCCACGACAUCACACGAACUGGGUGCCAAAACCUCUCCGGCUGCCACGAUGGCAUGUACUUAGGGCGCUAGCUCUCCUCCGCUAGACACGUUAGCACACUGCUACACCCCCAUUGUACACCUGGAUCCUCUCCUUACGCCUAUAAAAGGGAGGUCCAGGGCCCUCUUAUAGAGGGUUGGCCGCGCGAGGAAGGACGGGACGGCGCUCGCUCAAGGCCGCUCGCUCCCUACCGCGUGGACGCUUGUAACCCCCUACUGCAAGCGCACCCGACCUGGGCGCGGGGCUAACACGAAGGCCGCGGGUUCCACCUCCCACGCCUGUCUCCCUCCGGCUGCUUCUCCCCCCUUCGCGUUCCGCCUCGCGCCGACCCAUCUGGGCUGGGGCACGCGGCGACGAUUCACUCGUCGGUCCAGGGACCCCCCGGGUUUCGAAACACCGACAGUUGGCGCGCCAGGUAGGGGCCUGCUGCGUGUUGACAAACAGCUUCCCGUCAAGCUCCAGAUGGGCAGUCUCCAGCAACCUCUCCAACCCGGGACGGUGCUCCGUUUCGGGAGUCUUGAGUUCAUGUCCCUCGACGACAGCUAUGACAUGAUACUCCUUUCCCCGCCGCGCGACAGCGACAAUGGCGGUCGACAACCCGCCCGCCGGCGGGGAAAUCGACGACGCCUUCCCCAUGUGGUGGAAGGACGACUUUCGGGCUUGUCCCGUCCCCUCCCCCGCCGACGGAGGAGCAGGCGGGGCAACCAAGGCCAAGCGGGAGGCGGCACCUCGUUGGCUGUCGAGCGAGUCGAUGGUGCCGGCGCCCCAACGGGGAGCGCGUCGGGCAUCGGCCUCGCGUCUGAGACGAAGACGAGCGCCGUCUCCCCGCAACACACCAACCUCAAGCAAACGGACGACGCCAGCACGCUCGCGAAGGACUUGCUGGGCGUCACCCUCGUACCUGAGACGACGGUGCAGUCAGUCCCUGACGUGACUUCGUCACCGCCCGUCGACCAAAAGGUACCGACCGAUUCCCAUCUUGCGCCUUUCGGAUUCGGCCUCGACCCACCAAGCAACUCCACUUCGGUGGACACUCCCAUAGAGGCGAGUCCAAACCCUCUGGGGUAUCGUGUGCGGUCCACCUGGGACCGGCUGACGAUCGUCUCGACCUACGGGCCCUCGGGGUCCGAGGAAGAUGGCGAGCCCGACCUCUGUUGGGAUUUCUCCGGGCUAGGUAACCCCAAUGCCAUGAGGGAUUUCAUGACCGCAUGCGACUACUGCCUUUCCGACUGUUCCGACGGUAGCCGCAGCCUCGACGACGAGGACUACGGCCCAAGUCGCGAAUGUUUCCACGUCGAUCUAGGGGGUCCCGACGAAGGCAACCAUCCUGGUAUGCCAGAGAACGGUGAUCCCCCCAGGCCCGUGCCUCGCGUCGACAUCCUUCGGGAGCUAGCUGUGGUCCCCGUCCCGACGGGGGGUCCUGACCCACAACUCGAGCAAAUCCGCGAGAUGCAGGCCAGGCUCGACGAGGGAGCAGGAACGCUUGUGCCGAUCCGCCGGGACAUCGGGCAGGAAUGGGCGGGCCAACCUCCGGACGAAGAAGCGCGUCAUCUCCCCAAGGCAUCCAGCACCGCAUCGCCGACGACGUUAGGGUAAGGCCGCCACCGGUUUCCAGUGGAGUCGGCCAGAACCUGGCUGCGGCGGCAAUACUUCUCCGCGCGAUGCCGGAGUCAUCAACCACCGAGGGGCGGCGUAUCCAGGGAGAGCUCAAGAACCUCCUGGAGGACGCCGCGGUCCGACGGGCCGAAAGCUCCGCCUCCCGAAGGCAGGGGUACCCCUCAGAACAUAGCGUCGCGACUUCCCGAUUCAUGCGGGAAGCCUCGGUCCACACCGGGCGCACGCGCAACAUAGCGCCUGCGGCCCCGGGUCACCUCGGCAACGAGCACCAUCACCACAGCUGUCGGGCCCACCUCGACGAGAGGGUGCGCCGAGGCUACCACCCCAGGCGUGGGGGACGCUACGACAGCGGGGAGGAUCGGAGUCCUUCGCCCGAACCACCCGGUCCACAGGCUUUCAGCCGCGCCAUACGACGGGCACCGUUCCCGACCCAGUUCCGAACCCCGACUACUAUCACAAAGUACUAAGGGGAGACGAGACCGGAACUGUGGCUCGCGGACUAUCGGCUGGCCUGCCAACUAGGUCGAACGGACGAUGAUAAUCUCAUCAUCCGCGACCUCCCCCUUUUCCUCUCCGACACCGCUCGAGCCUGGCUGGAGCACCUGCCUCCGGGGCAGAUCUCCAACUGGGACGACCUGGUCCAAGCCUUCGCCGGCAAUUUCCAAGGCACGUACGUGCGCCCUGGAAACUCCUGGGAUCUCUGAAGCUGCCGCCAGCAGCCGGGAGAGUCUCUCCGGGACUACAUCCGGCGAUUCUCGAAGCAGCGCACCGAGCUGCCCAACGUCACCGAUUCGGAUGUCAUCGGCGCGUUCCUCACUGGCACCACCUGCCGCGACCUGGUGAGCAAGCUGGGUCGCAAGACCCCCACCAGGGCGAGCGAGCUGAUGGACAUCGCCACCAAGUUCGCCUCUGGCCAGGAGGCGGUUGAGGCCAUCUUCCGGAAGGACAAGCAACCCCAGGGCCGCCCACCGGAAGAUGUUCCCGAGGCGUCAACUCGGCGCGACACCAAGAAGAAGGGCAAGAAGAAGUCGCAAGUGAAACGCGACGCCGCCGACGCGGACCUUGUCGCCGUCGCCGAGUACAAGAACCCUCGGAAACCUCCCGGAGGUGCCAACCUCUUCGACAAGAUGCUCAAGGAGUCGUGCCCUUAUCAUCAGGGGCCCGUCAAGCACACCCUCGAGGAGUGUGCCAUGCUUCGACGCCACUUUCACAAGGCCGGGCCACCCGCGGAGGGUGGCAAGGCUCUCGACGACGCUAAGAAGGAAGAUCACAAGGCAGGAGAGUUCCCCGAGGUCCGCGACUGCUUCAUGAUCUACGGUGGGCAAGUGGCAAACGCCUCGGCUCGGCACCGCAAGCAAGAGCGUCGGGAGGUCUACUUGGUAAAGGUGGCGGCGCCAGUCUACCUAGACUGGUCCGACAAGCCCAUCACCUUCGACCAGGCCGACCAUCCCGACCAUGUGCCGAGCCCGGGGAAAUACCCGCUCGUUGUUGACCCCAUCAUCGGCAACGUCAGGCUCACCAAGGUCCUCAUGGACGGAGGCAGCAGCCUCAACAUCAUCUACGCCGAAACCCUCGGGCUCCUGCGGAUCGAUCUGUCCUCGGUCCGGGCGGGCGCUGCGCCUUUCCACGGGAUCAUCCCCGGGAAGCGCGUCCAACCCCUCGAACAACUCGAUCUACCCGUCUGCUUCGGGACGCCCUCCAACUUUCGAAGGGAGACUCUCACGUUCGAAGUGGUCGGGUUUCGAGGAACCUACCACGCAGUGCUGGGGAGGCCAUGCUACGCCAAGUUCAUGGCCGUCCCCAACUACACCUACCUCAAGCUCAAGAUGCCGGGCCCCAACGGGGUCAUCACCGUCGGGCCCACGUACCGACACGCGUACGAAUGCGACGUGGAGUGCGUGGAGUACGCCGAGGCCCUCGCCGAGUCCGAGGCCCUCAUCGCCGACCUGGAUAGCCUCUCUAGGGAGGCGCCCGACGUGAAGCGCCACGCCGGCAACUUCGAGCCAGCGGAGACGGUCAAGUCUGUCCCUCUCGACCCCUGCAACGACGCCUCCAAGCAGAUCCGGAUCGGCUCUGAGCUCGACCCCAAAUAGGAAGCAGUGCUCGUCGACUUUCUCCGCGCAAACGCCGACGUUUUCGCGUGGAGUCCCUCGGACAUGCCCGACAUACCGAGGGAAGUCACCGAGCACUCGCUGGAUAUCCGAGCUGGAGCCCGACCCGUGAAGCAGCCACUGUGCCGAUUCGACGCAAGGCCGCUCGCUCCCUCCCGUGUGAAGCUCAAUCCCGAAAAGUGUGUCUUCGGGGUCCCCGAGGCAUGCUCUUGGGGUUCAUCGUCUCCAAGCAGGGCAUCGAGGCCAACCUGGAGAAGAUCGCAGCCAUCACCAGCAUGGGGCCCAUCGAGGACUUGAAAGGUGUACAGAGGGUCAUGGGAUGCCUCGCGGCUCUGAGCCGUUUCAUCUCGCGCCUCGGCGAAAGAGGCCUGCCUCUGUACCGCCUCUUAAGGAAGGUCGAGUGCUUCGCUUGGACCCCUGAGGCCGAGGAAGCCCUCGGGAACCUGAAGGCGCUCCUCACGAACGCGCCCAUCUUGGUGCCCCCCGCUGCCGGAGAAGCCCUCUUGAUCUACGUCGCCGCGACCACUCAGGUGGUUAGCGCUGCGAUUGUGGUUGAGAGACGAGAAGAAGGGCAUGCAUUGCCCAUCCAGAGGCCAGUCUACUUCAUCAGUGAGGUACUGUCCGAGACCAAAAUCCGCUACCCACAAAUUCAGAAGCUGCUGUACGCAGUGAUCCUGACGCGGCGGAAGUUACGACACUACUUCGAGUCUCAUCCGGUGACCGUGGUGUCAUCCUUCCCCCUGGGGGAGAUCAUCCAGUCCCGAGAGGCUUCAGGUAGAAUUGCAAAGUGGGCGGUGGAGAUCAUGGGCGAGACGAUCUCAUUCGCCCCCGGAAGGCCAUCAAGUCCCAGGUCUUGGCGGACUUCGUGGCUGAAUGGGUCGACACCCAGCUCCCGACAGCUCCGAUCCAAUCGGAGCUCUGGACCAUGUUUUUCGACGAGUCGCUGAUGAAGACGGGGGCCGGCGCGGGCCUGCUCUUCAUCUCGCCCCUCGGGAAGCACCUACGCUACGUGCUACGCCUCCACUUCCCGGCGUCCAACAACAUGGCUGAGUACGAGGCUCUGGUAAACGGGUUGCGAAUCGCCAUCGAGCUAGGGGUCCGACGCCUCGACGCUCGCGGUGACUCACAACUCGUCAUCGACCAGGUCAUGAAGAACUCCCACUACCGUGACCCGAAGAUGGAAGCCUACUGCGAUGAGGUUCGGCGCCUGGAAGACAAGUUCUACGGGCUCGAGCUCAACCACAUCGCCCGACGCUACAACGAGACUGCGGACGAGCUGGCUAAAAUAGCCUCGGGGCGAACAACGGUUCCCCCGGACGUAUUCUCCCGAGACCUGCAUCAACCCUCCGUCAAGACCGACGACACGCCCGAGCCCGAGGAGGCCUCGGUCCAGCCUGAGGCACCCUCGGCUCAGUCCAAGGUACCCUCGGCUCAGCCCGAGGCACCCUCGACUCAACCCGAGGCACCCUCGGCUUAGCCCGAGGUACCCUCAGCUUAGCCUGAGGUACCCUCGGCCCCCGAGGGUGAGGCACUGCGCAUCGAGGGGGAGCGAAGCGAGGUCACGCCUGAUCGAAACUGGCAGACCCCGUACCUGCAUUAUCUCCACCGAGGAGAGCUACCCCUCGACCAAGCUGAAGCUCGGCGAGUGGCGCGGCGCGCCAAGUCGUUCGUCUUGCUAGGAGAUGAGAAGGAGCUCUACCACCGCAGCCCCUCGGGCAUCCUCCAGCGAUGCAUUUCCAUCGCCGAAGGUCAGGAGCUCUUACAAGAGAUACACUCGGGGGCUUGCGGCCAUCACGCAGCACCUCGAACCCUUGUUGGAAACGCCUUCCGACAAGGUUUCUACUGGUCGACAGCAGUGGCCGACGCCACUAGAAUUGUCCGCACCUGCGAAGGGUGUCAGUUCUACGCAAGGCAGACCCACCUGCCCGUUCAGGCUCUGCAGACCAUACCCAUCACCUGGUCGUUUGCUGUGUGGGGUCUGGACCUAGUCGGCCCCUUGCAGAAGGCACCCAGGGGCUACACGCACCUGCUGGUCGCCAUCGACAAAUUCUCCAAGUGGAUCGAGGUCCGACCCCUAAACAGCAUCAGGUCCGAACAGGCGGUGGCGUUCUUCACCAACAUCAUCCAUCGCUUUGGGGUCCCGAACUCCAUCAUCACCGACAACGGCACCCAGUUCACCGGCAGAAAUUUCCUGGACUUCUGCAAGGAUCACCACAUCCGGGUGGACUAGGCCGCCGUGGCUCACCCCAUGACGAAUGGGCAGGUAGAACGUGCCAAUGGCAUGAUUCUGCAAGGACUCAAGCCUCGGAUCUACAAUGACCUCAACAAGUUCGGCAAGCGAUGGGUGAAGGAGAUCCCCUCGGUGGUCUGGAGUCUGAGGACAACGCCGAGCCGGGCCACGGGCUUCACACCGUUCUUUCUAGUCUAUGGGGCCGAGGCCAUCUUGCCCACAAACUUAGAAUACGGUUCCCCGAGGACGAGGGCCUACGCCGACCAAAGCAAUCGAGCUAAUCGAGAAGACUCACUGGACCAGCUGGAGGAGGCUCAGGACAUGGCCUUACUACACUCGGCGCGAUACCAACAGUCCCUGCGACGUUACCACGCCCGAGGGGUUCGGUCCCGAGACCUCCAGGUGGGCGACCUGGUGCUUCGGCUGCGACAAGACACCCGAGGGCGGCAUAAGCUCACGCCUCCCUGGGAAGGGCCAUUCGUCAUCGCCAAGGUUCUGAAGCCCGGAACAUACAAGCUGGCCAACAGUCAAGGCGAGGUCUACAGCAACGCUUGGAACAUCCAACAGCUACGUCGCUUAUACACUUAAGAUGCUUCCAAGUUAUUCGUACACCCCGUUCACACACAAAGUCUGGUCGUCAAGGAAGGGUCAGCCUUGCCUCGGCAAAGCCCGACCCUCCCUCAGGGGCUAGAAGGGGGGAACCCCCUCUGCGUCAAAAUUUUCAAUCAAAAAGGCUUCCGCGUUCCCCCCGGCUAUGUCAGUAGCAGGACCCCAAGAAGCGAACACGGGUGCAUGUAAGUGGCAAGGCUGACUGAGCCGAGGGACUCCUACGCCUCUGGGUUACGGACACCUCACUCGUCACCUACCACGAAAAAUGACUCCUACUUGGGCAAGCCACCCUGCUACUGACGAACGGGGCCGGACACGCAAAAUGAAAGAAAAAAGGGCCACGACUUUAUACUAUGAUAAUAAAAUGUUCGGGCCUCAGCGGCCGCAAGAGACACACGUGCAUUCAAAGGAAACUACUCCGGCAGAGUUAGGCGUCGCCCGGGGAAGGAGCCGCGCCUUCGGCUUCGUCCCCGCCUUCAGCAAAGUCCACCCCGGCUUCGGACGACGGCACAGGCGGGAGGAUCUCUGCCUCGAAGGUGGUCGCCAGCACUACGCUCGGGCCCGUGGCGGCUGCGUCGAGCCUCUGGACUUCAGCCAGGGCGGCUUCGUCUUCAUCAGGGAGGCAAUACCCCUCGCUGACCCGCUCCAGAUCCAUGACGUAGUGGGAAGCAAGCACGGCGAAGGCCCGCCUGACGCCGUGGUGUAGCGCCUCGCGGAGUCUGCCGCGCAUGUGGUCACCCAAGGCCUGCAGGCGACUCUGAGGGGAGCUUCCUGAGGGGACGUCGUCGAAGCCAAAGACCCGGCAGAAGUCCGAGAUGGCCUCAGACAUGGCCGCAUGGUCGGCCUCCCUCUGCUCGGCCGCCUGGGCAAGCGCCCUGGUGGACUCAUCAAGGGCAGACUCGAGCUCUGCGAACAGCCAGAGCGCAAGGCCUCAAACACAAGUGGAGGAAACAAGCUGAAACGAAAACCGAAAACAGCGAGGACAUACCUCCGGCUCGGGCACGCUGCUCCGAGGCUGCAACUUAGGCUACGGCUAGGUCUGCUGCAAGGGCUCCGCCCCGGCUUUCGGCCUCAGCAGCCCGGUCCCGAGAUUGAUCUCGCUCAUCGAUGACCUGGUCGAACUCCGACUGCCGUCGCUGAACCUCUGCACGUGCCGCUGUUGCCUCUGCUCUCAGAUCGGCACAGAGCAACCAAAGGUCCGCCACCUCGGCGCCCUGCUGGGAGAGGCGCACGGUAGCCCCAGCAAGCGAGGUCCUCAGGGAUCGCAGCGAGCCCCAGACAUCGACCUCGUGGCGGAAAAAUGAUGACUUGGCGGCGCUCAGAUCCGUCAGAUCCUGAGGGAAGGAAGCGGGGCGUCACAAAGGAUGCCUUGAUCACAAAAAAGGUAUGCCUGAAAUCAUUACCUAGAGGAUCUUGGGGACGUCCCUGCAAAAGACCUCCAAGGAUGACCGGAGCGACCCCACCGUUGCUUCCGCACACUCGCGGAGCUCGUCCCAAGACUGCUCCUCCCGCUCAUCGUCAAGAACGAAGAAGGGAUCCGAAGCCCCACGGGUCCGGAACCGAAGCAACUGGCGCCGCCCCUCGAAGCUCCACCGCGCAGGGACAAGGCCGCCGCUCGGCGGGACGAGUCGCGGUUCCACGCCCCCCUCCUCCGAGGCACCAAGCACCGACGCCUCGGCCAUCUCAGCAUUGGCGGCGAUAGGUCGCUCCCCGAUCGGGACGGCAGCGGCUUCGGCAGCAGAUGGCGCCAGCACCGGCGGCAUGUCUGGUGGGCCCGAGGUCACGUCCACGCCAGCUGCCUCCCCCAGCGCGACGGCCACCUCCAUAGAAGAGCCGGCCUCGGGAACUCGCUCCACGGCGACUGGUGCCGCCUGAGCCCCCCGCUGUGGGGCGCCUUACGAGAAGAUCAGCUGAACGGCGAGGCCCGGCGCGGCACCGGCUACGGAAGCCGACGCCGUCUUAAGGACUUUCCGGGGAGCCAGAUCGGUCAGGCCAUGGCUUCGCUUGCUGAGGAGGAAAGGAAAGUCACGGUCGGGACAUACAGAUGAGGAGCCAGGACGAAGACGUUCUAAGGUACUUACCCGCUCCGGGCCAUGAUCAACCGUGCCUGAGGAGAGGUCUCCCGGAUCUCGACCCCCAAAGAUACUGCCGAGGUCCGCCUCGCCGCCAGCUUCGGUACCAUCCUCGCCUUAGGCACCUUGGACGCCCGGGAGAUGGACUGCCCAGGCGCUGCCACGGCGAUCUGAGGGUCGCUCUCCUGCGCUGUCGGCAUGGGCGACGACUCUCGGGGAACAGGCGCCUCGGCCUGACUCCCCGGGGUCACCUCAACUUCCCCAGCCGAGGGGUCGAGUACCCCCUCGGUCUGCCCCCUCUCUUCGGGUCGGGACCUUGGCGUCCCGACCCCGGGAACUGACGGCGCCAGCCCGCUCGGGGGCUGGCUUGACGACUCCUGGCCUAGCCUCAAACCCGGGCUGAGGCCAAGGCGGGCAGCUGUGUCAUCAUCCUCGUCAUCGUCUUCAUCAUCGUCGUCGUCGUCAGGCGUUUCCGGCGACGGCUUCCUCGGGAGUCCAUCCCUCUCCUGCCGACGACGGAGCUUUUCCAAGGCGUCCCGGGCCCGCGUCCGCUCGCGGGCCCGAGCCUUCUUCGCGUCCAUUUUCUUCUUCUUCUCCUCCGCGGCAACCCGCCGCGCUGCUCGGUCCACCGCGUCCUCCGGGACCCGUGGCCGGGAAGGCUUGUGACACCCUACCUCCUGGAGACAGAUGAAAAGUCUCGACCAUAAGGACCAAGGGCAAUCCGACGCAAGGAGAAAGAAGGAGCGGACACUCAACAGGGACACACACCCGUAGUCGGGGCGCAUCAAGGGCUGGGAGAAGGCGCUGGCGUCCGGUUUUCCCAACGCGGCGGCCACCCGCCCGUAGAGAACGUCGAUGGGAAGGGGAUCCGAGGACAUCCGCGAGCCCUCCAAGUCAGCCUCUGGCGUCAUCUCGCAAAGCGGCAACCGCCGCUCCACCAAGGGAAGCACCCUCCGACGAUGAAUGGCGGCAAUCACUCCCACAGCGGUGAGCCCUCCUUUCUGCAACACCUCCAGGGCCUUGAGAAGGGGCUCGAGAUUUUUUUGUCUGUCGUGCGGGGUCCCAUAGCGCCAAGCAUCGGUGGCGACGGUGACCACUCGCUGAGAAAACGACGGGAGCCUCUCAUCGUCAUUUCGGAGAUAGAACCACCGGCGCUGCCACCCUUUAUUCGAGGACGCAAGGACAGCAGGAAUAUACUGCGACGCCCGCGACUGCCUCAGCUGGAGGAUGCAGCCGCCGGCCCGCACUGCCGCGCGGACCCUUCUCUCUCCCGUCGGCGAAGCAAAAAGCUCCGCAGAGAAGAAAUGAGUCCACAAGUCCCAGUGGGGGUCGAUCCCCAAGUAUCCUUCGCACACCGCUACGAAGAUGGCGGCUUGCGAGAUGGAGUUGGAGCUGAGGUUGUGCAACUCCACCCCGUAGUUAUGCAGGAUCGCCCGCAUGAAGUGGCUUGCCGGCACGCCGAAUCCCCGCUCGUGAAAGGAGACGAAGCUCACGACGUACCUCGGCGACGGGGACGGGGCGGCUCCGUUCGGGGGGGAAUCCACUCCGGCUGCCUCUCAUAAGAGAGAGGGCGAAGUAAACCCUCAGCAACGAGGUCCUCCAGGUCACCCGACGUGACUGUGGAGAAAGGCCAUAGGUUGCGCGGCAGAAUAAUGGUCACCCGGUCGGCCAUCACCGAGCAGAAGGGGUGGCGGCGGAAAGGACUGGGUGAGCGGUUCCCUUUUCUCUGGCUAAAUCUCUCAGGUUGCGAAAACCUAAGAAGAAGGCAAGAAGCAGAGCAAAGAACCGUCACCAGGCCCAUCCCCGAGUAUAUAAAGACCAAGGCAAGACCCGUUCAACGCGUCGCCCGAACCCGCCGCGGGAUUCAAAGACUCAAAGCGAAACGACCGUUCCUCGAACGGCUCGCACACGCGCAACGACCGCCUCGCAAACCACUCGCCCCGUCGCAUUAACUCCGCGACGGGACAGGCGGCGCCUCAGGGGGAAAAGCAAGCGACGCUUCGCCUUCGCCAUAAUGACCGCGUCGAAAAAGGUAUGCCACAUCAUUCGAUUUCGUAUCCUUUUCCUUUUCCUCUUUCUCUCUCUUACAACAGGGACCGGGAAAGGGGGAUACCCCGAAAAGGAUCCUUCUCCAUGAAGGAAACAGGCCCUGAGUCUCCCUACUGAUCAGAGGUUCAAAGGCUAGCCCCUCGGAGGGGUUCAACGGCCGCCUCAGAGCGCUUGGGUUCUGCGCCCACUACUGGUCAGAGGUUCGAUGGCCGGCCCCUCGGAAGGGUUCAACGGCCGCCUCAGGCCACUCGGGCUCCGCGCCCACUACUGAUCAGGGGUUCGUAGGCUGGCCCUCGAAGGGUUCACAGUCGCCUCAGACACAGAGCGAGGGAUGACCCUGGGUACGUUCGAUACAUAACCAAGGCUCAGGCUACGCUCCCGAGGUACCCUAGGACAUUUCCGAGACCAGCGGGAACGAUCUUGUAACGGUGUCCCAUCAGAGGGAGGCAUCGAGCCCUCGGACCCCGUCAAAAGGGGACUGGGUCCGGCAGAUCGCCCGCAGGUACUUUUGGAGCGCGCCUCUGGGCCUCUAGCCGACCCCUAACAAAUGGGGCACGGGCGUCCACUCGGAUUACCCGCCAGCAGCUCACCGGAGACACCAUGUUCGGCGCCCUCCGAGGGCAACAUGGCGCUUUCCCCCCUCCUCCUUGCGGAAAGGCGACGCAUGGGCGUAUGUAAAAAAAGUCGAGUCUAUCCUUGACCGUCCUCUCGCCCUGUGCAGAGGCUCGGGGGCUGCUCUCGCAAACCCGGCUCCGGCCAAAUCGUUGACAGCAUCAACAUACCAGCCUGAGAACUUGGGACCCGACCGUGCACCCGGGCUACGGCCAGCUCGCAUGAGGGAACAACCAGACCAACCGAAGUGUUGCGAAACGCACUAAGACCUCGAAGGAGUCAAACUACUCCUCCGAGGCCUCGGGGGCUACAACCGGCGGGUGCGCUCACGCGCACCCACCGGAACAAAAUGCAACCAAAAAAGGCUGGUCCCCUUGCAAAAAAGUGCGGCAGAAGCCUCCAAGCGAGUAUUAACACUCCCUUCGAGGCUCGGGGGCUACUGUCGGGGACCAUAAUUAGGGGUACCCUCAAGGCUCCUAAAUCUCAGCUGGUAACCCCCAUCAGCACAAAGCUGCAAAGGCCUGAUGGGUGCGAUUAAGUCAAAGAUCGAUCCAUUCGAGGGAUGCGAUCAUGCCUCGCCCGAGCCCAGCCUCGGGUAAGGGCAGCCGACCCCGGAGGAUCUACGUCUCGCCCGAGGACCCCCUCCAGCAAUGGACACACCUUCGGCUCGCCCGAGGCCCAGUAUUCACCAAGAAGCAACCUUGGCCAUAUCGCCACGCCAACUGACCAAAUCACAGGGGCAUUUAAUGCAAAGGUGGCCUGACACCUUUAUCCUGACGCACGCCCUCCAGUCGACAGAGCCGAAGUGACCGCAGUCACUUCGCCGCUCCACUGACCGGUCUGACAAGAGGACAGCGCCGCCUGCGCCGCUCCGACUGCUGAGCUACUCGAUAGAGUGAGGCUGACAGCAGCCAAGUCCGGCCUCAGGCGUCAUAGGAAACUCCGCAUCGCCCGACCCCAUGGCUCGGACACGGGCUCAGCCCCGGAAGACGACGAACUCCGCUUCGCCCGACCCCAGGGCUCGGACACGGGCUCAGCCCCAGAAGACAACGAACUCCGCUUCGCCCGACCCCAGGGCUCGGACUCGGGCUCAGCCCCAGAAGACGACGAACUCCCCUUCGCCCGACCCCAGGGCUCGGACUCGAGCUCAGCCCCGGAAGACGACGAACUCCGCUUCACCCAACCCCAGGGCUCGGACACGGGCUCAGCCCCGGAAGACAACGAACUCCGCUUCGCCCGACCCCAGGGCUCGGACUCAGCUCCAGCCUCAGCCGACGGUCUCCGCCUUGUCCGACCCGGGGGCCCGGACUCGACCUCGACCUUGGAAGACAGACUCGACCUCGACCUCGGAGGAGCCUCCACCUCGCCCAACCUAGGGCACGGACCGACCACGUCGACAGGAGGCGCCAUCAUUACCCUACCCCGAGCUGACUCAGGCUACGGGGAACAAGACCGACGUCCCAUCUGGCUCGCUCCACCAUACGAGUAAUGAUGGCGCCCCGCAUGCCCUGUGACGACGGCGGCUCUCAGUCCCCUUACGGAAGCAAGAGGACGUCAGCAAGGACUCGACAGCCCCGACAGCUGUCCUUCCGCCAGGCUCCAACGCUCCUCCGACGGCCACGACAUCACACGAACUGGGUGCCAAAACCUCUCCGGCUGCCACGAUGGCAUGUACUUAGGGCGCUAGCUCUCCUCCGCUAGACACGUUAGCACACUGCUACACCCCCAUUGUACACCUGGAUCCUCUCCUUACGCCUAUAAAAGGGAGGUCCAGGGCCCUCUUACAGAGGGUUGGCCGCGCGGGGAAGGACGGGACAGCGCUCGCGCAAGGCCGCUCGCUCCCUCCCUCGUGGACGCUUAUAACCCCCUACUGCAAGCGCACCCGACCUGGGCGCGGGGCUAACACGAAGGCCGUGGGUUCCACCUCCCACGCCUGUCUCCCUCCAGCUGCUUCUCCCCCCUUCGCGUUCCGCCUCGCGCCGACCCAUCUGGGCUGGGUCACGCGGCGACGAUUCACUCGUCGGUCCAGGGACCCCCCGGGUUUCGAAACACCGACAAGUGCCACACUCGGCAACGUUCUACACUCGGUAACGACCACAUUUACCGAGAGCAGGACUCUCGGCACAUGCAGACACUCGGUAAAGACCGCUUUGCCGAGUGCCAAACACUCGACGAACGUCGAUGCUCGGCAAAGGGCUGUCAGCAUCCGUCUAUAGCUGAUAGCCAUUAUGUUUGCCGAGCGCCAGACGUUGACACUCGGCAAAGAAGGUACUUUGCCGAGUGUCACCCGGCUUGCACUCGGCAAACUGUGCUUUGCCGAGUUCCUUACAUGGACACUCGGAAAAAUAUAUUUCCAUUUUUUUUCUUUUCCCAGCCAACUUUUUGUUGUUUGUUUCUACACUAUGUACUUAUAUGUUCCAUUUUUGGCACAAUUAUAAAAGUGUUUGCUAUAACUAUUAGAUUUUGUUUAUUUAAUUGAAUUUCCUCUAAUAAUUCAGAUUUGAACUGCAAGUCACUCGAAAAAUGGAAAACCGUGAAUGCAAAAAUGAUAUUCAUGUUACUUAGCUCAAGUUACGACCGAUUUCAGGAGCAGGCCAGAAUUUUCAAGCACCAUGCUCACUAAACAUGACCAUGAACUUGCCAUCUAGUUGUUUAAAAUUUGUAUAAAACAUAAACAAAGUCAGAAAAUCAUGAAACUUGUCAACAUGUCAUGAUAUCAUAUGUAGAUAUUGUGAUAAAAAUUUGAGAAUAUUUCAAUAAAGUUGUGAUGCACUAUGUGUAGAAUCUUAGCUGGUCUGAAACUCUAUGAUUUCAUGUGUAGGAGAAUUAGGUUUCUACACAUAGUGUGUCAAAACUUUUUCGAAACAUUCUCAAAUUUUUAUCACAGCGUCUACAUAUGAUAUCAUGACAUGUGGACAAGUUUUAUGAUUUUCUGGUUUUGUUUGUGUUUUAUACAAUUUUUAAACAACCGCAUGGCAAGUUCACGAUCAUGUUUCGUGAGCAUGGUAUUCGAAAAUUCCGGUCUGCUCCUGAAAUCGGUCGUAACUUGUGCUAAAUAAUAUGAAUAUUAUUUUUGCAUUCAUGGUUUGCCAUAUUUCGUGUGACUUGCAGUUUAAAUCUAAAUUAUCUGAGAAAAUUCAAUUAAAUGAAUAAAAUAUAAUAGUUAUAGCAAACACUUUUAUUAUUGUGCCGAAAUUGAACAUGUAGGACUACAUACUAUAGAAAAACACAACAAAAAGAUUGGUUGAAAAAGUAAAAAAGAAAAAUAUACUUUGCCGAGUGUCACAAGAGGACAAUCGACUUGUGACAUUCGGCAAAGCCUUAUUUUACCCAGUGUCCACUAGAGAACUCUCAACAAAGAAUUUUUAAAUAAUUUAAACAAUCUUUGUCGAGUGUCAGAUCUAAGACACUCGGCAAAGCAAUAUUUAAAUUAAAAAAAUCUUUACCGAGUGCGAGAUCGCGGGCACUCAGCAAAGAACGCUCACUUAAUCACUACCAGGGGCCCAUGGCCCCAUUCUUUCUCGUCCUUACACGCCCACGCCGCCACCGCCUUACAGCGCCCGCGCCGUCGCCAUCCCGGAGCUUGACCGCCGGCCUCUGCUCCACCCACUACCGGCCAUAACUCGAGCUCGGCCAAUCACCAACCACCGCUCCGUAUCCCGACCACCGCUCGAUUGUGCAAGCAUUUCAGACAUGAUAAUCUAAUCCUUACAUUGCUCAAUAAUAUUAGUGUGGUCAAAUCUGAGCAUUUGUUCCUUGUUUAGCAUAUUAUUUUUAUUUAAUUGUUGAUUAGAGGUAUAUAUAUGUUAGAAGAUGGAUGACCGUGAGUGGAUGUACACGGGCCAUGUAGGAAGGAAUGAUGUCACCUCUGAAUAGAUUAGAAAGACCGAUGAUUUCUUGAAAUGGGCAUAUAGCGAAGCUGCUAAAUGAGCGAGUCUAGUCCCAUACUCGUGCAGCAAAUGUGUCAACCAGAAAAGAAAAUCAAAGAAGACCAUGGUAGAACAUAUUUGGAAGAAUGGAUUUACGUCGGACUAUACUUGGUGGAUCUUUCAUGGUGAAGCACAUCGUACGAGAGAGGAGGUGGUGAGACAACACGUCGAGGAUUAUGAUGCUGAUGUCGGGGUAGCGGAUAUGUUGAAUGACUAUCACGAGGCACAGUUCAUCAGAGGAUGUACGAAGGACGAGCUAGAGCCGACCGCAAAGAUGUUCUAUGACAUGUUUGACGCAGCAUGGAAGCCCCUUCAGGGCCAGACAAAGAUUUCUCAACUCGAUGCCAUUGGGCGUGUAGUGGCGUUCAAGUCGCAGUACAGCAUGAGUCGAGACGCAUUCAAUGGCUUGUUGACAGUUAUUAGCAGCCUACUUCCGGAGGAUCACGUUCUGCCAAAGAGCAUGUACGAGGCAUAGAAACUCCUUCGUACACUCAAGAUGACGUAUGAGCAGAUACAUGCUUGUCUGAAGGGCUGCAUGCUAUUUAGGAAAGAAUACGCAGAGGCAAAGUACUGUCAGAAGUGUAAACCGUCUAGGUUCAUGGAGGUAGACUCUGGUGAAUGGACAGAAGAGGCAGCUCGACAUCCCCGUGACAAUCCUACGCCACCUUCCGUUCAUACCGAGGAUCUAACAUCUAUACAUGACCGAGGAAUUCACGAAAUAGAUGACAUAGCACAAAAAUGGCAAACGAUACAAUCCUGACAAGAUGGUGCACGCAUCCGAUGGUGAAGCAUGGAAACACUUUGAUGCCAUCCACCGUGAGAAAGCCGAAGAGGCUCUUAAUGUACGUGUUGUGCUGGCCACAGAUGGGUUCAAUCCCUAUGGAAUCAGCGCUGCCUCGUACACAUGUAGGCAUGUGUUUGUUAUCCCAAUCAAUCUCCCCCGGUGUAUGCUUUCAAAGGCAAAACAUAUUUGUGUUGUUGAUAAUUCCCGGACACCCAGGGAAUAAAAUGGGCGUGUACAUGGAGCCUUUGAUUGAUGAAUUGGUACGUGCUUGGGAGGAAGGGGUAUGGACGUAUGAUCGAGCUACAAAGACAAACUUUAAAAUACAUGUUUGGUACCAGUACUCUAUGCAUGACUUACCGGCUUAUGGGCUAUUCUGUGUCUGGUGUGUUCACGGUAAGUUCCCAUGCCCACUUUGCAAGAAAGCUCUUAGGUUCAUUUGGUUGAAGAAGGGUGAUAAAUAUUCGUCAUUCGAUAAACAUCGACAAUUUCUCCCUCCUGACCAUUCAUUCUGCUUAGACAUCAAGAACUUUACGAAAAGUGUCGUAGUGACAGACCGUCCACCUGCAAUGAUGACUGGUGCCGAAAUUCGUCAACAGAUAGAUGGCCUCGUGGCCCACCUGUUCAGUUCCAUACUUCUGUGAGUAUCAAAAUUCUAGUUCUUCAUGAUAUAUAUUCAUCUGGUAUAACACAUGCAAUCACUUCUCUGUGCAGGGACAAUCUAGGGCGGCAUCCAAGAACCCUCAUGGAUCGCCCAGCCUAUCGCCGCACCAGUCCAACCGCCCUCCUCGAUGAGAUACUUUGUGCACAUGAUAUUAUCUUUGUUAGUGUUGUUAAUACUUUGUGAGAUAACUUGGUUUGAGCUUGUUGAUGUUGAUAAUGCUUUGUGAGAUACUUGAGACUUAUGUUCUUGAGUGUUGGAUACUUAUGUUUGCGUUCGAACAUGUUGCUAAUGCUUUGUGAGAACUUGUUUGAUUUAUGGUCUUUGUGAGAUAUGUGAUGUAUAAUUGAUAUCUGUGAUGAUUAUGUGAUAUCUGUGAUGAUUAUGUGAUAUCUUUUGUUUGUUUCGACGGAAUAGCAAAAAUAACUAAAAAAGGGAUGUAUUGGUCACUUUGUCGAGUGUAACACUCGGCAAAGAGGUAAUUUGCCGAGUGUCAAGACCAUAGAACUUGGUAAAACCUCUUUGCCGAGUGAUGUAGCCUUGACACUCGGCAAAGUUACUGACAAAGGGGGCUGCAGGCUCACUCUUUGCCGAGUGUCAGUACAGUUAACACUCGGCAAAGUGGAACUCUUUGCCGAGUGUUACUCGGUGGGCACUCGGCACAGGCUCCGUCGCCGUUAACGGUCGCCGUAACGGCGACUUAUCUUUGCCAAGUACCGGGUGACACUCGACAAAGUUUUUACCGAGUGCGCGAUAAAAAGUACUCGGCAAAGAAACUGUUACCGAUAUACAGUUCACCGAGCUUUAUUUGCCGAGUAUUACACUCGGCAAACCCUUCGCCAAACGUUUUCCAGACUUCGCCAAGUGCUUCAGACACUCGGUAAAGAAGUUGUUUCAGUAGUGUCUGUCAGACGUGCUACAGUUUGCUAGUUGCCUAUAAAAUGGCCGGGAUCGACGGGGCUGCUGGAGCAAAGCCAAACCGAAGGAACCAAGCAUAUAGCGUAUACUGCGUAGUCGAUCAUGAAGGAUGGGGGCAUGAAGGGAGUGGCUGGUGCGGUGGUGGCCGUACUGCUGCACCGACGGCUAUGGCCGCCCGCUCACCGCACGGAGCCGUGCCGGAUGGCUCCCUCGCCACGACGCCCAAGGUGACGAUGCUAUCGUCCACGCUGUGCUACACGGGGGAGACAUGCAUAUACACUCCCUGCUUCACUCCUGCUUGCUCCUGCAGCUUUAGUGAUCGCCUCUGCUACGUCAUAUUUACUCCACCAUUUGCCUGAGGGCCAUUCCGUGAAGCCACUGCCCGUACAUGCACCGGCCGACGACGACCGCUGCCUCGUGAGCUUCUGUUCAAUAAGUUAUGCAUGUGUGUUGACACCCUUUUGGAGGCGCCAAUCACUUCAAAAGAACCAGCGGCGGUGCUCUCUGGUCAGGCGCGGACGGUCCGCGGCACAGGGCCGGACGGUCCGCGACCUGGCGUGAGGCGGCGGUGCUCUAUUGUCAGGCGCGGACGGUCCGCGGCAUAGGGCCGGACGGUCCGCGACCUGGUGCAGGAGCCCGGGUUCCCUGCCUGACGGCCGGACGGUCCGCGCCCUAGGGCCGGAUGGUCCGCGCGUGCGCAGGGGCGGCGGAAGAUCACCAGCGGCGCCUGGAUCUCGCUCCCGGGAGGGACCCCGUCGGGGAGGAGAGAUCCUAGGAGUUGUCUAGGCUCGGGCAGGCCGACCUAAACUCCUCUAAUUGACGUAGAGUCGAGGAGAGACGGAGAAUUUGGGGAUCGAGAGGCUAAACUAGAACUAGACUAGAACUACUCCUAAUCGUACAAGAAAUAAAUGUGAAAUAUAAGUUGUAUUGAUUCGAUUGAUGAUUACAAAUCGGCCGUAUACCUCUCUAUUUAUAGAGGAGGGGGGCUGGACCCUUUACACAACUGAAUUCCGAGCUAAUUCCGAGGAUCUAGCUAACAAACAUAGCACAAAACUCGGAACCCUAAACUACUCUGGGCACGCGCGGACCGUCCGGCCCACAGGCGCGGACUGUCCGGACCGCGGACUGUCCGGCCUCAGGGCCGGACCGUUCGUGCUCCUUUUGGUGCCAAACAAUGUGUUCAGGGCAUCUAAUAUCCAUGGAUGCUUUAUGUAUAUGUGUAUUAAAUAAUUUAGUCCUGUCAGGGAACCGGGCAGAAGGGGGUGUUGUUUUAUCCACGUAAGUUUUCUGGUGAUUAAAUAAAAGGGGAUAUGUUGGGUGUGUGCAUCGCUCUCUGCCAUGCGAUGGUUGCUCUAUAUGUGCGAUCGAGUAACAAAACGCCGUCAUCAUGCAAAAAAAAAUCCAAAAUCUUAUACCUGAAUUUUGUUCGAACGAAAGCAACACACCAGCUCGAGAGCACGACCUGACCUAUUUAUAUUGUUUUCUAAAUGCUUAACAUCGAUCGUCUUACAUAUGAUUUGAACAAAUGUCUGGGCUUAAGAUGAAUUUUAACAAAGCGACCUUUUAUGUUAUGGAUAGAAACCUAGCCGGUCUACAUUUAAGUUCUAUUAUUUCAUGUGUAGGACACUUCGGUUUCUACACAUAGUGUCUGAUAACUUUCUCGAAAUAUUUUCAAAUUUUUAACAUAGGCUAUACAUAUGAUAUCAUGACAUGUCAACAAGUUACAUUACUUUCUGACUUUGUUUAUGUUUUAUACAAUUUUUAAACAACUGUAUGACAAGUUAACGAUCAUGUUUCGUGAGCAUGGUGCUCGAAAAUUCCGGUCUGUUCCUUAAAUAGGCCAUAACUUGUGCUAAAUAACAUAAAUAUCAUUUUUGCAUUCACCGUUUUCUAUUUUCCGAGUGACUUGCAGCUCAAAUCUGGAUCAUCCGAAGAAAUUCAAUUAAACAAACUAAAUCAAAUAGCUCUAGCAAACACUUUGAUAAUUGUGCCAAAAUUGAACAUGUAGAUCUACAUACUAUAAAAAAUACCACAAAAAGUUUGGUAAAAAAAUAAAAGAAUAAAAAUAUACUUUGCCGAGUGUCUGUCGUGGGACACUCGGCAACGAAUUUUUUUAAAAAAAAUAAAACAAUCUUUGUCGAGUUCCUAUCAGUGGGCACUUGACAAAGAAUGCUUUGUCGAGUGUCAGAUCAAGAACACUCGACAAAUUAUAUUUUAAAACUAAAGAAAACUUUGUUGAGUACCAGAUCGUGGGCACUCGACAAAGUUUGUUUACAUAGUCCUAACCGGCCUUCUUCUUCUCUUAACUUGCCUUUCUCUUCACUUCUCGGCGUCGUCAUAGCCAUCGUCGCCCCGCGAACCCCUGCCGAGCUAAGGUAUACAUUUCACUGUCUCGGUUUAUAAGAUCUUGUUAAUAUAUGCAUGCGUGGAUGAAAUAUACGUACGGAUAGAAUAGUGGAUGAAGCUAAGACCAACUACUCAGCUAAUAAAAAUGAGUGGAUGAAAUAUGUUGUCGAUGUAAUUUAUUACGAUGUGCUAAUAAUUAGUUGGAUCAUAUGGUUCUGCUAGUUUAUGUGGUUUUGUGAGUCUAUGUUUGUCAAUAAAAUAGCAGUCCAUAUUGUUUAGUCAUGGCAUUGGCCCCUACCAUGACAUGCGCCUUGAUCAUAUUGUCUUUUAUAGUAUAUAGAUUGAUGUAUAUGUGAUUGUUGGCUAUCAUGUCGUUGAUCGAUAUGUGUGUGAAUGUCAGCCAUCAUGCUGUAGUUUUAUUUGCAGGUUUUAGAAACCUUCCAGUGCGGUGGAGGUGAUGCCGAAUUUUUUAGUUGAUAGACUUGUGUUCUUUUUUUGCAGAUGUCUUCCUAACCGUUGCGGGUCUGCCUGCACCGCGACACGUCGCCACUGCAUCGACCCGCCACAUCCCCGCUAGCCUGACUCCACCACCACCCUAGGUAUAACCUCGAUUUUCAUUUCAUGGUCGUAGAUCACGUAACCCAGUUAGGUGUCUCCCGUUCGAAAGACAUACGGUGUAGAUAUGCAGAUCUUUGCAUAUCUUCAAAUGUAUAUGUUUCAGAUUGUCCACGUUUUUUUGGAUAGCCCACGUUUGCGUGGAUGGUGUUAGUUUCCAUGCUCUACUCCGGUCUGAGACAGAGUUUCGACAUCACCUCCCUGUUGUUCUCUGGACAGUACACUCUCCCUACUAGGACAUGUAUCCAGAGAACAUCGGGGAGGUGCUACCAAAACUCUGUCUCAGGUCGGAGUAGAGCAUGGAAACUAACACCAUCCACGCAACCGCGGGUGGGAUUAGGACCUAUCCUCACCUAUUAGAAGGUAGGAACGUAGUGUACAUGCAUUACAUGUUUAUAUUAAACUAUACUCGGUUAUAUAUGUUAGAGGAUGGAGGACCGUGAGUGGAUGUACAUGGGCCGUGUAGAAAGGAAUGAUGUCACCCUAAAUGGAUUAGAAAGACAGAUGCUUUCGUGGAACGGGCAUUUGGCGAAGCUGCUAAAGGAGCGAGUCUAUUCCCAGGCCCGUGCAGCAAAGGUGCCAACAAGAAAAGAAAACCAAAGAAAGCCAUGGUAGAACAUAUUUAGAAAAAUGGAUUUACGUCGAAUAAUACUCGAUGGAUCUUCCACGGUGAAGCACAUCGUACGGGAGAGGAGGUGGUGAGACAAUGCGUCGAGGAUUAUGAUGCUGAUGUCAGGGUAGCGGAUAUGUUGAAUGACUAUCACGAGGCACAGUUCGCCGAAGGACGUAAGGAGGACGAGCCAGAGCCGACCGUAACGGUGUUAUAUGACAUGUUUGACGCGGUACAGAAGCCACUUCACGACCAAACAAAGGUUUCUCAACUAGAUGUCAUUGGGCGUGUAAUGGUGUUCAAGUCACAGUACAACAUGUGUCGAGACACAUUCGAUGGUUUGUUGACAGUUGUUGGCAGUCUGCUUCUAGAUGAUCACGUCCUGCCAAAGAGCAUGUACGAGGCACAAAAACUCCUUCGUGCACUCAAGAUGACGUCUGAGCAGAUACACGCUUGUCCGAAGGGCUACGUGCUAUAACUUAGACCCAGACACAUAUGACAGAGAGUUCUUCCAAGAAGAUGGGCUAGAAGGGCGAUUUGAGAUAGACUUAACCGAAGUUAUCGGAAUGGAAGUAGAUAUUGAAAUGGUUGUUGAUGAGGAGGAGGAUGAGGUGCAAAAUGAGAAUGACUUAGAAAUACUUGAAGGGAAUGACAUUAAUGACAAACUUGCGCCUUCAGAUGGUGUUGACUAUGAAAUGGUUGAUAGUGAUGAUGAGACUUAUGAUCUGGCUAACAUUGACACAUAUGAGGGGGAGGAGGAGCACCCAUAGGACGGCGGAGGAGGCACAAGAGGACAACGAUGCCUAGCAGUAGGUGGAGUAGCAGGCUGCUGUCAAUGCAGCGUAGCAGGAUGACGAUGACGCUCAGCGGGAUGCCUCAGGUUCUAUCGCCUUAGGUUCGAGGAACGUCUACUUGCAAGGUCACAUGAGUCUCCCUCAGUGUCCCAUAGUUCAUGAUAGGCGGCCGCUGAUUCGACCCGAUGGGGAGAGACAUGUAACUAUAGAUGUUCUCGCAGCUUGUUCAUAUAUGUGUUCAAAUUCUUAAUAUAAACUAAUACUUUUUAUUUAUCACUUGGACAGGUCCUAAAAGGUUGUGGAGAAUGUAGGGGGUCACGGCCGCAACCACAAUGGCAUCCUCGACCUUCUGUGCAGGGAACACUUCCCUGGACUGGUUGAGUACGCCAGAGUGAUGAGCCCAGCCUACACCUUCAACCACUACGCCGUCGCCCCUGAUGCGGUAGAUCGGGAAGGCAGGGAAUUCAAUAACAAGCGGAACGGGUGAAGCAAGAGUUGUGGGUAAGUCUUCCUAUAUUGUAAAAUAUGUCGCAUUCGUUGCACAUUCUUGAAAUAAUGUAUGGAUAAUUUGCCUUUGCAUGCAGGAUUUCUUCAGAUGCAAGGCUGGAUAUGAGGCCAGGGCGGAUGUGGUGGCUGCCACAAGCUAUAAGAAGCUCGUCGUGAACAUGCACUACGAGGCGUGAAUCUAGGCCAUCGUCAGUUACCAUGGCUCCGUCCUUGGGGAGAAGUUGACCAAGCAGGACGCCCGAACCAUGUCGUUGACUCGGAACCAGAUAGGGAUGGCAAUGGAGAAUUCCCCGCCAGGGAAUAGCUCCCCAUCCCCACGACGAAAAAAUAUUCCCACGGGGAUCCCCAUGAAUGCUUGCGAGGAACAUUUCUUCCCCAUCCCCAUUCCCCACGGGGAUAAAUCCCCAACGAGGAUCCCCAUCCCCGUUUAAAUUAUAAAUAAGACAUAUGUUCUUUGUUAAUAAUGUUAAACAUUGUCACUUAUACACAUUGUUAGAGGUAAGAAAUCAUUAUGCAUACAUCAAAAUGAACAUAUUUGCACAAUUAGUGGUCUCUUGACAAGGUAAUUAUUUAUUUUUGUCACAAAUUAGUACAUGAAAACAUAGUGACAUGUAAGUUUAACGGGUUCCCGCGAGGAACAGGGAUGGGGAAUCCCCGUCCCCGUUUACCUGUCGGGGGAUAAAUUUUUUCAGUUUAUAUCCCUGCGGGGGAAGUUUCUUCCCCAUCCCCUAAAAGAGGAAUUUCCGUGGGGAAUCAGGGAUCGGGUCCCCAUUGCCAUCUCUAGGACCAGUACUUACAGGUAAAUACAAAACUUUAAUAUUCGUGACAAAAUUUUCUUAAUUUUAUCUUUUGAUAUGCAGUGUACUUGUUUUACUUUGUAGAUGAUUCCUUAUUGGUGCGUCACGUAUCCUCAGUUCUAGGAGCAAAUGGUGGAUAGGUGGUGCUCGCCUGAGUGGGAUGAGGCGUACAACGCUAGCCGAGAACGACGUCUGAUGAUACAAGGUCCCUCCCACGACCAAGGUAGCCGCAACCUCGGCAAAUAUGCAGAAGCAUGGGUACGCCCUCUUUUAAUUUAGGUAUAUAACACUGGAUUAGACAUGAUUUCUAACUAUCUCGUUGGUUUUCUUGCAGUCGGUGUCACAUGGUGGCCACCCUUGCUCCAUCUUCUCAGCGCAUGCUAAGGCUCACAAGGGCAAGGCAAUGUUCGACGUCACCUACAACCCGAAGAACGGGCCUAAGGUGUAUAGCAACCCCAAUGUAUACAGCCUCCUAAGUGAGUACACUACCAUGGCACAGGAGGUCCAUGGGCUAGAUUAUGAUCUGAGAACCGAGGACAUCGACGGAGAUGUCCUCAUGAGGGACAAAGGAGGCAAGAGGCAUGGGCGGUACUAGAUUGCUGAUGCGGCAUCGACUCGUCGUCCACUCCCACUCUGUCUAAGGUGUGAGCAAGGACCACGACCUCGAGCACAGCCAUAUGACCUUAGCAGGACAACUCACAUCAUCAGAUACAACAACUCUAGGUUAGUGCUUCUGUAUCUCGUCAUUCCAUGAGUUAUAUACCUUAUCUUUGAGUUAUUAUAACAUUGGGGUGAAAUAUUACAGGCCCAGCUAGAAGAAGAGAGGAGGGAACGGUAGGACAUUGUCGGUACCCCCGAACAGGGGUACCCCCUACUACUGUAUCAAGACGUAGUGGCCGCGUGGCUAUCUUUUAGCCGCGUAGCAAUAAUGCCGCGAAUGGGGCCAGGCCACGACUCGGCCCAGUCAUGGACCGCUACUCAGGGCCCACAGCAGCGCCCGACCGCACCACAUGGGAGGGUCCAGAGCCGCCACGUGUCCAUGAAAGAAGGAAUGCUCCAGGUCACCAACAGUAAGUCCGGACCCACAUGGGAGAGCACCGGACCUCUGGGUAUGCAGCCGGGACCCCCAGGGAGGUCCGGGACCACCACGUGUGCAAGCCGGGUCCGUGGGAUGGAGUCCGGACCCCCCCACAUGGGGUCCGGACCGCCCACAGUAGGGUCCCGGAUUUCCAAGGCAAGAAAAGCUUAAAGCCCUGGUCAAGGACCAGGCUAGGGUCUGAUGCUGACACGUGUCCGGAUCCCAUCCUGUACGCUUCUGCUCCCCGCCCAGGGAGAGACCCGAUGCCGCCACGUGGCCCAUGGCCCAUGAUGUAAGCCAAUGGGUGGAGCCUGACGUAUGACCUCUGCGCCGUGGGCUACGCCGCAAGCUACGCUACCUCAGCAUUAAAUACGGAUAGGGCGCACCGCCUGUCCAUCCCGCUGACAGGCGGUGUGCCCCUUCAGCAUUUAAUGUGCCCUGUCCACUCCGCUAGCAGGCAGCGACCAGGCCGUCUCGCAGGCGGCGUUCCUGUCCGUUCCGCUGGCAGGCAGUGCGCCCGUGCUGCGGCGCGCACUGUGCUCAUCAUCACUCACACGUUGCCAGGAAGGCUUUCGCUGUACGCUAAUACUAUGUAGGCUGCGGAUAUUAGGACGCAAGGAGAUUGCACUAGCGACUAGCAUUAGUUGCUCCAAGUUCUACAUCCGCUAUGUUCCUAGGCCCACAUGUCGGGGCUCAACACCCUUGUACGUGCCCCCUUGAGCUAUAAAAGGAGAGGCAUGCAGCAUUACAAGGCGGGGAGACACAGGCCAACUUAGAUUCUCACCUCUCAAGCUCUCACAGCAAUACAACACACAGUGGAGUAGGGUAUUACGCUCCGACGGCCUGAACCACUCUAAAUCUUUGUGUUCUUGUGUGUUCAUCCCCCAAUCUCGUAACAGGCAAAACUAUCUCCACUCUCUUCACUCUGGCCGACAAGUGUGCCAGAGCCGCCGAGGGCCGUGCAUGGCACUCGGCGCCAUAGACCGAAGUCACCCAGACAGGAGGCUUCGAUGCCGUUACCGAGGACAGCAAAAGGAAGAAGAAGAAAAAUCGUGGCCGUGAGAAGGCGCAUUUUGCCGCUCUGGUCGUUGCAGCUGCGACUGGGGGCGGAACGAGCGCAACAAGCGCCCACAGUCGCAGAGGGGCAACAACGGCUCAUGCCCUGUACACCCCAACAGUCGCCACAGCGUCGCAGAAUGUCGCGAGAUCAUCGAGCUCGCGAAGCACGUCAGCGAGCAGCGCGAGCAGUCAGACGGCUCCCCACCUCGUCGCCGACCUAGCAAGGAAAGGGUCGACGACGACGAGGUGGCCGCGGCUGAACAGGACCUCGGGUAUCAGUCGCCCAAGGGGGUCCUGAAAGAUGUUUUCACCAGAGACUCCGACUCCGGUGACGACAACUAGACGGGCUGCCGGGGGACCCCGUACUCCCUGGUCUACGGGGCCGAAGCCUGUCUUCCCCCGGAAACCCUUCUGGACUCCCCACGGGUCCAGUCUUCUGAUGGGUCUAUGCAGGGGCGGCUAUAGCGCGAGGACAUGGACUCCAUCGACAAACUCAGAUGAUAAGCGGCGACCCAAAAUGCACAUCACAAUCGGGCACCCAGGCGCUGCUACCAACAGUUCGUGCACAGUGGGGAGCCCGAGGUCGGUACCUGGCCCUAAGGCGAGUACUGAACCGAGAAGGGUUCCACAGACUCUCCCCAGCUGAGAGAGACCCUUCAAGGUGACGGAAAUAUGACAACCCGGGGCGUGCCCACCUUACUAUAACUGAAGGAAUGCCUUUUCCUAGCCGUGGAACAUGGAGCAUAUCCGUAAGUCCUGCCCAUAGAAGCAAGCCUAAGGGGUUAAGUUUUUCUUCUUUUGUAAUUAGGUUUUGCAUAUGUUUACUCCAACCCGGUGAGGUCCGCCCUCAUAAACCCAGCCUGUUGGUCUACACCCAUGCAUGUCAAGUUAUAAAGAAGAGAUUUACCCCCUCACACGUGCUUCUAUGAUAACUUUAUCCUCUUGCUCCACUGUUUUAUCCUGAAGUUUCUGGAUAUUAUUUUUAUCUAACCCACCCAUAUAGUUUCCAUUCUGCUGAUAUAAUGACAUCCGAAUUGAGUAGCCAAGGCUUGCAGUUUAGGACCCCUCUACAAAGGUAGGGGGUCCAACAGCCUGGGGGCGGUUCUAAAGAAUGGGAGCUCGUUCCAUGGGGCGGUCCGGAGCUGUGUAGCCGCUUAGCCUGGUUCCGUACCCUAAGCCUGCAUGCUCCACCACUCUGUGAUGGGCACCCUAGUAUUUGGAGCUACAGUCCUAUGGGCUCGGUAACCAGGGGUCCGGUUCUAGAGAAUGGACACUUGUCUCCUGGGAUGGUCCGAAGCCGUGUAGCCGCUUAGCCUGGUCCUGUACCGUAAGCCUGCAUGCUCUACCACUCUGCGACAGGUGUCCUAGUAUUUAGAACCACGGUCUAGGGGGUCUGGACACACAACUUGGCUUCCCAGACUAAAACCUACUGGUCCCGUGCAUGUAUCAAAGGAUGGUUAGUAUCAGACGAUGGACCCUAUGUUUGUGCUACUAACUCUCCCUAGCUAAAGCUAUGUACAGGUCCAGGUCCCAGUCGAGGCUACCUCCUGGGGGUCGUUGCCAACUCUUUUAGGUACGCUGGUAUCCAGCCUCGACACAUCGAGCCUGCAUCCCAGGGGGACCAAGUACCAGGGACGAGUCGGCAACACCGCACACAAUAGGGACAAAUAGUAUACAGAUAAGUGCUAAUACUGCUUGAUAAUUAAUACUCAAAAGUACCUUACAAAAGCAAAAGUUAUUGCAUCCGCUGUCAAGCGAAGUUCUAGCUCCAUUUCUACAGGUGUAAACUACUAGGCACUAGCAGGGUUGCACUGGAAGCUCGCGGCCACCGUCUUCAUGGAAUCCUUCCAGGCGCCUUGCCAGCGGCGAUGGCCACCUCAACACAUGCGAAGAGGCCCUCACCCCUAUCUUCCUACGGGGUUGACAAUGCGGCCAUUAAAGCCAAAGAGUUGGAAGCACGACGGCACAUGGCGCUUGCGGCGUAGCCGGGGCUCGACCAGUUCAUGGAGGCGGGCCACCAGCUCAUGCGGAGGACGGAGCCGCAGCCCAGCUCGCUUUCCACCACCGCAAGGCUGAUGAACAUCCUUGAAGCUGAGCACUGACGAAAGGUCAUAGCCCAGCUCGCUUUCCACCACCGCAAGGCUGAUGAACAUCCUUGAAAUUGAGCACUGGCGAAAGAGCGCCACCCCCCGCGAGGUCGAGCUCCUCCAGCAAUAGCAAGAAGAAGACAAGAUCGACAGCGCCAUCACGCAGGAAACAAAAAGCACGAGCUCCCCGGUGGCGAGAUCGCCGAGGGGGAAGGCGCCAACGUGGAUCCUUCCACUGCACGCUGGCGCGCUCCAUCCAGGCAGGCGGCGCACCAUGUCAAGCGCCCACUCAGUCUGAAAGCGCUCGGGAUGAACUAACAAGGCCAAGGUAACUACGGUGGCAUAAAGCAAAAGCCUUGAAGGCAAAGGGGCGCAGAGAGCUCGGAGGCAAAAGGGCACAACAAGUGGGAGAGAAGCGAGGGCAUGACUGCUGCCCGCGGGUUCAACCCCUUUUAAAGGCACACUCUCCCGCUUGUGCCUCGAAACGCCAUAGAAGAUCUCCCCUGAUGCACACCGGUGCACCCAACCUAUGACACGGGGGCCUAGCCCCACAAGUCAUGCAGCCUGUGUGCUGGUCUCCGAGUGCGGAGAAGGCGAACCGCUGCGCGUGGAGCAUGCUACCGACCUGCGGUAGUGCGCCUCUCCAUCUUCGCCGAAAACAACGGCCCAGCCUCUGGCAUGGAGGCCCAGGCCCACAUGUCAUAUACCUGGCGUGCCGGUUCCUGGGUGCGAAGAAGGCAAACCGCCACGCGAGGAGCGUACCAUCGCCCGCGGUAGUGCGCCUCUUCAUCUCCGCCAAAGACAACGGCCCAGCCUCUGACAUGGGGGCCCAGGCCCACAAGUCAUACAUUUGGCGUGCUGGUUCGCGAGUGCGAAGGAGGCGAACCGACACACGGGGAGCGUGCUGCCGCCUGCGGUAGUACGCCUCUUCAUCUUCGCCGAAGACAACGGUCCAGUCUCUGACGCAAGGGCCUGGGCCUACGAGUCAUCCUCCUUGGGCGUCGAUUCCUGGGUGCAGAGAAGUCGAACCGCCAUUCGCAACAAUACUGCACUCCCUCAGUACCACUGCAAGAAGACAAAAAUGUGAAUUUUUAAAGGCAGCGGGAUCGAGGCGCCUCGCGCAUGGCCUGGCGUAACCAUCAGGCAUGGGGUCCACAAGUCAGUCAGUCGCGGGGAUAGAUGUGGCAGUCGACGUGACCGAGGGCAGACUGACAGCGCGUGCGUCGCCAGAUGCGCCGAGUUAAUGCAACACAUGCUAAGGUGGUGCCCCAGUCACCAGUCAUGCCAUGUUGACGCAAAGUACAAGUUUUGGCACCACCUGCAGGCUCGCAUCCUCCCCUGAGGUGGGCCCGAGGGCCACUGUCGGUAACCCCGAACAGGGGUACCCCCUACUACUGUAUCAAGACAUAGUGGCUGCGUGGCUAUCUUUUAGCCGCGCAGCAAUAAUGUAGCGACCGGGGCCAGGCCACGACUCAACCCAGUCAUGGACCGCUACUCAGGGCCCACAAUAGCGCCCGACCGCACCACAUGGGUGGGUCCGGAGCCGCCACGUGUCCAGGAAAGAAAGAAUGCUCUAGGUCACCAACAGUAAGUCCGGACCCACAUGGGAGAGCGCCGGACCUCUGGGUAUGCAGCCGGGACCCCCAGGGAGGUCUAGGACCACCACGUGUGCAAGCCGGGUCCGUGGGAUGGAGUCUGGACCCCCCCUAUGUGGGGUCCGGACUGCCCAUGGCAGGGUCUCGGAAUUCCAAGGUAAGAAAAGCUUAAAGCCCUGGUCAAGGACCAGGCUAGGGUCCGGUGCUGACACAUGUCCGGAUCCCAUCAUGUACGCUUCUGCUCCCCGCCCAGGUGGAGACCCGAUGCCGCCACGUGGCCCACAGCCCGUGACGUAAGCCAAUGGGCGGAGCCUGAUGUAUGACCUCUGCGCCGCGGGCCGCACCGUGGGCUACGCUGCAAGCUAAACUACCUCAGCAUUAAAUACAGAUAGGGCGCACCGCCUGUCCAUCCCGCUGACAGGCGAUGUGCCCCUUCAGCAUUUAAUGUGCCCUGUCCACUCCGCUGGCAGGCAGCGGCCAGGUCGUCUCGCAGGCGGCAUGCCUGUCUGUUCCGCUGGCAGGCAGUGCGCCUGUGCUGCAACACGCAAUGUGCUCAUCAUCACUCACACGUUGCCUGGAAGGCUUCCAUUGUACGCCAAUACUACGUAGGCUGCGGAUAUCAGGACGCAAGUAGAUUGCACUGGCGACUAGCAUUAGUUGCUCCAAGUACUACAUCCGCUAUGUUCCUAGGCCCACAUGUCGGGGCUCAACACCCUUAUACGUGCCCCCUUGAGCUAUAAAAGGGGAGGCAUGCAGCAUUACAAGGCGGGGAGACACAGGCCAACUUAGAUUCUUAGCUCUCAAGCUCGCACAGCAAUACAACACACAGUGGAGUAGGGUAUUACGCUUCGGCGGUCCGAACCACUCUAAAUCUUUGUGUUCUUGUGUGUUCAUCCCCCAAUCUCGUAACAGGCAAAACGCUUAGCCCCUUCCUCAUCUUAGGAUUUAGGGCAGGUGCAUUCCGCCACCCGGCCGGAGAUUUCCUCUCCGACAAACAUGGAGGCGAGGAUGAUGGCAGAGCAGGAGGCGGAGCGGGAGGCCCGCAUGCCAGAUCAUCAGAGGACGACAGAGAUGUUCUAGUACAUGCAGAACCUUGGAGCCGCACAUGGUUUUGCUCCACCACCUCUGUUGUUCUCUCCAGUAGAUCCUGCUCAAUUCCGUACUCCUGUGAUUAUCAAAAUUCUAGUCCAGUGUGAUAUAUAUUCAUCUGGUAUAACACAUGCAAUCUCUUCUUUGUGCAGGGACAAUCUAGGGCGGCAUCCAACAACCCUCAUGGAUCGCCCAGCCCAUCGUCGCACAAGAUCAGUCGCCCACCUCGUUGAGAUACUUAGUGCACAUGAUAUUAUCUUUGUUGGUGUUGUUAAUACUUUGUGAGAUAACUUGGUCUAAACUUGUUGAUGUUGGUAUCGCUUUGUGAGAUACUUGAGACUUAUGUUUGUGAGUGUUGGAGACUUAUGUUUGUGUUCGAACUUGUUUGAUUUAUGAGAUUUAUGGUCUUUGUGAGAUAUGUGAUGUAUAUGUGAUAUCUGUGAUGAUUAUGUGAUAUCUAUGAUACAUUUGUGAUGAUUAUGUGAUAUAUCUUUUGUUUGUUUGGAUGGAAUAAUAAAAACAAAUAAAAAAGGGGCAUGCUGGUCACUUUGCCGAGUGUAACACUCGGCAAAGAGGUACUUUGCCGAUUCUUAAGAUCAUAGCACUUGGCAAAGAAGUUACACCUGGGAGCCGAUAAAGUUUAUUUGCCGAGUGUUGUGGCCUUGACACAUGGCAAAGAAGCAAGCUUUGUCGAGUGCCUCCUAGUGCACUCGGCAAAGGAACUGACAAAGGGACCCGCUGGUGAUCCCUUUGCCGAGUGCUAGUCCGGUGGGCACUCGGCAAAGAGAGAGCCUUUGCCGAGUGCCACAUAAUCCGCUCGGCAAAGGAACCGGCAAAGGGAACCACGGGGAGCUUCUUUGUCGAGUGUUAAUACAUUAGACACUUGGCAAAGUGUGUCUUUGACGAGUAUCCCGUGGCACUUAGCAUAGGCUCCGCUGCCUUCACCUGGCACCGUGACAGCGACUUUUAUUUGCCGAGUACCGAGUGGCUCUUAGCAAAGUCUUUACUGAGUGCCCGACAAAAAGUACUUGGCAAAGAAGGUGUUGUUGAUGUACAGUUCAUCGAUCCUUCUUUGCCGAGUGUCACACUCGGCAAAGUCUUCGUCGAGUGUUUUCUAGGCUUUGUUGAGUGCUUCAGACACUCGCCAAAGAAGUUGUUUCCGGUAGUGCAUGUUUGGAAGCCAAAUGCUUGUAAUAAGUAAAAAUAUUCCCACUCUAAUCUUGUAUCUGAAUUGGGCUACAAGACAAGAAGACCGGGUCAGGAUAUCUGUAUUCGAAUGAUAUGAAAUAUCCUACAUUAUCAAUAUUAUUUUAGGGCUAGUUUGGCAACUCCAUUUUUCUAAAGGAUUCUCAUUUUCCUAAGGGAAAAUGAACUAAUUUACUUUGGGAAAAUGGAAAUAUCUUGGAAAAAUAGUGUUGUCAAACUAGCCAUUAAACUUUUAGUAUCAAGGUUUCUGAAGGAGGGUUCGGAUGUAACAGAGUGGAUGAGUGUUCCUAAGGGCGCAAUUGUGUCGUCGGUGCAGUCUCAUCGCCUAGGCUAUCAGUGGUAGUUGGGUAGGUUGUCGUUUUUUAUAAUGGACGCAAGUUCCAGCCUUUUGCACUUUCAUACUGUCGGUGUUUUGAACCUCGCUUUGACAAGUAAAUUUACUGUGCAUGUUUCGGGCUCCAAAAGGUGUGUGCGGUGGGCGCAAGAUUUAUACUAGUUCAAGCACAACGUCCCUAGUUACAGUCAUCGGUAGCUUGCGCUAUCGGCACCACUGAUGAUCGAAACUCAUAGUAUGGGUUACAAGUGGGCGAGAAAGGGAGGAGAGGCUCCCAAGUCUCAUAUUGAGGUGGAAGUGGAACCGUAAGACAAGGGUAAAACCAAACGUUCUUAUCCGCGGUAAAGCCACGCGUCCUGUAAUACCCCAUUUGUAAUUUGCAAGAGCUAAUACCAAAGGGAGAAACAAGUUCACUUUAUCUAUGUGGGAGUUUGAACUUUUUGUGCCAUCACAUGUGAACACCAUAUUUUAAAACAGAUAAUUAUAAAGUAAAUGCUACUAAAUCAUUGCAUCAUGCUGCGAUUUUCUUUUGUGUGCACAUUGUGACAAAAUAAAAUAACAAAUGUGACAAGAAAAAAAAUAAUAAAUUCCCAAGGUGGAAUUUAGAAUAUAAAGGAAAUUAUAUAAGUAAGAAAAAUAUAUAUAUGGAGAUAUAAAGAUAAAAAUAAUACAUAUAUAAAAAUAUCUUCAAUUUGGUACUGUUUAUGGCACAAAACAAUCUGAGGAUAAAAGUUUGACACAAGUUUGAAUUUAAACUAGGAUUGAAGUUUGAAUUGGAAAGGGAGAAAAGAAAAAAAUAUAAAGAAAAAGGCAAAACCCCGCUUGGGCUGCGUCCUCAGCCAUUCGGCCCAUUUGGCCAAAUCCUUCGCGCAGCCCAACACCUAGAAAUGUGGCGCCGACACCCUGGGUCCGGCCGCCAGUCUCUUGGGUGAGUGAACCCUCGCUAGCGCGUGGGCCCGAGGGAUCAGCUGCGCCAUCUUCCUCCUCCGAAACGACCGCGCGUACCUGUCGCGGCAGCGUCAACUAAUGCGCGCAAAUCACGGAGGCGUGCAAAUCAGUAGUCUCGCCGCACAAGUUUUGAGGCUAGAGUGGCGUGAAUUGGUCGUUGGAGGAAAAGCUCUGUCGUGCGCUCGCACUUCGUCGUGGUCAGCCAUCGUCGCAUAAUCAUCGCCGGUGAGAUAACCCUCCUCGGAUUCACGUUGUUGUCCAUACGGUGUAGACCUAUUUAGUUGGGUGGAUAUUCCACUGGGGGCCUCGGAUCGCUUGGCUCCGGUGAUGGGCGCCGCCGUGCGAGGGGCUACGCCACCGCCGUAGAGGUAGCUGAGUCGGGUGUUGGUCAGGGCCGUUGAUCGGGAAACGAACGGCUAGGAUUAGAACUUGGCGUACCGCUUGGGUUGAAUAGGCGUAACCCUCUGAUCGUGAUCCAGUGACUGUGAUUCAAUCUCCGAAAAUAAGAUCGAGACCGUUGAUAUACCCAUCAACGGUCUAUUUGCAUAUGAGACCAUCGGGGUGUCCGGACCGUGGGAUCAAAAUCAUGCGGUCAGUUUUGCAUACUGGUUCGACGUAAUAUAGUUUUAAUCUGUGCCCUUCAAAUCUAAUCGGUCGGCUCUAGAUUCGGAUUACUCGUUCGCUCUGGUGCAUAUGCGUAAGACCCCCUCUGUUAUUUAGUAUUCGACCCGCCAUCCGCAUGGACUGUGCGCUGGGUCUUGGACAUCUUACCCCGAGGCCCCUGGGUUCUAUGUUAAUAGUGUGCCCAGUCCAUAGCUCUGUAAAUUCAGUUAUUUAAUUUUAGAAAUUACUUUUUAAUACAAAAAUAUAUGCUAGAACUUUAAUAAUUCAUAGAAAAUUCAUAUGAACUCUGAAUUAAUCCAUUCCACUUUCUAAAAUUUUGUAAUUUUAUUCUUUACCACUUAGAGUCUCUGUUUUGUCAUGAAAACAGUAAGAAAAAUAAUUUCUCACUUAAUCAUAUUUUAAACAUAAUAAACCUUUGGAAAUUCAUAUCUUAAAAUCUAUAACUCUAAAAAUUAUGAUUCCUGUUCCUAGGUUUUUAUUUUAAUGUGUAGAUUAUUACUGUGUAUUUUGUUUACAUGUUUGGUGUGAUGUUAAUUUUCUCUAUAUACUGUGCUUGUUUGUAUUGUGGCAAGUAGAAGAGCCUAUGACUGAGGAUCCUAGUGAGCAGCAGAUAGAAGUAGCUGAGCAGGAGCUCAUUGAAGGCAAGUUGUGCCCUUGAUCACUUUUUACCCAAUAAAGUUCUUUAAUAUCAUUUAUUCAUGCAUAGGUUAAUUUUGAUGGGACCCGAUAGGUCACCCUAGAUUAUUUAUCUCAUUACUUUGUUUACCCCUGAAUCACUUGGGUAGUUUGCUAUUGCUUUACAUGGUUUUGGGAUAAUCAUUUAUUAUAUCUAUGUUCCAAUUCUUUUGUUAUUAUAUUUAUGUUCAUGUCAAGAUCAUUAAUGUUAAUUGGAACAUAGAGCUUAACUUGAGAAACACGUGCCACCACAAGGGAGGAAUGGGACCCCUUGGCUGACUAAUUAGGAAAGCUAGUGGAAGACUUCUUUAACCGAAAGGGGCAAGGGUAGUAGGGGAGUUGCAUGCAAGGAUGUUCUCGGGUUGAUUUUGCUGCGAUGGCGGUCAGACGGGGGAUUCUUGCAAGUGCUCUUCCCAUAAACUAUAGCGGGUUUUCGGAAGCUAGUGGAACUUUGUAAAGGCCUCGUAGUGUUGCCCUGCCUCGCCUCCAAGGUAGAGGUGUAUGGGAGUCGCGACCCCUUGGCAGAUGGGUAACAUGACUUAUGGGUAAAGAGUACAACCUCUGCAGAGUGUAAAACUAGUAUACUAGCCGUGCUCACUGUCAUGAGCAGCUCAGGACUCUCUGAUGAUUAAUUUAUGGAACUUAAAUUCAAUUUGUCAUUUGCAUAUGCAUGGGAUUAUUAUUAAUUUUGUUCUAAUACUUUAUUUAAGGUUUGGUAUUUACUUACACUUAGUAACUGCUAAUAAAAUUUUGACCAACUACUUAAAAGCAAUGCUCAGCUCUAACCCCUGUCAUUGAUUAGACUUACACAUCACAUGGACUCCCACCUUUGUGAGUUAAUGUCCACUGGUUCCCCACAACUUGUUGAGCUAUGAUCAUGUGUGAGCUCACCCUUGCUGUCUCACACCCCCCACAGGAGAAGAGUAGGUGGUUCAGGAGGAGCCACAAGGCGAGGAGUUUGAUCUGAUCUAGGUGGCGUUUCCCUAGUUGACACUUGCGCCAAGGAUGAUCCUUAGUUCGUCUUAUAUUUAUAUUUUAUUCUGUAAUAAGACUUCCGCUAUGUAAUAAAUACUCUGAUGUUAUUGACAUUUAUCUCUAUACACUAUGUUAUUAUAUAUGUUGUCUUCUUGGCGCAUGUAUGAGAUGCACCUGGCUUUGUUCCUUAAAGCCAGGUGUGACAGAAGUGGUAUCGGAGCAAUGUUGACUGUAGGACGAAACCUAGAUAGAAAUGGACAAAACCCUUACCUACUUACCUUAUUCGGAUUCAUUCUAUACUUAUCUCAUCUUGGUCUUGUCUCACCUUUUGCUUUUCUACUCUGAUUAAUCUUAUCUUUUCUACUCUAAGACAAGAUGGAUUUCACACCUUGGAAUCCUACAACUAUGAUCUUCUUAAGAGAUAGGGAACCUAAGACAAAAAAAAUUAAAACUAUUUUCUCUAUUUUAAAAUGUUGUUUGAUUGUUCUGAUGAUAAAUAUCUGAUUUGCUUCUUUGAUUGAUUGCAAUAUUAUAUAUGGACAUCUUAGUAUGUACCACCAUAAGGUAAUGAAUUAGCUAUGGUAGGUAAAACAUUAAUCUAGUUAGCUAAUAAAUCCCCCAAAGUAACACGAUUCGUAAUUACUGCUUUGACUACUAUUCUCUUACCAUAUGUAUCUAACUCAGAUGGUCAAUACUAGGAGGGGUGGUGGAAUUGAUUUACCUCCCAGACGACACACUCUGAGGAUAUUUAGACAACCCCAGCCACAGCCGACGGAGAUGAAUCCUCCUAAUCCUCCACCAAGCGGAGUUGACCCAUUGGUUGCAGCUCAAAUGAGGAUGAUGCAACAAAUGGCGGACACUAUGGCAGAUAUGCGGGCUCAGAUGCAGCAAGAACGCCAGAAGAUGCACCAGGAAAGAGAAGAGAUACUCCAGGAGUUGCACCAGGAAUGAGAAGAGAUACGCCAGGAAAGAAGGGCGCAACAGCAGCUGCAACAGCAACUUCAACAACAAUAGCAACAGCAGCAACAGCAGCAACAACAACAAGUACCAUUGCCUCCACCUCCACCACCAGUUCCACCCCGUGAUAAGCACUGGGAGUUCAUGAGCCAUAAGCCACCGACAUUUGCAAGCUCUCCUGAUCCACUAGACACAGAUGAUUGGUUGAAAUCCAUAGAGAAGAUGUUGAACAUUGCUCAAUGCACUGACCGGGAGAAGGUUUUAUAUGCUUUUGGACGUCUGACAGGUCCUGCUAAUGAUUGGUGGGAUUCAUAUACUGCUGCCCACGAUGCUGCUGAUACUAUUACUUGGGCAGAGUUCAGUACGCAGUUCAGGAAUUAUCAUAUACCAGUUGGAUUGAUGAAGAUUAAGAAGAAGGAAUUUCUAUCGCUGAAGUAAGGAAGUAUGUCAGUCAGCGAGUACCGCGACAAGUUUAUCCAGCUAUCUAGAUAUGCUCCAGAUGAAGUUGCUGAGGAUGAGAGGAAGCAGGAACAUUUUAUUGAAGGACUUAAUGGACCUCUACAGUAUGCUCUAGUGGCACAUAUAUUCCCAUCAUUUCAGAGGUUGCUCGAUAAGGCUCUAGCUAUUGAACACAAGCGUGUUCAGCUAGGAGACUAGAAGAGGAUAGCUAUAUCUCAAGGACAAGGAAGUAGCAGUGUUCGUCCUCGCUACAGUUCACCCUAGGGUACACCAGUUCGCACUGGCGGAGGCCAGCGCCCAGUUCAGCAAUCACCUUAGAGGACUCCACCGCCUCGUCAGGCCACCCCCACUGGCACCCCGACGAAGUUUUCAGGACAGAGUGCAGGCACCACUUGCUUCAAGUGUGGGAAGACUGGACAUUAUGCAAAUGUCUGCCCACAAAGGAUUGCUACUACCCCAGUUCAGAAUAGGCAGCAAACUCCAGGAUCUGGCAAGGGAUACUCUAUUGCCAAGGUUAAUCAAGUCAGCGUUGAUGCUACUCCGGAUGGUGCUGACAUCGUACUUGGUAUGUUUUAUGUUAAUGCUAUUCCUGCAACUAUAUUAUUUGAUUCAGGUGCUAUACAUUCAUUUAUGUCUGCUCGAUAUGCCAACACAAAUGAGAUACCACUGUUAAAUAUGAGAAAACCAAUGAUAGAAAUUACACCUAAAGGGCCUGUUGAGGCAAAUCAAAUGACACGUAGAUUGACAUUAACAAUUAUGGGAAGAGAAUUUGGAGCUACUGCUAUAAUAUUAGAGGCAAGCAGUAUAGAUCUGAUCCUUGGUAUGUCAUGGUUAAGAAAGACAAAGGCCAUUAUAGCAUGUGGUACACGUACCGUAGAAUUCACUAGCCCUAAAUGAGAAAGAUUUCAAGUUAAUAUUGCAGUAACCACCUCAUCCAAACGUGCAAUGUUCUUUAUACCUGAGGAGUUUGUUGGCGACAACAUCCGUGUGGUUAGAGAUUUUCCGGUUGUCUUUCCAGAGGAGUUACCAGGGAUGCCACCUGAUAGGGAAGUUGAGUUUGUAAUUGAUCUUCUACCUGGAACUGCCCCUAUUUCUAAACGGCCAUACAGGAUGUCUGUAGAAGAGUUAAAGGAACUGAAGAAGUAGUUAACUGAGUUACAAGAGGCUGGGUACAUUCGUCCGAGUUCCUCACCUUGGGGAGCGCCGGUUCUGUUUGUACAGAAGAAGGAUGGAUCACAAAGGAUGUGUGUGGAUUAUAGAUCACUUAAUGAUGUUACGGUGAAGAACAAAUAUCUGUUACCCCCUAUUGAGGAUUUAUUCGAUCAGAUGAGAGGUGCCAGAGUAUUCUCGAAGAUUGAUCUCUGAUCGGGAUACCAUCAGAUGAGGAUUAGACCAUCAGAUAUUCCUAAGACGACUUUCUCGACUCGAUAUGGAUUAUAUGAGUUCACUGUUAUGUCGUUUGGAUUAACCAAUGCACUAGCUUAUUUUAUGAAUUUGAUGAAUAAGGUGCUUAUGGAGUAUUUGGACAGAUUCGUCGUGGUAUUCAUCGACGAUAUACUUAUUUAUUCCCAGAGUGAUAGAGACCAUGAGGAACAUCUGAGAUUGGUGCUACAGAAGCUACAAGAUAACCAACUAUAUGCCAAGUUUAGCAAGUGCGAGUUUUGGAUUGGCGAGGUGCCAUUUCUUGGUCAUAUCAUAUCUAAUGGAGGAAUAUCAGUGGAUCCUUCUAAGGUUAAGGAGAUAAUGGAGUGGAGAGUAACCACUACAGUUACUGAGAUUCGGAGUUUCUUGGGACUAGCAGGAUAUUAUUGGAGAUUUAUUGAAGGAUUUUCUAAGAUCGCUAAGCCUAUGACCUCCCUUUUGGAGAAGGGCAAAGAAUUUAAGUGGGACGAGAAGUGCCAAGACAGCUUUGAUCAAUUAAAGAAAAGAUUGAUGUCGCCACCAGUGUUGGUUAUGCCAGAUCUGCAGAAGGGAUUUGAUAUUUAUUGUGAUGCAUGUGGCCAAGGCUUGGGAUGUGUGCUCAUGCAAGAGGGACAUGUGAUUGCCUAUGCUUCUCGUCAGUUGCGGAAACAUGAAUUGAAUUACCCCACUCAUGACUUAGAACUGGUAGCUGUUGUGCAUGCGCUUAAGAUAUGGAGACAUUAUAUCAUGGGAACCAAGUGUCAAGUAUACACGGAUCAUAAGAGUUUGAAGUAUAUAUUCACUCAGAAGGAUCUCAACCUUAAACAACGUCGUUGGUUGGAGCUUAUUAAGGAUUAUGAUUUGGAGAUUCACUAUCACCCGGGCAAGACAAAUUGGGUUGCAGAUGCCUUGAGUCGAAAGGAGCAUGUUCAUUCAGCUAUUGUUGCCCAGCUACCCGAUGAAAUUGUUGAGGAUUUCAGGAGACUUAACCUGGGGAUAGUUGCUCACACCGAAGGAGUCACUAUUGAUGUGGAACCUACUUUGGAGCAAGAAAUCCACAAAGGAUAGAUUGGUGAUGCUAAAAUACAAGAGAUUAAGGAUCUUAUUACUGAAGGUCGAGGUCCAGAAUUCACGAAAGAUGAGUAAGGCACCGUAUGGUUCAAGGACAGGAUAUGUGUUCCUGAUAUUGGAAGCCUUCGUGAGACUAUUUUAAAGGAGUCCCAUGACUCAGAUUAUUCUAUUCAUCCUGGUAGUACCAAGAUGUAUUAGGAUUUGAAGCGGAAAUAUUGGUGGUAUGGAUUGAAGAGAGAUGUGGCUGCACACGUGGCUAUGUGCGAUGUGUGUCAAAGAGUUAAGGCUGAACACUAGAGGCCAGCUAAACUAUUGCAUCCACUGAAGAUACCCGAGUGGAAGUGGGAAGAGAUUGGUAUGGAUUUCAUUACUGGAUUGCCUCGCACCCAAAAAGGAUAUGAUGCUAUAUGGGUGAUUGUGGAUAGAUUGACUAAAGUGGCUCAUUUCAUUCCGGUCAAGACUACUUAUAAAGGCUCUCCACUAGCAGAGUUAUAUAUGGCUCGGAUUGUGUGUUUACAUGGAGUACCGAAGAAGAUCGUGUCUGAUCGAGGUUCACAGUUUACCUCAAGAUUUUAGAGAAGCUUUCAUGAGAACAUGAGCACAAAGUUGAACUUUAGUACGGCUUAUCACCCUCAGACUGAUGGACAGACUGAAAGGACCAAUCAAGUAUUGGAAGAUAUGUUGAGAGCUUGUGCCCUUCAACAUGGAGGAAGUUGGGAUAAAAGUUUACCAUAUGCUGAGUUCUCAUAUAAUAAUAGCUAUCAGGCUAGUCUGAAGAUGUCACCUUUUGAAUCUUUAUAUUGGAGAAAGUGCAGGACUCCUCUAUAUUGGGAUCAAGUUGGAGAAAGGCAGUUCUUUGGGCCUGAACUGAUUCAAGAGGUAGAAGAACAAGUCUGUAUAAUUCGAGAGAAUUUGAGGGUAGCUCAAACCAGGCAAAAGAGCUAUGCUGAUAAUAGAAGGAGACCACUGGAAUUUGAGGAAGGAGAUUAUGUGUACCUCAAGGUGUCACCACUUCAUGGAAUGAGGAGAUUCAAAGUUAAGGGCAAAUUGUCCCCUCGCUAUAUUGGACCAUUCGUGAUCUUUAGGCGAGUUGGGGAGAUGGCAUACCAACUCGAGCUACCUGCUAAUCUAUCGGAUGUGCAUAAUGUGUUCCACGUGUCUCAACUUAAGAAGUGUCUCCGUGUUCCUGAGGAAUAGUUACCAAUGGAAGAGCUCAGUAUUCAGGGUGAUCUGACUUACACUGAGUAUCCUGUCAAGAUUCUUGAUACAUUGACUCGAGUUACAAGAAAUAAGGUGAUAAAGAUGUGCAAAGUAUAAUGGAGUCACCAUGGAGAGGAUGAAGCAACAUGGGAAAGAGAAGAAGAGCUUCGCAUAGAUUUCCCCAACCUUUUCCCUAGAUCUUCCUAAAUCUCGAGGACGAGAUUAUUUUUAAGGAGAGUAGGAUUUGUAAUACCCCAUUUGUAAUUUGCAAGAGCUAAUACCAAAGGGAGAAACAAGUUCACUUUAUCUAUGUGGGAGUUUGAACUUUUUGUGCCAUCACAUGUGAACACCAUAUUUUAAAACAGAUAAUUAUAAAGUAAAUGCCACUAAAUCAUUGCAUCAUGUUGCGAUUUUCUUUUGUGUGCACAUUGUGACAAAAUAAAAUAACAAAUGUGACAAGAAAAAAAUAAUAAAGUCCCAAGGUGGAAUUUAGAAUAUAAAGGAAAUUAUAUAAGUAAGAAAAAAAUAUAUAUGGAGAUAUAAAGAUAAAAAUAAUACAUAUAUAAAAAUAUCUUCAAUUUGGUACUGUUUAUGGCACAAAAUAAUCUGAGGAUAAAAGUUUGACACAUGUUUGAAUUUAAACUAGGAUUGAAGUUUGAAUUGGAAAGGGAGAAAAGAAAAAAAAUAAAUAUAAAGAAAAAGGCAAAACCCCGCUUGGGCUGCGUCCUCAGCCAUUCGGCCCAUUUGGCCAAAUCCUCCGCAUAGCCCAACACCUGGAAAUGUGGCGCCGACACCUUGGGCCCAGCCGCCAGUCUCUUGGGCGAGUGAACUGUCGCUGGCACGUGGGCCCGAGGGAUCAGUUGCGCCAUCUUCCUCCUCUGAAACGACCGUGCGGACCUGUCGCGGCGGCGUCAACUACCGCGCGCGAAUCACGGAGGCAUGGACCGAGCUCAUGCCAGGCGCAUAAAUGGAUUCGUCUGGGUGCUCUCCGCCUACCUCGCCACUUCUCGUAGCCCCACUAGGUCCGCAACCGACCUAAUUUCUAGAGCCACCGCAACCGCGAAACCCGCCGUGGUCGAAGCACGCAACCGCCGUCGUAAAGCUGACCUGAGCCAUUGAGGGAGCUUCGCCUCAACACCCUGAAGAUAUCAGUAGUCUCGCCGCGCAAGUUUUGAGGCCAGAGUGGCGUGAAUUGGUCGUCGGAGGAAAAGCUCUGCCGUGCGCUCGCACUUCGUCGUGGUCAACCAUCGUCGCGUAAUCAUCGCCGGUGAGAUAACCCUCCUCGGAUUCACGUUGCUGGCCAUACGGUGUAGACCUAUUUGGUUGGGUGGAUAUUCCAUUGGGGGCCUCGGAUCGCUUGGCUCCGGUGAUGGGCGCCACCGUGCGAGGGGCUACGCCACCGCCGUAGAGGUAGCUGAGUCGGGUGUUGGUCAGGGUCGUUGAUCGGGAAAAGAACGGCCAGGAUUAGAACUUGGCGUACCGCUUGGGUUGAAUAGGCGUAACCAUCUGAUUGUGAUCCGGUGACUGUGAUUCAAUCUCGGAAAAUAAGAUCGGGACCUUUGAUAUACCCAUCAACGGUCUGUUUGUGUAUGAGACCAUCGGGGUAUCCGGACCGGGGGAUCAAAAUCAUGCGGUCAGUUUUGCAUACCGGUUCGACGUAAUAUAGAUUUAAUCUGCGCCCUUCAAAUCUGAUCAGUCGGCUCUGGAUUCAGGUUACCCGUUCGCUCUGGCGCAUUUGCGUAAGACCCCCUCUGUUAUUAAGUAUUCGACCAGCCAUCCGCAUGGACUAUGCGCUGCGUCUUGGACAUCUUACCCUGAGGCCCCUGGGUUCUCUGUAAAUAGUGUGCCCAGUCCAUAGCUCUGUAAAUUCAGUUAUUUAAUUUUAGAAAUUACUUUUUAAUACAAAAAUAUAUGCUAGAACUUUAAUAAUUCAUAGAAAAUUCAUAUGAACUCCAAAUUAAUCCAUUCCACUUUCUAAAAUUUUGUAAUUUUAUUCUUUACCACUUAGAGUCUCUGUUUUGUCAUGAAAACAGUAAGAAAAAUAAUUUCUCACUUAAUCCUAUUUUAAACACAUUAAACCUUUGGAAAUUCAUAUCUUAAAAUCUAUAACUCCAAAAAUUAUGAUUCAUGUUCCUAGGUUUUUAUUUUAAUGUGUAGAAUAUUACUGUGUAUUUUGUUUACAUGUUUGGUGUAAUAUUAAUUUUCUCUAUAUAUUGUGCUUGUUUGUAUUGUGGCGAGUAGAAGAGCCUGUGACUGAGGAUCCUGGUGAGCAGCAGAUAGAAGUAGCUGAGCAGGAGCUCAUUAAAGGCAAGUUGUGCCAUUGAUCACUUUUUACCCAAUAAUGUUCUUUAAUAUUAUUUAUUCAUGCAUAGGUUAAUUUUGAUGGGACCCGAUAGGUCACCCUAGAUUGUUUAUCUCAUUACCUUGUUUACCCCUGAAUCACUUGGGUAGUUUGCUAUUGCUUUAUAUGGUUUUGGGAUAAUCAUUUAGUAUAUCUAUGUUCCAAUUCUUUUGUUAUUAUGUUCAUGUCAAGAUCAUUAAUGUUAAUUGGAAUAUAGAGCUUAACUUGAGAAACACGUGCCACCACAAGGGAGGAAUGGGACCCCUUGGCUGACUAAUUAGGAAAGCUAGAGGAAGACUACCUUACCCGAAAGGGGCAAGGGCAGUAGGGGAGUUGCAUGCAAGGAGGUUCUCGGGUUGAUUUUGUUGCGAUGGCGGUCAGACAAGGGAUUCUUGCAAGUGCUCUUCCCAUAAACUAUAGCGGGUUUUCGGAAGCUAGUGGAACUUUGUAAAGGCCUCGUAGUGUUGCCCUGCCUCGCCUCCUCAGUAGAGGUGUAUGGGAGUCGCGACCCCUUAGCAGAUGGGUAACAUGACUUGUGGGUAAAGGGUACAACCUCUGCAGAGUGUAAAACUGGUAUACUAGCCAUGCUCACGGUCAUCAGCAGCUCGGGACUCUCUGAUGAUUAAUUUAUGGAACUUAAAUUCAAUUUGUCAUUUGCAUAUGCAUGGGAUUAUUAUUAAUUUUGUUCUAAUACUUUAUUUAAGGUUUGGUAUUUACUUACACUUAGUAACUGCUAAUAAAAUUUUGACCAACUACUUAAAAGCAAUGCUCAGCUCUAACCCCUGUCAAUGAUUAGACUUACACAUCACAUGGACUCCCACCUUUGUGAGUUCAUGUCCACUGGUUCCCCACAACUUGUUGAACUAUGAUCAUGUGUGAGCUCACCCUUGCUGUCUCACACCCCCACCACAGGAGAAGAGUAGGUGGUUCAGGAGGAGCCACAAGGCGAGGAGUUUGAUCUGAUCUAGGUGGCGUUUCCCCAGUUGACUCUUGCGCCAAGGAUGAUCCUUAGUUCGUCUUAUAUUUAUAUUUUAUUCUGUAAUAAGUCUUCUGCUAUGUAAUAAAUACUCUGAUGUUAUUAUGACAUUUAUCUCUAUACACUCUGUUAUUAUAUAUGUUGUCUUCUUGGCGCAUGUAUGAGAUGCACCUGUCUUUGUUCCUUAAAGCCGGGUGUGACACGUCCUCGUGGGCCCUAGGUUCGCCUGUCUAUCUCGUAUUUAUUGUGGCAGAACCUCCCAAGUUAUCGGGCCCACAUGCACCUGUCCUUAUCUCAAAGACCUCAGACAGCUAUGCAUGUGCACCAGAUAACUUAACAGGAUCCGUCCGAGUGUCCCAAGGACCCCGGAUAAACCACUUACAACCAGGAUCGCAAGAUUAAGUAAACACAAAUCACACACCAACAUUUUGCAGCGGAAAAUCUUAUUACCAAAUUUUACAAGUUACAACAAGUUUACAUUGUAUUUAUCGGAGUGAUUGCAAAAGUGGUUCAAAGGAAUAACUUUGAGAUGUUAUAAAUUAUUUGUAAGUUUGAAAUAUAUGCUAGCUCAAGUGACCAUCCUCAAUAAGAAGUAUAGAAGAAUUACUUAGACUUAUAAGAAGGCCGAGCCCACCGGCACAUAACACCAUCAACAGCAGCACAAAACUAUAACCUGAAAAACAACAGGGAAUAAAACCCUGAGUACGGAAUUACUCAGCAAGACUUACCCGACUAAAGAAAAGACUCUCAAGGAUAUGCUGGCUGAUUAGGAGUCAAGGUAAGGUUAAGCAAUAAUCAAGGACUCAUUUUGCAGAAGAGCUUACUAGUAGUGAAUCCUUAUGCCAAAAUUUUACUUCACAAGUUAAGUACUUUUCCUGAAUCUAGAUUUGUCUAAUCUAGAGCAUUCACUUGUCCUGAUCUAGCUUUCUUUUAACCAACUACAAUCAUGUUUCACUUGUCAACUACGAUGAGUGGUCAGUGAGUCGAGUCUCCAUAACCGAGGAGCAACGACGAUUCGAACCGAUUAUACCCAGCUGGAGAUCCCUAACCACACGACAUAUGUAGCACUUAACCCUUGCAUAUGUCAACUGUUCCCAUAGAUCCUCCACAACGUGAACCGGUCCGCGCUACCCGGGAGCACAGUACUCCUCCAUCCAGCCUCUAGCCAGGAGGGUACACGCUACUCCCACCAUCUCCCACGCCCAGUGCGCGGUUGUCUUUUCACGUAUGGAAUAGCCAGGUUCAGGCUUACCGGAGCAUGUGGUUAGUUGCAAAGUCUCACCUCAUCAGGCCUACAUCGAACGGUCCUUAAUCGACACAGACGGGCGACCAUGUCCGCUCAACGUCUGGUCUAGAUGUAUUCGAACCAUUUUCCCAUUUUUGGUACCCGGCAGGGGUACUCUUUUCCAAAUGAUGAACCCACUCCGGCCGAAGUGGAAUCAUCACCAUAAGUUUGCUUUGAUUUUUGAAACGAAAGGCCCAUAACCAAUGUGCCACAAUCAUUCUUUUUGAAAACAAAUGAUUUUUCAGUUUCUAAGCAGGGCUAAGCAUUAUCAGUUCUUUUUAUAAAACCGGGAUUAAGGAGUCUCCAAGGAAUGAUAAUGCAUCAAUUGUUUAUCACACAACUCCUAUCACCUAAUGCAUCAGAUAAGGUGAAAAAGUAUUUAAAACACAAGGAAGGGGUAAAUGCACCGGGGCUUGCCUGGAAUAACACUACGUUAGUGUUUGUUAGACGAUGUCCGCUUGACGAGUAUCCCUCGACCGAGCACUUGCUUAAUUUAACCAUCUUCAGGUUGGUCCAUCAGCUUCAUCCUGCGGAUUUAGCCCGUGCUUGGGGUCGACUUGGCUUGUCUUCCGCAUCACAUGAUUAUUUAUCGUACCUCAUGAGAUGCACGAUGCACAUGUAUGAGCACAAGUAGAACGAGUAUAAGAUAGAUACUCUAUACUAAAAAGGAUGAAACACUUAAAAUCAAGCAUUAAGCACCAUGGAUAUCAUAGCAGAGCAUCGACUACAUUCAUUAACCAAAUUGACCUAAUAACACUAGAAAAUCUAUUUUUAUUCCUAGCUUUUUAUUAACUCUCUAAACUGUGUAACUUAAUUACUUGAUUUAGCGAGCUAUCUAAAUCGAUCAUCACAAUAUACGCAUGCUAAAUUAAUAAUAUUUACUGUGACCAACAAUUCUAUUUAAUCUAUUUAUAGACCUAGUUAACGGGAAUACGAAUCAACUUACCCUGACUAAUUCGACGCGAUAGUUGCAAGCACGAGGAUGGUUUCCGGUUGACGUCUUUGAUCACAUAUGGCUGGCGAGUGAUGCACACACGACGCGACGACGAGUUUGAGUAUGAAGCGAGCUGACGACGUGUGAUCGAGCAGGUUAGCGCGAGCUUUGGCCACCAGCAAGCGCAGUAUCGACGACGAGGAUCGAGGCGGGGUUGACUAGCACGACAAGCCCGUGCAGGGGGCAAGAGCCAACGGUCGGGAGAUGGCAGCACGGUUCAGGCAAGGCCGCGCAAACACUGAACGAGGAAAACGACGGCUCGCCGACACACGAAGCUAUCACCUCCCAGUUGGACAUUCCGUCGAGCAUCGGAUAAGCGACGCACGGAACAGUACUGUCUUCUCUAAUCCCAGCCCGAUAUCGAGGAUCCCCCAACUGCAAGCACCUACACUACUCCUGCGCAUCCAAGACAACGGCCAGGCGAGCACGAAGCCGCGCGAGGAAACAGAGCGCGCGCAGGGCGAUGGGCACCGCGGCACGUCAGGGAGCCGGACGCGGCACACAAGGAGAUCCACGGCUGGAAAAACGCCGGCCAGCAGAGAAGUAGAGGUGAGGGCGCACCAUGGACAGAGAAGGCAGUGCGCACCCACGGAACGAGCAGAGGCGAGCGUGUAGCGUCCGAUGGGUGAGCGACUGGAGCAGGGUGCGGCUGAGGAAUGGGCAGAGGCCAAGCUGGGGCACCGCAGCGCCGGAGAGGACGCGCAGAAAGAAUCCACGGCGAGGGAGCUCGGGGGAAACCGCGGCGCGUGCGCAGGGACGAGCAGGGCAUAGAGAGCAGGACGCCGAGCGCUAGUCACCGGAGCAGGGAGCUGGGCGAACUCCAUGGGCGAGCAGGAGUCGAGCUCGCAGGGGAAGAGGCUAGGGGAAGCCGAGCGGUCGAGCUGAGCUACGGCGGACAUGGCGACAAGCGAACAGAGGGGAGGGGCGCUGGGGAAGAGAGCGGCGUUGGGGGCCGGGCGGCCGAGCUCGGCUGGGAGUUGGGGCUGGGCGCUGGAGAAGUGGAGAGGCUGGGCGCGCAGGAAGCUGAAGCUUGCAGGGAAUCCGGCGCUGGGAGCUUCGAGCAGAGGAUCCACAUCCGACCAGGCGCCGGGGAGAAGAGGAGCAGAGGCACUCGGCUAAGAGCAGAAGAUGGACACCGCGAUGGGAUUUUUAUUCAGGGUGGCCGAGCGGAUGGGAACGAGGCAACGGCGGUGAGAAAAAUCUUGAGCUGAGCGGCGGCGGGGAUAAGGGAAGAAGACGGCUGGAAGGAUAGAGCCGCGAGAUUUUUCUUCCUGGGCACAUGAGAAUAGCAGAGGGAGGAGCUCCGGCGAGGUUGGCUGGAACGACGACUUGGAGCGGCGGUCGGGCGUCUGCAAGCUCUGAGCGCAGAACUGUAGGGGAUAGAAAAUAUGUGCGAUGCGGAGAGGUGGCCGGAUAAUGGAGUCCGUCGAGAAGAGAAUGGAUAUGGCCAGCGACGACGACGACAAGCUAGUAGCGCCACUUGAUUUUGACGGACGGGAGUGGCCGAACCGCUGUUUCGUCCACACGGCACCAGAUAAUGGAGUCCCGCAGAUGACGUGGUCAAUAUAAGGAGGAGAGAGAGACGCGUGGAAGAGUUCCAUGCGGUGGUCAAAAAAUGCUAAACGGUGGAAAGAUUUCAGAUAUUUUCUAUUUGGUCUUUUCUUCUUUCUCAAAGAAUACUGGUAUUAGAAUUAGAGUUUGGGUGUGAUAUAAAUAGAACAGAUCAAAACACAAUCAGAAUACGAUACUUAAGACGCCAUUAAUUUAGUUAAACCCGGAUAAAAAUUUAUCUAUUUUUCGAACCCAUUUGAUUUCUCUACCUAGAAUAGCACACUAAAGAAUAAUCCCAAUUAUUAAUCUUGCGCACGGUUUCUUGGUAACGCAAGCAAUCCAUAUUAUACUUUCGGACCAAUAUUAUCUGCUAUAAAAUCAAACGUUAAUCUCUUUGUCUCGGAUAAUAUCGGGUUCAGAUAAGACGCAAACAGAAUGAACCAAACGAGAUCGAGACUGAAAUUUUAGUCCGCUUUUGUUUACAUAGGAAUCGAAUAAUUUCCAUAAUUGUAAACAGUGGAACGGAUUAAUCACGAAUACUCAGUUCUGAUUAAGUUAUCUCAGUCCGAAAUAACGUUUUUGCGUUAACUGUUGUCGCCGAGUUCAAAUUAAUUUGCCCGGGAUAAAAAUCACCUAGUGGGUCGAGCUUCCAAAUUCGUAUUUGCGUGAGCGAUGAAUUUUAAAUACUCACCGGACGCACCGAUUUUCGGAACAACGAUAUUCCGAACAUCACGAAAAUUUAGGAAGAGCCCGGAUAAAUAAAAACAAUAUCGAACUCGCGAUAAAUGGAACAGAUGCGAUAUUAAAAUCGCGAUACGCGAAGAUGUUUAAAAUUUAGCAUCUGUUUUAUCCACUGAUAUUACGUGCUUAAAUUCAUACUCGCUGUCCAGCGGAAUAUAAACACCUGGGGUGUUACAUUUAUUGUGGCGGACGACGCGGGGCUAUGGGUCCCAAGCGCCAUCAUUUAGGUUAUGCCAAACCAUGGUCUUCGUGUUGCGCUCUGCCAGUGAUCUACGCACUCAGGCCUAGUCCGGUAGAUCAUGAGUGCGUCGUAGGCCGAGGGGCACACGGACCAUAAAUGUGUCGCACUCCAGGGAGUUCGUAGGUCAUGAGUGUAAUGCGGCCUAAAGGGUUUGUAGGUCAUGAGUGGGAAGCGGACCAGCGCCUGCGUUGUGGCUCGGUGCCAGGCGUGGCUAAUGCGGCCGAUUAUUUUACGACAGGUCAAUCUGGGGUCGGACGCGGGAUCCACUCGAGUGGUUUCUCUCCACCACGCCUAGUCCCUCAUGUCAGGUUCCACCACAUCCGACCCUCCCUCGGUGCUGUGGGGUUUGACCAAGGGCGGGUUCUUUUAGGGUUGACAUAUCCAUUUCUUCCAGCUAACCAAUGGGCCCAAGCGACCAAGGGCUCUUCCUUUAGCGUGCUCACUGACCGGCAGGCUCCAAGAACGGAGAUCGUAUCCCCGACAGUAGCCCCCGGGCACCGAGGGGAGAGUGUCCGGUCCUUUUGUCGCAUACUUCCAUAUUUUUCUCGUAAAUGGCCCCGAACCGUUGCCUCCUUCCAUAUGUGGUGUUUGGUAUAUGCGUAGCAUCGCCAUGCCUCGUGCCUUUAUAUAAAUGAUCCCUCCCUAGAGUGUCUUCGUUGUUCCUUGCCUUUACUUUCUUUGUUGAGGGAUGAUUUCUUUGUGGCUCUUUAUGAACUCAGGCAAGCGUCCAGCGGAAGAGUGUCCCCGGUGCUACAUCCUCUCAAGCAAGAGAUGAUUGACUCGGGACACAUGUUCCUUCUUCUUCUGUCUCUAGACUCUUAAGAUUGUGCUUGUCUCAUCUUCUUCUUCGUGUAGCCAGGUGAUUUUGAUGAGGCAGAGAAAAUACUUCAUGAUGUCUUUCUGCUAGGGAGGGAUCUCAAUACUCUCAUCACAGACUUCCUCGGAUCUUUGGGAGAAACUGGUCACUACCCACACGACGCUUGAGGCUACCGACGGCGAGGUGGCCGGUCUCCUUGCUCGCCAAAUGAAGAUAGACCGUCGCGUUGUGGUUUCGUGUUGUCUUCUGCUUUUGUGAAUAACCCUCUUUGGUUGUCAUUGACUAUUUUCCCUUGUUACCGGUGCCAUUUCUAGAACUAGAGUCGGAGGUCGCGGGCCUUUGCGAGGUCGUGGAUGAGGUGAUCUUCUUUGUUCAGACCUAGGGUGUCGAUUGAGGAGAGCGAAUUCUCAAUGUAGCUAACCGGGAGUGCCUGGUCGUCCAUCGUGGCGCUCAUCGCGGUGCCGCUGGGGCUCUGGCCUUUGUGCAGUUCUGGUCGGGCUACGAGUUUGGUACUAUGGACUUGUCGGAGGACACGACCGUCGGUGCUCUGGAGGACUUUGAGGAUGACUUCGACAUAGCCACCGAAACCAUGGUCGACAUCUUUCCACUGGAGGAUGUGAUCAAUGGAUCUCCCUAGUUAGGAUGUAUCCGUAGGUAGCUUCGAUCAUGGGACGGCCCAGGUGUGUCUGCCCCUAUGCUUUUUGCAAUGUUGUCAUUUAUUUCUAAACUUGUUGGUGAAAUGUUUCCCCUCCCUUUCCUGUUCCUGAUAUUCUAUUAUCCUUUAGUGUGAAAAAAUGGGUUUUGGUAUACUUAUUUUGGGACUUCACUUGCUCCUCGAUUGCGCGCCAGGUGGCCUCGGCGUAAUUCAUAGGACCUAGAAGGUGGUUUCGAAAACCUCUGGCCCACUCCGGCGCUGGGCCAUUCGUCCCUGGUUUUUGUGUCCCACGUGUAUUUGGGGGAAUCGGGAGUGUUGCAUCGUGGGUAGCGGGAUCUGGCCAUGUUGUUGCCCGAGCCUGUUUCCGUUCGUGGCCUGUCAUAUCGUUAUUCACAUCUGGGAGCCUACUCCGGGUUCCCCGCUGGCAAUGAUGGGUUUGUCCAGGGGAGCGCAUUGUCUGUUCCCAUGCAAUCUAUUCGCCAAAUGGGGAAGGGCGAGUUGUCUCAUGCCUGAGAGCACCUAGAGGGGGGUGAAUAGGUGAUCCUAUAAAAAUCAAAUACUAAAUAGUCCAAACUUGGUUAUGAAAUAUUAGUUAGAUCAAAACCAAGAUGCUAUAGUGAGAACUCUUCACUUGAUUGUUCCUUUAGAAUGAGCAUUAAACUUAGGAACAAUAGAACAAGUGAUUAAGUGAGAACUCAAGAAGAGAAACCAAUCACAAUAAAAGAUGGCACAAGAGACACGGUGAUCUUAUCUCGUGGUUCGGUCAAGUAUAACACUUGCCUACUUCCACGUUGUGGCGUCUCAAUGGACGAGGGUUGCACUCAACCCCUUUCAAGUGAUCCAAUGAUCAACUUGAAUACCACGGUUUCUUCCUUAUCAAUGUUUUCCCGUUUGUGAGGAAUCUCUACAAGUUGGAGCUUCUCACCCUUACAAGGUUGAUCACAACAAAAGUACAAGAGUAAGGGAGGGAAAGAAACACACACAAGACUAGAAUCGCAGCAACAAUACGCACACAAGUCAAGAAGAGAGCACACAAGAACAAUGCCACAAGUUCACAACACACUUAGUGCUCAAAUCUUAGUCACGAUGAUCCAAAUGCGUAUUUGUGGAGUCUAGGCGUCUUAGAAUAUUUAGUGAAUGCUUGGUGUAGUGCUCCAUGCGCCUAGGGGUCUCUUUUAUAACCCCAAGCAAGCUAGGAGCCGUUGGAGUUCCAUUUAGAAGGCAAUUCUUGCCUUCUAUCGGGUGGCGCACCGGACAGUCCAGUGCACCACCGGACAUGAAUAUUCCUUGUCCGGUGCCCGAUCUCUUUCCUUUUCUGGUGAAGCCGACCGUUGAGCCUUUGGUCUCCUUGGCGCACCGGACACUGUCCGGUGCACCCCGGAUAGUCUAGUGCGACCAAGUGACCGUUGGCUCGGGCCACGUGUUGCCCGUUGAUCGCGCUGCCGACCGUUGGCCGUGGGCGCCGUUGGCUCACCGAACAGUCCGGUGAAUUUUAGCCGUGGUGUCCUUAGUGAAUUCCCGACAGUGACGAGUUCGUCGCCGAGCAUUGAGCGUGGGUGCUGAUGGCUCACCGGACAGUCUGUUGCACCACCGGACAGUCCAGUGAUUUUUAGCCAUGUCCCCCUCACCGAUUCCCAAGAGUAGUGACUUCGCUGCAGAACCAGCCUGUGCACCAGACACUGUCCGGUGCACACCAGACAGUCCGGUGCACCGAAGGCUGGUGCAGGUUUGGCUGGACUCAGCCAAACUUCUCCAAUCCAUUUCCACUUUUCUUGACAAGGUUCCUAGCACUUAGAGAAAUAUGUUAGUAUCUAAAAAAUUACUAAGGCCAGAGAUAUACCUUGAUUCUUGAUUUGCAUUUCUUUAACAUUUACCACAUAUUAAUCACCAAAACAUUUAUAGAAAUGGCCCAAGGGCACAUUUCCCUUUUAGUGCCCCCUUUGACGGUAGAGGUUAUAGCAAGCUUCCUUUUUUGUGGGGUGAUCCCUUGAGUCCCCCGUUCGUUAUAGGGGAUCCAUCUGAGGGUGUGUCCCAUCUUUUUACUGCUUCUUCCCAUGUAACCCGUCCGUCGGGAGGGGAAGGGUGAGUUGUACCGUGAUCCCCUCUAUUGUUGAGAUCAUGAGGCUCGGUAGGCCUCGAUCGACUGAUCUGAAUGAGUCUUUCUUUUUGCGAACUGUUCGCUACAGGGAUCCAUCUAGGGAUGUGCACCGUCUUUUUGGUACUCCUUCCUGCUCAUUCUAUUCACUGGAAGGGAAAGGGUGAGCCGUACCAUGCUUCCCUCAAUGGUCGAGAUCAUGGCGCUUGGGGAGCUACAAAAGGGUGAUCCAAGUGAGGCCCCAACUCCUUUCAUAGGAUCUAGGUGCAAGGUCCGUUGGUGACCGUCCUAAUACACCCAAGUUUCGACUCAUAUAGUUGUUGGCCCUGUUCGAUCGGGUUCGAUGGAUCAUUGCCUCUCUCUGUGAUAAACCAUGAGUCCGACGUUCCCUAGGACUCGAACUUGAUUUAGAAGUGCCCUUGGCGCUCGUGCACUAGGGUACUGGCUCCUACGGUGCCUACUUAAUAAUCGCCCCUUUCUCUAGGGUUUUGGGAGCGAUCACGAACCCUUCACGGGCUGACCUUCGAACUCCAAAUUUUUACGGGAUAGUAUGGGCCGCCUCGUGGUCAUAGGUCGAUGAGGGUUCACUGAUCUUUCUCGGCAGGCAAGAGAUAUUAUCAACUAUUGAAAAGAUGGGUUGAGUCAUCUUACCCAGUCUCGGCUUGGGAACAGUUAGACCUCGGUGCCAUUUCCUACGCUGCGCGGCAAGCUCCUAGACCAGUGGUCAGGCUUGUGGGCCACGCGAUUCUAGGGCGCACGUUUCAUCUAUCCCAACUCUGCACAUUGAAACCAAUGAUACGUCAAUUACCAUCUCCCGCUACUUACCAAUGUAGGCCCCUAAUCAGGGUGGCUGCAGCCUAGUGAGUCAGUUGUAAUUAGCUUGAAGUCAUUCGACCUCCUCCGCUGGCUUGCUUUCUUAGGGCUCCGCUUGCCCCCUUGUCGUGGUCACCUUGCGCCGCCGCCACCCGGUGUGGAGCCUCCAUGGGGUUCUGGAGUCGCUUUGACCGAAAAAACCACCUGGACGCCCUCGUCUCUUGUGGGCUCCUCCACGAGGGAGACUACUUGCUCCCUGGCUCCGAAGAAGUUCUAGAUCCAUCGCAGGCUUUGUGGUUUCAUUCAUGCACUUCCAUGAGUGCAGCCUCACGAUGCCUCCCCACCAUUCCUUUGUGGGGUGAUUGCACAAUUACAAGAUCCAGUUGCAUCACUUGAACCCUAAUGGGGCUUAGCACAUGGCUGCUUUCAUUUCCCUAUGCGAGGGAAAACUUGGGAUGUCCCCCCAUUUCCGCCUUUGGUGUUACCUCUUCUCUACCGAGUUGCCUCGUAAGCGAUCGACACUAGAUGCCCUGGCAAGGGCGACCCAAAUCGGGUGUGUGGCCAUCCACUUGCGGGGGACACAAUCCAAGGGGUACAUCCCUUUGCGACUGUGUUCAUCCAACAAAGGCGGGAACGGUUAGUGGUUUUAGUUGCGCAACCAUGGGGCUCCACCCAUCACCGGCCAUGGCCUCCCCGCUUUCCUUCCUGGGGUGCCCCUGGAGGCCCCUUAAAGCUAGGCGUGGGGCGUCCCGAAUUAGGGGAGAAAAGGACGGUCGGGUCCAUUGCAGCAGUAGUGAUCCUUCACGAUUGCGGGGUCAUGCUAGUGGGCAUAAUCGGGAACUAUCUUUGCUAGAGGGUGUCUCCUCUCAUGGCCAAGCAGCUACCACUUUUCAAGAUGAUCGUCGUGGCCCCGUUAGAUGGUAGUCGGCUGAGCGCCCCGUCCCCUAGUGACGCAAUGAUUGAUCGUUGGCUCCCGGAUGCCAUGGAAGUCUAAAAUGGUGCGGACAAGGCCGUCAUCCCAUACGUCUUCCCAAUUCCACGUUGCCCUCUGAUGCAUCUCAGCCGAGCUUUGUGGAGUUUAUGAGUAUGCCCGAUUCCACUCUUUUCACCUUCUCUUUUUUCUCAUAGGUUUUGCACCCUCUGACCCCUCCCUCCUCCUUUCCUCUAGCCCUCUUCUCUGAUGCUGCGGGAUGAUCCCACUCCCCUACCUAAAAGUGCAGUGGAGAAGGAGGCGACUCGCAUGUGGGCAGAGCAACAACAAAGGGAUAAGAAAGACAGGGUGGAGAAAAAACGAUAGAGGGUUGAGCGUCAGAUGCGUAGGGACCGCGGCAUAGAGACUGACUCGACCGACGAAGAUGAGGACGAGGAUGAUGAUGCGAGUGCGGGCUCCAAACUUUAGGCCAUUCUAGAUGCCUCCCAUGCCAUGUCAACUGUUGACUCCUUCUCGCCCUCUUUGGGCGAGGCGGCGAGAGGCUUCCCCAUCAUGGAGGAGGCUGACUUCACCAUAACUUCGCCACUGUCUGACUCCUUUUUCGCCAUAACUUCUUAUCUUUUUCGUUUUUUAGUAGCUCCCCUCAGCCUGUAGCCUUCAUGUCGCGCACAAGGAAAGUGGAUUCUAAGAGGAGGAAAUCAAUGCCUACUGUUGGUGAGGGCGGUGGGGGCGGUCGUGUCGUCGAGUUCCUCUUUGCCAAUGCCUCUACAAGGCGCCACUAGGGUCGAUGCCUCAUGUUCGUUUCUCUUAACACCUCUGAGCAGUUCUAGCACGAGUCCGGUGGGGUGGUUGAGGUUCACCCUUCUCUUUUCAUUUUUAUAGUGGGCUCGGAAGUUGCCUUUGCUGGCACGGUGGAGAUUGCAGCCCCAGAGCGGGCAACAUCCCUCCUUAAUCGUGGGGAACCCUAUACCGCGUUGCCAGGCCUUGAUGGUCGGUCAGGUGUCCGACUCGCUCCAGAUCGCUCUGCUACAGGUGACGACCCUUGGCCUUGUGAAGGGCGUUGAAUGAGGAGAGCAAUGCGGCUAAGAAGGCAUUGUGGGAUGGCCUCGAUCAACAUUCAACCGCACACCGAAAGCUUACGGUGAGCCAUGUGUGGGUGUCUAGGUGAGGGAAACGUUCCUUUCGCUAAUCAACUUGUUGUCCGGUUUUUGUGCUUUCAGUCGCUCGUAGGGAUGCUGGCGAGUAGGUCACAUCUUCGUCUCGACCAAAGGGAGGCGUGGGAGCAUUCCGCCAGUGAUCUUCUGGUGGCGAGAAGUGAGGCAGCCGAAGCCCAUGCCUACGUCGUGUUGAUCUAGAAUGCCUACGAAAACCUGGUCGGAGAAACGAAGAGGGAUGCGGAAUCGGUGACCCUUUCUUGUCUCAAGAGCGUGAAAGCAAGCUCCCACCUCCGUAUCCUAUAGCAAGGGAAAGAGGUCGUCAAGGCCCAAGCCACGGUCUUGGAGGAAGAGUUGGGUGGUCGAACUAGGAAGGAGGAGCAUCUCCUAGCCUCUCUACAAGGUAACACCUUGUAAUGAUUUCUUCUGAGGCUAGGUGUUCGCUACUCGCUUCCUACUUCUCACGACUUAUGUCUUGUUUGCUUAGCCAUGCAAGGGAAAUUUGACACAAUCGAGGGGAACUUCAUCGUGGUGCAGAGCCGCCUGGAGGAGCUGGAGAAGUAGAGGCUUCUCUUGUCGGAUGUGGUGAACGCUAUGCACGGGCGCUUUAGAGCACUCCCUUGCCUGGGCUCAAAUCACUCGUCUCCAGCCUUGAAGGCCUUGCUAGUCUGUUCUAGGAGCUUGAGGACUCCUUGUGCCACGAGAUCUGCCAGGUCUUUGUCACUAUAACGUCUCACUAUGAAGGGGGGUCGAGCUGGAGGAGUUGAGCGAAGGCUAUUGCGACGCUUGGAGUUAUUCGAACUUCGCUGGCAUGGUGAAGGCCACUAAGCCUUUUGCCCAGAAGCUAUGUGUUGUCUCGCCCAAACGACGUAGUGGCUCGGUGCCAGGCAUGGUUAGUGCGGCUAGUUACUUACAAUGGGUCAGUUUGGGUCCGGGCACAUGAUCGACUCGAGUGGUUUCCCUCCGACACACCGACCCCUCCUAUGAGGUUUGACCACACGCAACCCUCGGCUCGGUACUGCAGGGUUCAACAGGGGGCGGGUUCUUUCACGGUUGACAUAUCCAUUUCUUCUAGUUGAUCAACGGGCCCCAACGACUAGGGUCUCUUCCCUCGGCGUGCUCUCGGACUGGCGAGCCCUAGAGACAAGGGAUCAUAUCCUCGACCCAUACAUACAACCUUAUAAUUAAAAAGAAAAAACAAAUCCACAAACAACUAUGAAAAGGUAAAAGAUUCUCUGUGUAGAAGCAUAAAAAAUUAAGCAACCUUAAUCCUAGCAUUGGAUCGUCAUCCACGGCUUAUAAAGAUUUCCAUGGCCACCACCUCCAAUGAUUGACAGAUAUUGAAGGCUUCUUGGUGUGAUUCCCUUCUAAAACAUUCUCCAAAAUCAGAUCCAAUAGGUUCCUCUGUAAAUAAUCUAUAGAAUUGAGGGUAUUGGUUUAUGGUUAAAAACAACAUCAUUGUGGUAGAGCUAAAUGGACCAAAACAUUGUCGCGACUCCAAAUAAAAGUUUCUGUUUACAUGUAGUUCCUUUGUUGGAUUAUCAAGCCUCUAAAAUAUGAUUAAUAAUAGAUGGUCCGUCUAUGUGGAAGGCAAAUAAAUAGUUCUCCGUAUAUUUCUAGCAUGGUAACAAUCAAAGAAAAGGUGAUGAAUACAUUUAUUUUGAUUACAAAAACCGCAAUUCAAUUUCCCUACAACCUUCGUUUUGCUAGGUUAUAUUUAGUGGGAGUUACUCCCCUCUCUAAAUACCACAAUGUUUAUUAAAUUUUGAGCGGGAGCUUUAGUUAUUAAUUAAAACAAAACGUUAUGAUUCCGAGUGGGGUUAUUCAUUAAAAUAAAAUGUGUAGAUAAGACUGAGAAAAGUCCAUCUCAUUGAGACCUAAAAAACUCUCUCAUAGAACCCAAAUUAAUUGUGGACAACAAAAAUGACAAAUUCAUUUCUCACAACUAUUGGUCUACGGAAGGACAGGUUGGUUAUGGCACGAGGUAAGAUAUCUACAACUGGAGUCGUCUUAUUUCUCACAAUAUUAAAAAGAUUUGGAUAUUGCUCUCUAAGAGAUCUAUUUAUAAGCCAUCUAUCCUCACAAAACCUCGUAGAUUGUCCAUCACCAACCCCAAACUAACCCCAUCCUAAAAAUUCAUCGUUAACCUUUAUGAGGUCAUACCAGAAUUGAGAAUCCCUUAAUCGUCAAAACUUGAGUAAGCGCUUUCAUUCUUAAAUAUUUAUUUUUGAUAAUUUAUUGCCAAAUGUCAUGUUCAUUAAGAAGCUUCAAAAAUAUUUGCUGAAUAAGCAAUUGUUCUUGGUAGGGAGAUUAGCCACCCUUAGACCACCUAGCUCCUUUUGGUUGGUUGGCUAGGUCGUCGUGGCGUGGUCCAUUCUCCGCACGGUGGGUAUUUGCAACGAUCACCGUAAGUGAUGUGUUGGCAAGGCUGCAAUUUUCCCUCGGCCCACAACACGACAUGUUAUUGGUUAAACGUGUUCGGCUCAUUUCGGAUAGUCUGAAAUUAUAAAAGCUCAAAAUUCAAAUUCUAGCCCAAAAUUCAUAGAGCCUAAAAUUCACAUCAAAGCCCGAAAUUCAAAACACAUAUCAUUUAGUAGAUAUUAACAUUUUAAGCUUUAUAAUUAAAAACAUCAAAGAAUACAGAACCAAAUGGGUAGUUGACAUCUCAUCUCCAUGAUUAGGCAUGCGGUUGGCCAGAUUGGAGGGGGCCCAGUUUCGCUUUCUAGUUGGGCUUGGUGGAUUUUUGUCUCGUGCAGCUAGGCGGCCUAGCGUAUGGUUGCUACCUCUUCGUCCCCGCGAUCGGCGGCAGGAGUUCAUGCAACUUCCUCUACCCCGUCUUCUACUCUUCUUCCUGUGGUGGUUUGAAGCCGGCCAUGCAAGGAGCCCGGGGUGCAGUUGGUGACGGCGGCCGGGGAUGCGGCUCCUGGCGCGAUUCUCCCAAGUGGCCAAGUCCCAAAUAAGUCCACCUGAUGGAACACUCGAGGUCUAUAGACGUACGGGGCCGUGUGAUCCAACAUGGCCCACCCGGAGGCGCAGGCAGGGGUCGUUUCCCCAGCAUGGUGCGGCGGCCGGUGCUGGCGCUGCCCGGGGCCAUGGCGUGUGGUGUUCGUCCUCAACGUGUCGAUGAUGAAGCUGCAGAUCAGUUCUGGGCGAGUUCCAGGGUGCCAAUCAAAGCUUUGACCCCGGGCUACGGCGGGUAUGGUGCCGGGGAUGACCUCGGUUCCCGGCACAAUACGGCGGAAGGGCUGGCCGGCUUGGGAUGUGGUACUGGCAGGUCGCGGUAAAUGCAGCGGCAGCAAUGAAGCCAAUGUAUAUAUACUAGUGAAUUGGCACGCGCCAGCGCGCACGUUUGAAUUUAGCGAAAUUUUGUAACAUGGUAACAGUUAAUAUUAAUAGAGCAUACGACAUAGCAUUUAAAUUGCUUAUUAUAAAAGUUCAUUAACGAUUUGAUGUGACUGAUGCAUUAAAUUUUCAUAACAGAUACAAACGCUAAAAUAUUUACAAACAAAAGCUUGAAAAUUCAUGACAAAAUUUUGAUGUUAUAUACCAUGAUAACAGUAAAUAUUUGCCAUAGCAAUUUUACGAACAGUCAUCCAUAAUGAUUCUAUGGAACAAAAGACAACACGUUAAAGGUAAACAUUACCUUGAUUCAGAGGUAAUAAUUGGGUCAUCAACAACGUGCACGGUUCUUAUCAUGUAGUCAAUGCAUAAAAUACAUGCAAGUCAUUAGAACCAGGCACCGCCUAUAAGAAUCAGAAGUGAAGGUUUGUUGGCAGUACAUAAAUCCAUGAACAACAAUGUCUAAGUGUCCCUUCUUUACUACAUCGACCAUCAACACACAACUCAGAUUAAGAUCAAUGUAGUUAUCUACUUACACAUUAGAAAGGUGGGCCCCAUGAAUGAACGUCAAAAAACACUACCACCUGCCUGUAGAUGGUUAUGAAGACAUAAAUGAUGUCAUCCAUAUUUAAGCAUCGUUAUCUAUCCAUUCUUAGGAUUCCUAGACCUUUUCUUGAGACUCCAGUACCUUAGCUCAAUAUUCCAUGAUUGCUUGUUCUGUUGGAGCAGUACUUGAUGAAACUUGGCAAAAACAUGUACAAUUACAAACUCAAUUGGAUCAUUAUAAAGAAAUUGUCAUUUAGCAUGUGUCAAUUGCAGCAGUUAACAAAGAAAAAUUAGAACAUGUUAAUCUAGGGUGGGGUGUAAGUGAGCAACCAAAUAUUGUUGAGACUUCGUGUGAAGAUUAUAUCGAUGUAAUGUAACGGAGAACUAUGAUUUGUCAUAAACAUGGACCUGCAUAUGGUGAAAUCUUUUCACUGAAGUACCUGCUAAACAAAUGUCAUAAUGUCAGAGAGCACAAAAGGAUAUAGCUUGAAUUUUUACUAAUUUAAUAACAAAACUAUAUUCGCGAAUCAAGUAUAUAGUUAAGCACACCAGAGCCGAUGUAGUGCUUCCCUUUUAUAGUUGUAGUUGGAUUUAUGUCAUCAGCAUAAAUCUCCACAAGAAAUGGUCUUUCUUCUUUUAUGCCUGCUAAACAUAUAUGAUGACAACAAAAAAAAGAAUCCAAUGGAACAUGAGGCAAAAUUGUAAUCUCCAAUAAAGGAAAUACCUCUCUUACCUUAGGGUGACCUGUAUAUCUCAAAUGAUAGGAAAGGGACAUUAAAUCAGGAGGCAAAGCUAUAAUCAUGAAUCAAGGGAAUAAUUAGGCAUAUGAGAACUAUUGUGCUCUUUGCCUUUUUCUUGUCUUAUUGGGUCCUGCACACAUAUUUGUUGACUUAGUCAUUCCCAUAUGCAUCACUAAAAGGAUUAUAAAGGAUCAAGGAUAAACACACAAAAGAAGCUUGAAUGUUAGCUCGAGCAAAGAAUAAAAUACCAGGUGAACUUUCCCACAACAUCGACAACUGUUUUGCCUUUCAUUAGGCCUAAAGCAAAUGCAAAACAAAAAACAAAUUUUAGUUGGCAAGCUGUAAAAAAGAGAUGAGUGUAUGGCGCAAAAACCACAAAAAGGUAUAAAAGAGAGACAAGCAACACUAUAAAAUUAAGUGUACCAAAUGUGAUAGUUCCAUCACUGCUUAAGUACCUUUUUGGACAUGUGGUAUGGUCAAAGAUGACCACUUAAAGCAAAGAGUCCACAGAAGUAUAUCAACAAAACAAUAUGCAACCUUGUUCACCUUUAUUAUUGGAAGCAAACACAAGCCAGCUAUCACCAAGACAAAUAGUUCCAUUCCUGAAAAUAAGCUGAAUUCUAUGUCCUAACGGUUGAAGGUCAUUCAUGGCCUAGAGCUUAACCAUUUUUUUCUGGCCCAAAUAUUUUAUGAUCUUUGAAGGUAAAUCAUAAAGGAAAGCGUAAACAACGAUGAAUGUAGUGCAAACAGAAACUAUAAGUUACCUUAAAUAAUAAUAAUAGUCAAACAUGGCACAUGUAGCCAAGGCAUAGUAUAACAUCUUUACUUCACAUGAAGGAAAUCGAAAGAACCAAAAUUGUUUAGUCGACAUAGAGUAUUCCAGGAAAAAAACAACCUAAAACAUAAACUCAUGUGUGAAUUGAGGACCUACAAUCAAGGAGGGAGGGGUAUCUUACUGCAACAGAAAGUUUAGAACAGCGAGUACCAGAACACCGCAAUCAACGAUGAGGUCGUUUCCACUUCUCCGCAUAGAAUAUAUACUUUACCACGCAUAAUAUAUUAAUCAACCACAAAGUAACCUAUAUGACUUUAUACUUGUUUGGAAAAAUACAUAAAUGUAUAUAGUGUCAAUUAAAGAGACAGGCUUUAGAGCUUACCUGCAAAGGAAUAAAACAAUCUUAUGGAAAAUUGUAAAAUGAAUAAGUGUAUAUCCACGUGAAUCAUCGAUGCAAAGACAAAUAAUAAAUAUAUCGGUGCACAUAUAAGUUUUUUGUUGUUCUGAUAACAACAAAUGGACUGUGCGUAGCUAUUAGUCUGUAUGCAAACAUACAAUUGAAAAAAAUAUGACCUGAGCAACAACAAAGAUGUGUGAAGCAAUCGAACAAGAAAUACUAAUAGAUCACAUAGAAAUAAUUUGUAAGCGUAAAUGCUGUUGGUCAGGUAGAUAGUACAUACAACUCACCUGUAGGGGAGCAAGAUAAAUAAAAAAAGCCAUGCUAACAACUGUGCAAAUCAAUAAGCACACAUAAGUGAAAAUUCUUGAUGUAAAUAGAAACAAUAAAUGUAUGGUUAAUAAUACAAUCAACUAAGCUCUUAGAUUUUAGGUAAUUUUUUUUUGCUAACAGUAAGUGGCCAACAACUAUUAAUAUUUAUGAAAGCGCAGAUUUCGAAAAGAAAAUAAAUGGCUUGAGCAACAGCAAACUGUUGUAAAGCAAUCAACAUCGAAGCAGCAAUAUUAAUAUAUUGCACAUAUAGAAUUUAUAAGCGUAACUAUCAUACAAUAGACAGAUAGUACCUACAACUCACCUGUUGAGGAGAAAAAAACUCAAAUCAGGAUAUGUGAAAAUGAAUAAGCACACACAUGUACAAAUUAUCGAUGUAAAGGGAAAUAAUAAAAGUAUGAGUAUAGAUAUAAUCAACUUAGUUCCAAAGUUGUUAAUAACAAAUGUCAUGAAAAUAUUAACAGUAAACACACACUACUAAACCUAUUUAUGUUGAGCUGAAUUUUAUUCACAGAAAAGAAGCUCAAUUGCAAUUAUUUGAUAUUUACUAUAUAGCAUGACACAUUGUGCGACCUGGCCAUGAUUAACACACAUUCGAAAUAUAUAUCAUGCUACAAACAAUAGAUAUCCAUGGUCAAUAUCUUGUAGUUACAUUUAAUUUUUUUAAAAGAAGGAAAGUAACGUAACAGUAAGGCCACACUACCAAACCUAUUUAUAUUGAGAAGAAGUUUUGUUACUCGCAUACCACAUCAAUAUUUGAGAAGAGUAUAGGAGCAUAUAGUGAUUGGGAAAAAUUACCCUGCGCAUGACAAGGAAUGUGGUUAAUAAACUUGUAAAAAUAGCUCCACACAUGAUAUUUGGCAGUUCGCUACGUAAAUAGAUACACAAAUGUGCAUGUAGACUUAACUGCUGCAAGAAUUAAUACGCAUAUUUAAAGGAAAGAAGCACCAUUACAAUUACUUGAUAUUUAUAAUGUAGUGCGACACAUAGAGAAAUAAUAUAGGGGGGAUUUUCAUUUUUCAAGGGAAAUUAGUUCAUUUUUUCUUGGGAAAAUGGAGUUGUCAAACUAGCUCUAAGGAAACAGCCAUUGAAAUAAUUUUUUUAUAAGGAUGCUCGAGCUAAAAAAAGAACCUUAAAACCAAAAUCCUAAUCCUCAUAGCUCGGUUCGCCGGCUUCUUCGAUCUCUCGCCGCCGUGCGCGCUCUGCUCCCGCCUCGGCAUCGGCAGCCUCUUCGGGACCCACCUGCACCACAGAGGCGUCAGCGGAGGUGGGGCGCCGAGCGCCAGCGCCGCUUGCUGUGUGAUGCGCACGCCAAAGACCUGUCGCGCCUUGGCUACUGUAGCACGUACCGCUAGCUCGUGGACGCCGGAGACAUGUGCGAGGACUGCGUCGCGGCGGCGGCGCCCGAGAAGGUGUUGCUGUCGUCGAUGGGCUGGUGUGAUCUGGAUGAGCGGGACCUCGCCUGUGCCUGCUGCAGCGUCGCGCUCGAGAGCGGUUUCUACUGGUCGUCGCACGCGCGGCAUGGCUCAGACUGUGGCCACAAGCAAGAGGAGAAGGCACCGAGGUCAAAUGGAAGACGCUGGAGUGAGAUGAGGUGGAUGAAGCGAGGAGAGGAGAGGCAUCUAGAAGCAUGUGUGGACGGAACUCUCGAGAGGCAGAGGGACUGUGGGAGUAUGUAGAGUUUUAUCUUUUUUACCCGCUACCGGACGCAAGCCCUUGAUUGAUGAUCGAGGGGCUGAAAAUAAUUCAAUUGACAUGGAAGGCUAGGAAUGCACGUUUCUUACCGGCUUUCAUAUAUAGUAAGUAUAGUAUAUAUGCAGGUGAGGAGGCACGUACAGGGAGCACCGCAGCAGGUAUAUGGCUCGGUUGCCGUCCAAUAACACAUGGUGAAGCUACACAGUUCAUGCGGGUUGCAAAUGAUGAUGGGCACAUAUGGACGUGGAAGUGAUUAAAACUUAAAACAGGAGUACGAAAGUAGGUAUUUUUAUUUUAAUUUAAUCUAGAAAUAUGGCAGUAUAGUUGUGAUGAUCGAUGUGUGUCUGUUGUAUGAAAUAUUACUGCUCACAAAUUUAGCAAAGAAAUAUAUGAAAAAUGCAUUGAUCACAUAAUCACGCUAAAUUUAAGAAAUUUAGAGAUAAACUUAUACAUUGUGGAGGAUCCAUGCUCAAGGUAUUGGUACAUCCAUUCACACGAAUCAACAUCAUAUGUUGCUCAAAGUAGUAGAACACAGUCAUCGUAGGCACAUGUUCGCAGUAGCGUUCCAAGUAGCCACAACACACAACGACGCUCCUUAGAAGCCUGAUCGUCCGUACACACGAGCAAGUGUCGAACUUGCUAUAUUUAUAAUGAACUAGAAUGUCCAAAAAUGUCUAUGUUUAUUUUUGUUUUUGUGAUACUUGUCAUAGGACUAGAUGAAUUAUAUGAAGAGUGAUCAUAACUACAUAGACACUUAUCUAAUCUAUUAGAUGACAAAGUUCUUAAUGAAAGGACCUUAUCCAUUUCGAUGUCUUCGCCAACUAGAUUAUAAAAUGUGCAAAGCUCCAAGAUCUUGGAUAAACAAUUCAACCAUUUGAUACACAUAUUCACUUCAUCACCAAGUUGAGUGCACCCCAUCCCAUGGCUAGAACCCUACAAUAGAGCAAUAUUUUGUACCUAUUUAGCGAAACAGACCACUCUGUACACCUCAUAAAGAACAACCACAUUGACCUCUAACCUUCGAAUCACUUAGGGUUCACUAAGCUAUAUUUAGAAAUCACGUCUAGACCCUCCACCUAAAUUUAUCAAGUCGAGUAGAGGUUUGGGGACUGCACCCAUUCGGUGCACCUGCCAUGUACCUAGGGACUCAAAGAACACAAAACAAAUUACUCCACUCACCUCCACCUAUUCUUUGAAUUGCAUGGAGGCUUGGGGCUACACAUAGCAAGUGCACCGUCUGUCCACUUAGAUGGACCAAGAACAUGUACAUCAGACACUCGACUUCACAAACUAAAGCCUUUAGUAACUCUAGUAGAACUAGUCUAGAGUAAGAGAAGGCAAAAUACACAGUCAAGAUGGAUUUGGACUGUGUCGAGUCAACUUCCAAUCUGUAACACCCACUUUGUGAUUGCUAGAAAUAAUACCAAUAGAGAAAACAUUUUCUCUUUAUGCGAGUUUGAUCAUCAUGCAUCAUCAUAUGUGAACACCAUGUCCAAGAACAAUUAAUAAAAAGAUAUGCUACUAAAUCCUUGCAUCAUGCUGAAUAUUUUAUUUGUGGUGUGCAUUUUGUAACAAGAAAAUAUUAAAGACCAAAAAGGGAAAAUUAAAUCCUAAAAGAAAUUCUUGAAUCUAGAAAAGAGAAGGAAUAUGGAAACAUGAAUAAUAUAUUUGAAUAAAUAUUCUCAAACCUAAUACUUUUAAUUGCACCAAUAUGAAUGAACCAGUCACAGGUUUGAAUUUGAAUUGGUAUUUUAAAUUGAAUUUGUGAAAUAAUGGAGAAAGAAGAAAAUAAAAGAAAAAGAAAAAGGAAUACUAUACCUGGAUGGGCCAACAACCUGAAUUCGGCCCACCUAACAAAUCUAACCCGCGCGGCCCAUCUGGCCGGACUCCCGCACGCGCGCGCCCUUGCGCUCACUGGCAGGUGGGCCAUGGUUGGCGGCGCUCACCGUUGGGUGGACCGAGUCGCUGACCGGCUGGGCCUCCUUGUCAGCGUUCUCUUCCCGAACGCAACGGAGUCGCGCGAGAUUGCCGCCGCGCGGCGCGGAGCGUGGCGAAGACCCUUCCCUCCUCCCAGGUCGGAACUUCGGAAGUUAAAUAGGAGCUCCCGUGACCCGUUCUCCCCUCAUCUGCCGUCAUCGCACGAGCGCCUUCCCCAGAAACCCCCGCCGCCAUUGUUCAGACCGCGGAAGUGAGUGCCGCCUCCGUCGGUAUUGGCAUACGCCAUCGCCAGUGGUUCGCGAGGUAGACCGGUGGACUUCGGUGGGGCAUCCAGGAACCGUGUGGAGAUCUCUGGGACACAGGGAGCAACCAGACAGCGGGGAAUUCCUCGCCGGAAGCACUUCUCCGCCGCGGGCCGCACUGCUCCAGAGGUGGAUUAUGUCAAGACGCCAUUGAAGGUAAUAAGCCUCGUGAUCGGUGCUCUCUACUUAUCAUAGUGUAGCGCAUAGUUGUAUUGCUCCGGGUGCCAGCCGUGCGUGGUGAAUUUCUCACCAAUCGCGCAGCCUGGCCAUGGGUCCGCACAACUCCGUGGGGGGAGUUCAUCACAUUACAAUCGUCGGUAGGAACUACAUCAUAACACUCGCCGUUCGACUAGCUUCGUGUAGCCUCGUUUAAUUUGACAGGGGUGCUCGGGGAUGGCCGAUUGGGUCUCGGCCGUGUCCUCCACCGUGAAGCCAUGGCGGCGACGCCGCUGCUUGGGUAGGAGGAGAAGAGACAGCGCGGGCCGUAGAUCUUUUAUCGGAUGGCGAGGAUUAGAGGAACGAGAUGAAGAAGCCAGGACUGUAGGAUGGUGAGCGGAUGGGGUAGAUUAAAACUUGCGUACCCCUUCGUAUCGUGGAGUUCGGGCGGUUAGAUUGUGAUCGUGUGGCCCAGAUCUGGGCGGGAUUUCAUAAAGCGCGGAUCUAAUCCUAUGCGUCAAUCUCUAAUCGGACGAUCCCAGGCGCUGCAUACCCCUUCGCGGGCGCGGAUUUACACUUUGGCCCCUCGGUUUCAUUGAAAUAAACCCGCCGUCCUACUGCAUAGUGUUCUGAGUCUUAGGAUCUUUUGCGCCUAGCCCCCUGCACUCUCUGGAAAAUGACGCCCAGUCCAGAGCAGUGUAAAACCAGAGAAAAAUAAUUUAUAAAUGGAUUUUUAAUAGGAAAAUAAUUACUAAAACUUUAUAAAUUCAUAGAAAAUUCAUACUAACUCCAAAUUAAUCCAUUCCAGUUCCUAAAAUUUUGUAAUUUUAUUCUCUAUCGCCUAGAGCCUCUGUUUUAUCAUGACAACAGUAGGAAAAUUAAUCUCACACUUAAUUCUAUUUAAAGCACAUAAAACCUUUGAAAAUCCAUAACUUAAAUUCUAUAACUCCAAAAAUUAUAAUUCCUGUUCCUAGGAUUCUAUUUUAAUGUGUAGAAUAUCUCUGUGUAUUUUGUUUAUAUGUUUGGUGUAAUGUUAAUUUUCCCCGUAUCCUGUGCUUGUUUGUAUUGUGGCGAGUAGAAGAGCCCGUUGCUGAGGAUCCUGGUGAACAGCAGGUUGAAGUAGCUGAGCAGGAGCUCAUUGAAGGCAAGUUGUGCCCUUGAUUCACUUUUGUUACCCAAUAAUGUUCUUUAUAAUCAUCUACCAUGCAUAGGUUAAUUUUGACGGGACCCGAUAGGUCACCCUAGAUUGUUUAUCUCAUUACCUUGUUUACCCCUGAAUCACUUUGGUAGUUUUGCUAUUGCUUUACAUGGUUUUGGGAUAAUCAUUUAUUAUAUCUAUGUUCCAAUUCUUUUGUUAUUCUAUUUAUGUUCAUGUCAAGAUCAUUAAUGUUAAUUGGAACAUAGAGCUUAACUUGAGAAACACGUGCCACCACAAGGGUUUAUGGACGCCCUUGGCUGAUUAAUUAGGAAAGCUAGUGGAAGACUACCUUACCCGAAAGGGGCAAGGGCAGUAGGGGAGUUGCAUGCAAGGAGGUUCUCGGGUUGAUUUAGCUGCGAUGGCGGUCGGACGGGGGAUUCUUGCAAGUGCUCUUCCCAUAAACUGUAGCGGGUUUUCGGAAGCUAGUGGAACUUUGUAAAGGCCUCGUAGUGGAUCCCUAGCCAUUCACCUCGGGAGUGUCUAAGGGCCUAGCUAACCCUGGCGACAUGGGAUACACGACUUGUGGGUAAAGGGUACAACCUCUGCAGAGUGUAAAACUGGUAUACUAGCCGAGCUCACGGUCAUGAGCGGCUCAGGACUCUCUGAUGAUUAAAUUAUGGAACUUAAACUCAAUUUGUCAUUUGCAUUUGCAUGGGUUUAUUAUUAAUUUUGUUCUCUAUUAUUUUAUUAUGGUUUGGUAUUUACUUACACUUAGUAACUGCUAAUAAAAGUUUGACCAACAUUAAAAGCAAUGCUCAGCUUUAACCAUUCUCUUUGAUAAGCCUUACACUCCAUGAGCUCCCACCUUUGGUGAGUUCAUGUCACAUUAUUCCCCACAACUUGUUGAGCGAUGAUCAUGUGUGAGCUCACCCUUGCUGUCUCACACCCCCCCCCACAGGAGAAGAGCAGGUGGUUCAGGAGGAGCCACAAGGCGAGGAGUAUGAUCUGAUCUAGGUGGCGUUUCUCAGUUGACAUUGGCGCCGACGAUCCUUAGUUCGUUUUAUCUUUAUUAUUUUAUUUUGUAAUAAGUCUUCCGCUAUGUAUUAAAUACUCUGAUGUUUUAUGACAUUUAUCUCUAUACACUCUGUUAUUAUAUAUGUUGUCUUCUUGGCGCAUGUAUGAGAUGCACCUGGCUUUGUUCCUUAAAGCCGGGUGUGACACAAUCCGUUUGACCUAGCAACUUAGGGUUCUGAUGGUUGACCCAUAAAUUGGUUAAUAGUGGCUUUAACAUACUAUAGAGAACAUCAAACUGUAACAACCCAUGAAUCGGCUACUAAUUGAGUCACUUAGGAUAUGUUUGGUUGUCUGGCCCAGCGCACGGCCAGGUCCAUUUGAAACAAGCACGCUAUGUUUGGUAUCCUGACCCAGCUUGAGGGCCUGACUGAGGCGAGCCGCAUCUCACUUCGUGGCCAGGCCCAAUUGAAACGCUGGUAACUUCCUUCGUGCAUCAGCCUGGCUCGUGCUUGCCCACUGCGCUAGGGUUCACUCGUCUCUCGCCUCUCGAGUUCACUCGCAGCUGCCACCGCGGCUCUCGCCUCUCUCUAGAGUUCACUCGCCUCUCGCCUCUCCAGUCAGGCUGCGCGACGCAGGCCGGGUGGGCGCGGAGCCCCAGCAGCGCGUCGGCGUCGACCAGCGCCGUGUCAUAGGCCACGUGGUGGGAGUGGGACUCCAGCGCCGGAGGAGAUGACCCCUGCCACGGGAGAAAAGGACGUGGACGCCCCGUUCACCGAGGAGAUGCGGGCGGCGGCCAUGCGGCUGCACUCCAGGGACCAGGCCAGGGACGGCACGAAGGAGGCGCCCCUGGAGCCACCCGUCGCCAAGUGGCAGACCACUGUCGAGGGGUACCUCCGCUUCCUCGUCGAUAGCAAGCUCGUCUUCUAGACGCUCGAGGCCAUCGUCGACCGCGCCGCCGUCCCCUGGUGUGAGUGCAGUGCGGUGCUACUCUUUUCCUCGGUGUCUUUUUGAGUUUUUCGUACAGUACAACGAUGCUGCGUGCAUGCUUGCUAAUUCAUUUGAUACGUGUUUCCAGAUGCCGAGUUCAGGGAUACUGGUUUGGAGAGAUCGGAGCCGCUCGGCAGGGAUCUGGAAUGGUUCAGGCAGCAAGGUCACGUAGUUCUGGAACCAUCUGGGCAUUGCGUACGCUUCCUUUCUGGUAGAGCUAUCUGAGAAGAACCCCCCGGCGUUUGUUUGCCAUUUCUACUACGUGUACUUCGCUCAUGCUGCCGGAGGCCGAAUCAUCGUCAAAAAAGGUGAUGAACUAACUGAUUAUGAGUGUGUUAUGUCUGAAAACCAUAUGAACGAAGAACUAAUUUGUAAGAUCAUUUGUUUAUGAUCUAUUUACAAUGAUCUAUUUACCAUGAUCUGUUUACAACUAGCAGGAGGUGUUUACCAUGAUCUGUUUACAAUCAUAUGAACUAAUUACAACUAGCAUGGUAACACAAGCUCCUGUUUAAUUCAGAUUAUUGUAAUUCAUAGUCAUUUUUCUCUAAUGGUAAGUUGCUAUGGUUGUAAAUCAUAUCCAAAUGAUUGUAAUUAGUUUAAUUUAUGUUUCAAAAUCAUAUUUUUAGUUCAAAUCUGUUGUAAUUCAUCAGAAGGAUCUGUUUACAAUGUUCAUGGUCAUUUUUCUGUACUGGUAAGUUGCUCCUACUGUAUCUGUAUCCCUUAUGGGGUAUUACAAAGGAUCUGUUGUAAUUUUUCUGUACUGGUAAGUUGCUCCUACUGUAUCUGUAUGUGUAAGUUGCUCCUACUGUACAGAGACCCAGAGACCUGAUGGGGUAUUUUUCAAAAUCUGUUGUAAUCUAUGGGUGUAAAUCAUAUUUAGAUGAUUGUAAUUAGUUCAAUUUAUAGGUCAAAAUCAUAUUUUUAGUUCAAAACUGUUGUAAUUUGUUUAAUAACGUUUAAAAUUUUGAAAUUUGGCGAGAACUGUAUCUAACACAUCAAAAUUGGCGGUAACCCAAUUGGGCCAAGCUAAAAAAAAUGAGAACCAAACAAUGUGUUAUAUGGGCCAGGUUUAUUUUGACCAGGCAACCAAACAUUUUAGGUUGGCUCAUUAUAUACGGGCUCCCUUGAGCCUGGUUCUCUCACUGAGCCAGGCUCAGGCUGGACCAGGCAACCAAACAUAUCCUUAGGUGCUGCUCGUCUCCACACCUCCUCUGGCCUUGUUGAGCACUAAAAAGUGCCAUGUUUGACAUUUUAUUGGGACCUCAUCUAUCCUCACCGCAAGGAGAAAAGCCUACAUGGGAGGGGAUGGAUCGGCCUUGUAGAAGGGAUAUCUCAUACAGUACAAGGUGCCUUGACUACUGAAGACAAGUUAUCAACUAGAUAUGCUUAGAAGCCAAGUAACUUGGCAAGAUCCCCUUGGAUAUGACUAGAUUUCCUUAUAACCAACUAGGAAACUUUGUCUUAAGGUCGAUUAGGAUUUAGGACUCCAUGGGCAACCUAUUCUAUGGGCUAUAUGAGGAGGGAUAUAUAGGGGACCCCUAACUGACAUAUUCCACACAACUCAUCAUAGAAACUUUCUGCACUAUAACUAGAAUCCAACGACCCUGUAACUCGAGUGCAUAUCACAAAGAGAAGCUUUCUGCACUGGACGUAGUGUACUUUGUACUUGAAACUUAUAUAAAUUUGUGCCUUUUAUACUCCAUCGUUCGAAAAUAUAGUACUUUUUUGUCUCUUUUUUCGUCCACUCAUUCGAAUGAUAAUAAAUAUAGACAUACAUAACAACUAUAUUUAUAGGUUAAUUAAUAAAUAUAUAUUUAGUCUAAAACAAAAUAUAUUUUACCCAUUUUAUUCCUUAUGCAUGAAACGUUGAUCUACUUGUCAGAUGGAAAAAUACUACGACGUUGUUGUACCAGACCGCACCUAAAUCAAACUGUUUUCAGAGAUGGCCAUUCUAUUAUUGUAGAUUUGUGAUACGAUGUACUUUUUUAUCCAUAAAAUACCAUACCAUUAUGAUAUGGAUAUCUUGAUGAGAGGGACUCAUUAUCUCUCUCUCUAUAUAUAUAAACACCUAUAUAUCAAACAGGCAUAAAGAAAAAACAGAUGAUUUUUUUUCUGAAGUAGAGUGACAGAAGCAGAAGUGUGAGUCUUUUUGUUUCAAUUUUAUAAUGUGUAAAGAAAAUGACGCCAAUGAAAUAUGUGUCUGGGCUGACGUGUUGUUUGGUGAAAGCCAAUUUUGUUGUAUAUAGGGGGGCCAGAGCCCAGUUGUAUUUGUUGCCGGGACUGGCGCAAAAAAAAAUCCCCUUGGAUAUGACUAGAUUUCCUUAUAACGAACUAGGAACUUCAUGUUAAGGUCGAUUAGGAUUUAGGACUCCAUCGGCAAUCUAUUCUACGGGCUAUAUGAGGAGGGAUAGGGGUCCCCUAAGUGACAUUCCACACAACUCAUCAUAGAACUAGAAUCCAACGGCCUGUAACCCAAGUGCAUAGCAUAAAGAGAAGCUUUCUGCACUGGAUGUAGUGUACUUUAUACUUGAAACUUGUAUAAAUUUGUGUCUUUUAUACUCCCUCAGUUUGAAAUAUAGUUCUUUCUAGCCUCUUUUUUUCCGUCCACACUCAUUUGAAUGAUAAUAAAUAUAGAUAUACAUACAAACUAUAUUCAUAGGUUAAUUAAUAAAUGUAUAUUUAGUCUAAAAUGAAAUAUAUUUUACCCAUCGUAUUCCUUAUGCAUGAAAUGUUGAUCUACUUGUCUGAUGGAAAAAUACUACGACGUUGUUGUACCAGACCGCACCUAAAUCAAACUGUUUUCAGAGAUGGCCAUUCUAUUAUUGUAGAUUUGUGAUACGUACGAUGUACUUUUUUAUCCAUAAAAUACCGUACCAUUAUGAUAUGGAUAUCUUGAUGAGAGGGACUCAUUAUCUCUCUCUAUAUAUAUAAACACCUAUAUAUCAAACAGGCAUCAAGAAAAAUAGAUGAUUUUUUUUUCUGAAGUAGAGUGACAGAAGCAGCUGAAGUGUGAGUCUUUUUGUUUCAAUUUUAUAAUGUGUAAAGAAAAUGACGCCAAUGAAAUAUGUGUCUGGGCUGACGUGUUGUUUGGUGAAAGCCAAUUUUGUUGUAUAUAGGGGGGCCAGAGCCCAGUUGUAUUUGUUGCCCGGACUGGCGCCAAAAAAAAAAAUCCGGAUAGUACUAUUCCGCUAACUGUGUCACACUUUAUCUAAAAUUAGUCAUCCAAAUUAAAGAACUAACCUUAGAUACAAAAAAUUAAACAAAGUAUGACAAGUUAGGUAGCAAACUAAACUAAAGAGGAUAACACAACAGUUAACCGUCGACGUGCGCGGCCUGAAUUUACUACUACAGAUAACACGACAGUUAACGAGCGGGUAUGGGUUGUUUUCCUUGAGCACUGUUGUUCUCUAGAAUCUCUGAAUCUCUCUCUGUCUUGAUGACACCGAGCGGAAAUAGCAGUUGGAAGAGGUGAUUGGGCUUCAGCGCGCGAUCCAACCCAAGUGGGUUCCACAACGUGAACCUCAUGCAGCUUAAAAUACAGCCAGUUGUGAUCCAUCUGCCACAGCUGUUUCUACCUCAGAUGUGCUACACAGUGUAUUACCUGUUUCUACCUCGCAGAUGUGCUACACAGUUGCUUAUGACUGCCUAUAAAAUGGCCGGGAUCGGUGAGGCUGCUGGAACCAAGGAGAGAGAGCAUAUAUAUCCACCGAUCAUGAUGAAGGGUGGCAGCAAGAAGGAAGUGGCCGGUGCGGCGGCGGUGGUGGCCAUACUGCUGGUUCUGCAGCUGAUGGCAGCUCCACCGACGGCCAUGGCCGCCCGCUCGCCGCGCGGAGCCGUGCCGGAUGGCUCCCUCGCCACGACGCCCAAGGUGACGAUGCUGUCAGCCACGCUGUGCUACACGGGGGAGACAUGCAAAUACAUUACCUGCCUCACUCCUGCUUGCUCCUGUAACUAUGAUGAUCGUCGCUGCUACAUCAUAUUUACUCCUGCUGCUGCUUGAGGCCAUUCUGUGUACGUGAAUGAAGCCACUACUACUCUCACACAGCAUGCGCCGGCCGACGACGUGCGUACGUAUAUAUAUACGCUCUACCUCGUGAGCUUUUGUUCGAGUGAUACGUGUUUCAAGGCAUCCAUCCAUCCAUGGAUGCUUAUGUACGUAUAUGUGUUAGUCGUGUGUCAGGCAACCGGGCAGCAGAAGGGGGUGUUGUAUUAUAUAUAUUUACGUCUUCUGGUGAUUAAAUAAUAAAGGGGGGCAUGUUGGAUG